rnacentral:lncRNA from 1 species
UUCCACCCUUAGCCGCUUUUCCAACGUAUGUAUAGCCAUCGCCUUCCCUGUAAAGUACAUCCAUCACUCUUGCAAGGUUUAGGCUACGAUUCAAAACUUCUGUUGGCAUUUCUGUUGGUUUCAUAAACUCUUGAUUCACAUCCUUCCAGGCACUCUCAACAUGCUUGUUGAACACAUCAUAUGCCUCUUGUGCUGUUACACCAUAUUCUUCCAUGUAACACUCAAUUGCUGAGCAAUCAUCUUCUCUCCUAUGCUUGAACUGCAGCCGUAAUAAAAUCAAAAUCAUUUUAUCACUAUAUACACUAAAAUCUAUCAGUUUAUUAAACUACAUUUGUUUAGUGAUGAUAAAUUACCUUUUGGCAAUAUUUCCUCCCUAGUAACCCUAAAAUGAAACUUUUUUUUCUUCUUAUUCUUCAAUUUAAGACUAAACAUUUAUAUAUAAAUAUUAAACUUUAAUUGUUUUAGAUCAUGAUAAAAAACCAUCCUUUGAUUUCGUUACAGAGACAUUCAAUUAUUGAGUUAAGAGUUUAGUUUCUUGUGAUUAUAUAAAUAUAUUAUUAUACCUUGUGUUCAGCAACAUCAUCCAUGAACCUACAAAUAAUUGUGGAAGCUUGGAUGAUCUUAGGGUCAUUGGCAGCCCAUUUAAAGGUCUCUGGUGUUACGAUAUCUCCCAUCCCGACAAAAGAUGUAAUAGCAAGCAUGGCAUAACCACAAGUUGGCAAAGCAUUAGCCUUAAACUCCUCAAAUGAUGGUUUGUAGUUUUGAAGAGUCCAUUUGGCCUCCACAAGGUAAAAUUGAGCAAGUCGUAUCAUCUGAGGCAACAGAAUCCCAACACUUAUCACUAAUAUCAAGUUAAAUUCGAUAAUAAUAUUUAAAUGAUUAUAAUGUUAUUUAAGUUAAUUGUUUAUUCAAAUAUAAAAUUUAGCUAAGGUCUUAUCUCUUUUGUAUAAAAUAAAUGUUUCUUGAUGUAUAUACCGCAUUUUUCGCAUAUUCGGCACGAUAUUGUCUUCCGUGCUUAGCCAUCAGUUGUUCCAUUUCUUCAUAAACAUCUAAUAGUGCUUUGUAGCUCGGUUUCAUGUAUUCUGGAAGUUGGUCAAUGCAUUUGAUAUCCCACCUGAAUCCAACUUCAACGUUAUAUUCAAUCAUUCCUCGUAAUAUAUAACUGAAUGUUAAUCUCUAACUAAAGAAAUCUAACCUCUCAAUUGCAUUUGUAUAGGGAAUGAGCUCAUCAUAUGUUGCAUAUAAGUCAUAUGUAUCAUCUACAAUAGAUGCCAUUGCUAUCACUUUUGUCAACAUCUUUCUACCAAGUGAAUAUUGGGGCUCAAAGUAUACUCCUGAGAUCCAAAAAUAACCUUCAACCACUCUAUCUCUUGCAUAUGGCAACUUUUUUUGAAAGUCUAAAUCCUUCCACCACCUAAAAAAUAUAUCAUAAAAAACCUCAUUAGCACAAUGAAUCUUCAAAGUUUUUAUUAGUUUCACGUUCAUGUUGUUGAAGAGUAAAUUGUUAGAUUCUUAAUUCAAUUGGAAAUCUCAAGUUUAUAUAUAUAUAUCUUCAUACGUUAAAUGAAAUAGGUGAAAAAGAUGAGUCCAAAGUUCAUGUCGUCACUUUUAACUAAUGUAAUUUAAUACAUUUAAGAUUUGAAUAUUAAUAUUUGCAACCCGUCCCUUAUACUGAGGAUGAAGCCUCCUAUAAAUUGAAAAAAAAGGUGAAAAAAGAAGAAAUGGAUGGAAAAUAUUCAAAAAUUCAUACCUACAAAUCUCACUUAGCUCUUUCCUAUGCAAAAUUUAUAACAUGUUGAAAUCAAUCUUUGCAAACUCCAGCAAAGCCUUAUUAUGGGAUUCAAUAUCAUGGUAUACUGAAAGAUAGUGCCUCGCCUCGACCCUUGGCAAGCCUCUUCGGAUUGAUUGUUUCAAAGCAUGAGAAACUUGUUCGGAUAAAGGAUAAUCCAAAUAUGCUAAUACAAGCCUUAAAUGGUUGGUGGUGAAAGAAAUUGCUUCAUCCAAUAUAUCUUCCCCAUGAACCCUUAAAUAGGAAGCUUCAUAAAGUUCCAACAAUCCUGGAACAUCGCUUGUCAUAGAUGACUUAAAGGUCCCUUGCUCAUCUUUAAACUUGUUGAAUACAUCUGCGAUCAAAUCACCCGAAACAAAAUAUCGUUAUCAAACAUUCCAUGCUAUUAUAUAGUCAUAAAACUUAAAAGCACUAUGUUGUUCCAAUAAUUACCACACGAAACAUUGAAUCCAUGCUCUCGGAGUAAUCGGAAUCGAAGAGAUGUAGUGUAGAUGUCGUUCUCGGCAUCGUUGUUGUUAUGGUAGAUGUUCUCUAGUUCAUCCUCGAUCUCUUUUGUGAAAUGGUAACUCACACCCAGUCUUUGUACUGAAUCAAUGAAGUUUAACUUUUGGGUUGAAUUAUGCAUUGGUGCCACAAUCAUCUUCCUCACUUCUUCUUUCAAUUGUUGGUGGCGUUGUUCAGUUUCAGCAUUGAUAUUGUCGAAACCAUUUUUUGAAAACAAAAAAUUUAGUUGUCGACUUUUAAAAAUAAAACUGGAGUCACCACCGACCCUUUAUUAAGGUGUGAUCGGCUCACCUUAAAAAAUAUUUUGGUCUACGAAUUUUGAGAAAACGGGUUCGAGAGUCAGUUACGUACGAGGAAGGGUUAGCACCCUCGUAACGCCCAAAAUCGGUACCAAAUUGACUAUUUGAUGUCUUAGUGUCGAAAGUUAAAAAGAUUUUAAAAUAAGCUUGAAUGAUGAAAUUUUUGCAAAAGGAUAACCAAUUGUUCAAGUCAUGUAAAGAAAUCGAGUCCCAAUACGUUAGGGUACAAUUCCUCAUAAUCCCCGAACUAUGAAUAUCACUUUUAUUUUAUGCGAAAAUCUUCAUUUCGAGAAAGUAACAGGCCACACCCAAUACGUUAGGGCACGACAAGUUAAGUUCCCAAAAAUGAUUUUUUAUGCUCAUGUAUUUUGAAUAAAGAAUACUCGGUCAUUUAAGAUUGACAAAGAAAAUCAGAACCCAAUACGUUAGGGCUCAAUUUACCUCGAAAAUCCCAAACUUCAAAUAAUGCUUUUAUUAAAAAAAACAUUUAAAUCAAGAAAAUAACUUUGAUGAAUGGUUGAAACCAAAAUAUAUUUUUAAAGGGGUACGUUUAAAAAAAAUAAUGUACAAUAUGAUACAGAUACUUUAAUUUACAACAUAUAUGAAUAAAUAUUUACGAAUAUACAAAUACAAGUACAAUAUACAAGUAAUUUUGAAAAUAUGUGUACGCAUAUAUUUAACACAUAUACGAUAGUACAUAUAAAAAAAUGGAAUGCAAUACAUAUAAAAAAUGCAUGUAUGGGUGAAUACGAAAAUCGUAAAAAAUGAAAAAAAUGUACAUACGUUAAUGCACAUAUAUAAGUGUACAAAUAAAAAAAAAUUAUAAUGAUUUCUAAAAAAGCAUGUAUAUGUAAAAAAAUGCAUAUGAAUUAUAAAAUGUAGGCAUAUACGCAUGUAUAUAUAUACAUAUUUAUUUAUAAAAACUAUGAAAACAUAAUAUAUAAAAAUGUAUAAAAUAUGUGUAUGUAAGAUUUAAAGUAUGUAUGUAUAUAUGUAUCUAUUUUAAAAAUGCAUAAGUAUAUAUAUGGAAUAUAAAGUAUGAGAAGGUUAAAAAAAAACUGAAAAACUGUAAAAAACAAAAUUUAAAAAAAAAUGUAUGAAUGCAUGUGUUUAUGAAAACUAAAAAUGUAUAUGUAUUAAAUAGGCAUGUAGAUUAAAAUAGACGUGUGUAUGAAUGAAAUAAUAAUAGUAAUAAUAAUAUUAAUAAUAACAAUAAAUAAGAUAAAAUAAAAAGAUAUAGCAUAGUCAUGAUAAAAAAAUGGAUCAAAUUGAGUUAAAAACGAAAAAAUGGGGCGAAUUUAGAAUAAAAUUUAAAAAAGGGGCCCCCUUGAAUGCGCACGUAACAGGGGAGGACCAAAAGGGAAAUUAUCCCGUCCUUCCAAAACAUUGCGCAUUAACACUGGCUAAAAUAAACAGAAACAGAAACAUUUGGGCUAAAUUAAAAAAAACAAAAACUGGCUCAAUAAAACAUGGCGCAAAAGAGGGAGGACUGAUCGCGCAAAUUCCCCCUCUGAUGUCAGAACGCUCGGAUCCUCCCCUCCGGGUCGGGUCACCGCGCGAGUCUGGCCAUUCAAAACGGCGCCGUUUUGAUCUGUUAUUUAAAACAGAUUUUUCCUUCUAAAACCAUUUUAACAAAAUGAAAAAAGAAAAAAAAACCUUUGUAAAACAACUUUGAUAUCUGUAUUUUCUCUCUAUUUCUGUCUCUGUUACACUGCCCUCCCCUUUUUUUUUACAGAUUUUCAAAGGCUUUUAUAGCCCGAAACUAACUUUUUUCCACUAUAUUUUUGCUGAUGGACUCUCUGAGUCCAUGUUUACAGGCGUUCAUGAAGCGCACGUGGAGAGGAGAUCCCCCUCGAGACGUGCGGCGCUUGGGACGUCUGCUCGAGGCGUGGAGGCUGUUGUGGCUAGGGCGUAUAGUGCUAGGGUUUUCUGUUUAAUUUUGCAGUAUUGGGCUAGUUCAAUUGGGCCUACAGAUGUUUUUAAAUUUGGGCUGUGCUUUAUAAGGGCCUGGGCCGGUUGGGCCUUAUUACAGCUGCCCCUCUUUGCUCGUUGUCGUGUAACAGGAACAGAGCAAAGACUACAAGGCCCAAUUGUGCCCGGCCCUACUAAGCCUCGAUUUCUUCAGUGCUUCUCUUUUUAGGUAGCAUCAUUCCUUCCUGCUGCAUUUUCAGAGGUAUAGGAACUGGCGCUUCAAUCCACUCCACUGCAAUGUCAUGGAGAUAGAAUCGCUGGCUUUAAUGUACUCCACUGUAACUUCAGGGAGGUAAAAUCCACCAUCUUUGAUCUGCUCCACUACUGCUUAGGGAGGUAAGAUCUAUUUUCCUCGAUCUACUUCGCCACCAGUAUGGGAAGAUAAAAUCUGUAUAUUCGAUCCACUUCGCUAUCGAUAUAGGAAGACAGGACCUGCUACCUUUGAUCUACUUCACGCUAAUACAUGAAGACAAGAUCUGCUUUAUUUUAUUUGCUUCGCCACCAGUAUGGGAAGGCAAGAUCUGUUAUCUUUGAUCUACUUCACGCCAGUACAUGAAGACAAGAUCUGUUUUCUUCGAUCUGCUUCGCCCCAGUAUGGGAAGACAAGAUCUAUUUUCUUUGAUCUACUUCACGCCAGUACAUGAAGACAAGAUCCGUUUUCUUCGAUCUACUUCGCCACCAGUAUGGGAAGACAAGAUCUGUUAUCUCUGAUCUACUUCACGCCAAUACAUGAAGACAAGAUCUGCUUUCUUUUGAUCUGCUUCACCACCAGUAUGGGAAGGCAAGAUCUGUAUAUUUGAUCCACUUCGCUACCGAUAUAGGAAGACAAGACCUACUAUCUUUGAUCUACUUCACCCAGUACAUGAAGACAAGAUUUGUUUUCUUCGAUCUGCUUCGCCACCAGUAUGGGAAGGCAAGAUCUGGUAUCUUUGAUCUACUUCACGCUAGUACAUGAAGACAAGAUCUGUUAUCUUUCAACUUGCUCCACUACUGCUCAGGGAGAUAAGGCUUUAUGAUUCCACCAACCUGUUCUCUAUGGAACAUGACCUGUAUGAUGAGUCUAAUUAUGCCUAGUGAUUAGGAUGCCAUGAGAAAUGAAUCAAAUGCUCCUAACUAGACGUGUAGGAAUGACAUUUGAAUGUUAUGUCAUGAAAAAUGAAUAUUGAAUGUUUAAAGUCAUUAUUGCUUAUUAAGGCUUCCUUUGUGACAACAACGCUUCGUUAAAACUUGAAAAUUUUAAUCUUGACUCUUGGCUCCUGGAUAUCUCCGACCUUUUAACCUGGUGAAGGUCUAAACAAUAGUCUUGUUUCAGGUUCUUGAGCUAUUUAAAGACUUCUAGAGUAAUAUGAAAAACUUCCCUCGUGAAAGUUUUACUAGUCCAUUAAUCAUCAUUCUAAUGCAACAUGCUUGCGAAAAGAUCAUAACGAUGAAUAAAACAAAAUUAAUUUGGGAGCAUAGCUCGCAAUGGAUUGUCAAUGAUAGAGGAAUUGUCUGGGGAUAUUUAUAUUGAAAAAGAAUGAAAUAUUCUAAAACAACAGACUCAAUACAAAUACUAUGAAUAGGUGCCCGGAUAUCUCUGCUUGAAUUUCUCUAUACAACUUUUCGAAGACCUUUCUAAAUUCAACACGUGUUUAGGAGGUUCACAGUAUUUUGUUGAUGCCCAAAGACGUCGUCUGUUCCUUUCUGCGGAUUUAGGUACAACAAGACUACCACGUGACAAUCAAAAUUUGAGCUGCCCUUUUCAGGUUUUUAACUCAAAUCCCCUUUGGUCUUAAGGUGCCCUUUGCGGGUUUUCACCUUAGCCUCUCCAUUUUUUUUAAAAAAAUUGUUUUUUUUACAGUUUUUCAGUUUUUUUUAACCUUCUCAUACUUUAUAUUCCAUAUAUAUACUUAUGCAUUUUUAAAAUAGAUACAUAUAUAUACAUACAUACUUUAAAUCUUACAUACACAUAUUUUAUACAUUUUUAUAUAUUAUGUUUUCGUAGUUUUUAUAAAUAAAUAUGUAUAUAUAUACAUGCGUAUAUGCCUACAUUUUAUAAUUCAUAUGCAUUUUUUACAUAUACAUGCUUUUUUAGAAAUCAUUAUAAAUUUUGUUUUUUAUUUGUACACUUAUAUAUGUGCAUUAACGUAUGUACAUUUUUUUCAUUUUCUACGAUUUUCGUAUUCACCCAUACAUGCAAUUUUUAUAUGUAUUGCAUUCCAUCUUUUUAUAUGUACUAUCGUAUAUGUGUUAAAUAUAUGCGUACACAUAUUUUCAAAAUUACUUGUAUAUUGUACUUGUAUUUGUAUAUUCGUAAAUAUUUAUUCAUAUAUGUUGUAAAUUAAAGUAUAUGUAUCAUAUUGUACAUUAUUUUUUUUAAACGUACCCCUUUAAAAAUAUAUUUUGGUUUCAACCAUUCAUCAAAGUUAUUUUCUUGAUUUAAAGGUUUUUUUUGAAAAAAAGCAUUAUUUGAAGUUUGGGAUUUUCGAGGUAAAUUAAGCCCUAACGUAUUGGGUUCUGAUUUUCUUUGUCAAUCUUAAAUGACCGAGUAUUCUUUAUUCAAAAUACAUGAGCAUAAAAAAUCAUUUUUGGGAACUUAACUUGUCGUGCCCUAACGUAUUGGGUGUGGCCUGUUACUUUCUCGAAAUGAAUAUUUUCGCAUAAAAUAAAAGUGAUAUUCAAAGUUCGGGGAUUAUGAGGAAUUGUACCCUAACGUAUUGGGACUCGAUUUCUUUACAUGACUUGAACAAUUGGUUAUCCUUUUGCAAAAAUUUCAUCAUUCAAGCUUAUUUUAAAAUCUUUUUAACUUUCGACACUAAGACAUCAAAUAGUCAAUUUGGUACCGAUUUUGGGCGUUACGAGGGUGCUAACCCUUCCUCGUACGUAACUAACUCCCGAACCCAUUUUCUCAAAAUUCGUAGACCAAAAUAAUUUUUAAGGUGAGCCGAUCACACCUUAAUAAAUGAUCGGUGGCGACUCCAGUUUUAUUUUUAAAAGUCGACAACUAAAUUUUUUGUUUUCAAAAAACGGUUUCGACAGCUUGCCGACUCCACUGGGAACACUUGAGAGUCGAGCCAUAAACUGAUUAUAUUUGUCUUUGUGUCGAAAAUUAAAAGUUUUAAAAAAACUUCAUGAGUUCCCUUCGUAUUCAUCGUUUUUUUCAUCUUGGUAUGUUGGCAAUUUUGCAUUUGCAUUUCGCAUUUUACCCUUUAAGUGGGAGCGAGAAACUAGUCCUUCGUGAGGUUUUCACCUUCGUGCAGGGUAGUGGACCGCUUCUGGGAUACAUCCGUACCUAUGUCUUCGUGAGAUUUUCAUCUCCGUGCAGCCAUAGGGAAAUGUUUCCCCCUGAACUGAACUCGAUCUAUAUGAGCCUAUAAUGGGUGAGGAUCGAGGAAUAUGUUGGUUCGGGUACCCUUACUUUAGAAACUAAGCCUCAUAUAGUGAGCUUUAGGAACUUGACCUGGGUAGAACUAUCCCAAAACCCUAGUGGAUUCCUGAUUAAGUGUUUCUUGCUAUCUUAUGUUUGCAUUGGAUUAUACCUCUAUAUGUGAUACUGACUUGGGUUUCUUUUGUUUUGAUUGCAUGACAUCAUGAUUGCAUAGCAUUUCAUCUUAAAAGGGCGUUAGUUCAUAUUCGGUUGCUAGAUAGAAGGCUUAUCAUGGACAAAGGGUUUCUUGAUAAGGUGGAAGAUAAUGCGGCUGUCCAAACUUGGUCUGAGACAACACAGCAGGAGAAAGGUGAUAGUUUGGCCGAAGGAUAUGUGUCAGAGCUGUGGGACUUCACUCGUGUUAGCGUGACUCAGAAUAGCCUAUAGGAACUAAAGGAAAUCUGGGACUGGUGGAAUGAUGAGAUUAAGCAGCUCUUCUAUUCUAGCUAUGGUGACUUACCUUACUUGCUCGACUUAAAGGUGGAUAAGCACUUGUUUUGUGCUUUGGCCCAAUUUUGGAAUCUUGCCUAUAGUUGCUUUACCUUUGGAAAAGUGGAUUUAGUGCCUACGGUGGAGGAAUAUACGGCAUUGCAUCGUUGUUCAAAAAUUCAAGUGGACAAAGCCUAUUCAAGAGCUGCUAAUGUUCCAACCUUUUUGAAAAAGUUGAUGAAUAUUACGGGGAUGAGUGAGCAAUGGGUCGCAGCAUGAAUCAAGCAAAAGGGAGAUAGUAAGUGCAUUCCUUGGAGGAACCUGAAAGAUUUAAUUCUAGCGCACCCGGAUACGAGGAAGAAGGUUGAUGUCUUUGCCUUGGGUAUUUACGGUUUAGUUGUCUUUUCUAAAGCUUUGGGGCAUAUUGAUGAAGUAGUCACUGACCUUUUUGACCGUCUUGACAAGGGGGUUACACCGGUUCCAGCAAUUCUGGCAGAAACCUUUAGAUCUCUGAAUGAAUGUCGAAGAAUAGGUGAGGGUAGAUUCAUUGGAUGCACGCAGCUCCUUUUAGCAUGGUUUCACAGUCACUUUUAGAAGGUGGAUAAGGUUUCCUAUCGGGUUUUUUCUAAAAAUUAUUCGCCCUUGAAGGAAAUAGUGGCAUUACCGAGGCAGGAUGAUAUCUUAGAGGAAAAAUGGAUAGCAACUUUUCAGAAUCUUCAAGAGGGGGAUAUUGAAUGGAGAGCUCCUUGGAUGCUGUCAGAUGAGAUCUUAUAUAGGUGUGGAGAUUUUGACUGGGUCCCUCUACUUGGGAUUUGGGGGGCUAUUGGCUAUGCACCGUUAUUGGUACUGAGAUAGUAUAGGUCAAGGCAGUUCGUACCUACAACUCAAGGAUUAGCCCAAUGUGAAUUCUCGUAUAAGUGUGAUGGUUACAAGAAGAAGAUACGAGAAAUGACUAAUGCUUGGAGGCAGACUCGACGUUUGAAGAGAUUAGCAGUAGGUCCAUCGACGACUCCUGAAUAUAUCAGUUGGCUGGGUAGGAGGGUCAAUGAUAACAUACCUGUACCAGGUCAAGGAGACAGUCAAUUUGUGGAAAAGCAUGUACAUAUGGUCCCUUCUGAGCUAGAGAUUAUAAAGCAAUAUUUUGAAAGACGAAAUUCUGAGCUCGAGAAGAAGAUAGAGCAGAUGGAAUAAGAAAAGAUGAGUCUGAGGCUAGAUGUGGAUGUUCAAAAGCUGGAAACCGAAGGCUUAAGGAAAGAAAAACGCAAAGUUGAGGAGGAUUUGAAUAGCUUGAAGACGGAUUAUAAGAGAUUACGUUUGUCAGUGAGAACUGCUGGGUUGGGAAAAACUUCGGAGCAGUGGUGUCAAGAAGAAAAGGCCAAGGCUGAUAGGUGGGAAAAGAGAUUUCAGGAAGCUCAAAAGAAAAAUAAGUCCUUUGAGAGGAGUUUGUCGGAAAGCCAGAAUGAAAGAGAAAAACUAAAGGCUAGAGUGGCCGAACUUGAGAAGAUUGUUUAUCAAUAUCAAAACUGCAACUCAGUGGUAGAAUUACAAGCAAGUUUAAGCAGGAUCGAGCAAAUGAAGAAAACUAUAGAAGAACUAGAGCUGGCAUUGCAGAACCGUGAAGCCAAGAUCGAGUAUUUGGAGGCAAAUGAAGAUCAUCAAAGUGAACAGCUUCACUAUCUCUAGGAUCAAGUUGCAAGAAGUUAUCAUGUUAUGGGAGAGGCUGUGGUUCAGAUUCAAGGGGUAGCUGAGCACAUGCAGUCUUUGGCAGUACAAGUUAAUAUACUAAGCGUGAAGUACGAAUCAGAAUCAGAUCAGGGGUAGAAGUUGGCAUAAUUACUUAGGGAGAUUAAAGUUCUAAGUGUUAGGGCAAAGCCUUAUUUAUAGCCAUUUUAUGUAAAGAAAUUUUUUCUCUAGUAAAGUUUUCUGAGUGGAAUUGAAUUAUAAUUAACGCAUUUUUUUGCAUUCAUCUCAUCGCAUCAUAUGCAUUAGCAUCGCAUUAUAUGCAUUAAAGACUUUUAUUUAAUCCUAAUAAGUCAAAGUCACUGCUCAGUUAACCUGGAAACCAACCAACCAACCCAACACCGAUACGGCACUCGGGCAAAGAAGAAGGAUAUGGACCAGAGAUUAGAAAAACUUGAGCAGGAAAUGCAGGACCGACUUCAGCUACAGGUGUAGGAGCGGUUAGACAAGAUGAAACAAGAGAUGUCUAAGAAGAUGCGAGAAUCCCAAGAAGACAUAGUGGCAAAGUUAACCCAACUGAUAACUAAGGGACUUGAUAAAGGAAAGGGCCCCAUGAUAAAUGAGGAUGAGGGAAAUGAUGAUGAACCUUUCUAUCUUCCAGGUUUCACCCCUCCACAUGUGCGAACUCAAGCUGAAUACCCGCGCAAAUCUACAGUCACCAUCAUGCCGCAGCAGUUUCAGGCCGGUGUUUCGAGCUUCCAAGCUGGACCAGGGACUAAUCCCAAAAAUAAUCCUAUUAACUCUGCCAUUACUGAUUUUGAUGAAGUGGUUGAGAAGGAAAGAAUGAAGGAGGAGUUACCGAAACAAUUAGAGGAAAGGUGUAGGUGGCUCGAGGAGAAGUUCAAGGCGAUGGAGGUCACUGAGAGUUAUCGAGGCAUUGACGCCAAAGAGCUGAGUUUUGUGCCGGACUUAGUACUCCCUCAUAAGUUUAAGAUGCCUGAAUUUGAAAAGUACAAUGGGACAAGCUGCCCAGAAGCUCACAUCACCAUGUUCUGCAGAUGAAUGGCGGGAUAUGUUAACAACGAUCAACUCCUGAUACAUUGUUUCCAAGACAGCCUUGCAGGGGCAGCAUCCAAAUGGUACAAUCAGUUGAGUCGUGCCACGAUUGGUUCAUGGAGGGACCUGGCACAAUCGUUCAUGAAGCAAUAUAAUCAUGUGUUAGACAUGGCUCAUGAUAGAAUUACCCUCCAAAACAUGGAGAAGAAGCCAAGUGAAAGCUUCAGGCAGUACGCUCAGAGAUGGAGGGAGGUUGCGGUCCAAGUUCAGCCACCGCUCCUGGAAAAGGAAAUGACUAUGUUGUUCAUUAACACCCUGAAGGCACCGUUCAUUACACAUAUGCUAGGAAGUGCCACAAAAAGCUUUCCUAACAUAGUCAUGAGUGGCGAGAUGAUUGAGAAUGCCAUCAGGAGUGGGAAGAUCGAUGCGGGAGAGACUAACAAAAGAUCAGCUUCGAAGAGGAAGGAAAAUGAGGUGAGCAACGCGAGCAUGUAUAAAAAGGGUUACUCGAAGUCAGUAACAGUGAGUCAGCCAGGAAAGGUGGCUGCCAAUCAGCGAAGCUCAUCGAGACAAGAGGUCAGUACAAGGCGAAAUACUGAGAUGCCCCAAUUCACGCCAAUUCCUAUGUCGUAUAGGGAACUAUACCGAAAUUUAUUUGAUGCACACGUAGUUUCCCCUUUCUAUCUAAAGCCCUUGCAACCCCCGUAUCCCAAAUGGUACGAUGCGAAUGCACAGUGCGACUAUCAUGCGGGAACAAUAGGGCAUUCUAUAGAAAACUGUACGGCCUUUAAGAAGUUUGUUGAAAGGCUCAUUGGUAUGGGUGUCGUUAAAUUUGAUGACUCGACCAAGGCAGAAAAUCCAUUACCAAACCACACUGAUGGUGGGGUAAAUAUGAUGGGCGAAGACAGAAGAAUCAAGGUAGACAUUGCGGAUGUAAAAACUCCUUUGAGAUGGGUCUGGAAGGAGAUGGUGAAAAGGGGACUAGUCGUCUCAGAAGGAAGUUGUGAAAAAAGGGGGAACUACUGUGAGUUCCACCAUGAAGUGGGGCAUGAAAUUCAAGAGUGUACAAAGUUCAGAGCUAUGUUACAAGGUAUGAUGGAUAAUAGGGAGAUGGAAUUCUGUGAAGGAGUUCAAGUGGAGAAUCAUGUAUGCGCGUCAGAGUUGGCAUUAGGAGUUCCGAGGGCUAACCAUCCUGUGGUCAUUAUCUCGCGACCUCGGAACAGUGAGGUUGAGGCACGAAUAACACAAAAAGUAAUCAUUUAAAAACUGGCUGUGUUUGCAUAUAAGGAUAACAGAAGGGUUCAUUGGAAUUACAAUUGUAAUGUGACAAUCCCGAAGAAGGAGGAUUUAAUCAGUAAAGAGGAUCAGGACGAAUGAGGGCAUUACGAACAGAUGAAGGCUCGAGUAGAGCCAAUAAGAGAAGAAACUUUGGUUGGAAAGAAGAAGAAUACGGCAGUACCUGAGUUAUUGGUCAAUGAACCAAUCAAAGAGGAGGAAGCUAGAGAGUUCUUGAAGUUCAUAAAGCAUAGCGAGUAUAGCAUUGUGGAACAGCUGGACAAACAACCAGCUCACAUAUCUGUGCUAGCUUUACUCCUGAACUAGGAGGGACAUCGAAAUGCACUACUGAAUGUGCUAAAUGAAACUUAUGUGGCCGACGAUAUCUCUGUUAACAAGUUAGAUCGACUGGUUGGCAAUAUAAGCGCUGAUAACUUCAUCUCCUUUAGUGAUGAUGAAAUAGCACCUGGGGGUAUGGGAUCUACUAGAGCUUUACACAUCACUGCAAGGUGUAAAGGGUGCACAUUACCAGGAGUUCUGGAAGACAACGGGUCGGCACUGAAUGUAUUGCCUUUAUCCACGCUCAACAUGCUACCUAUGGAUAGUUCACAUAUGAAGUCGUGCCAGAAUGUGGUGAGAGCAUUUGAUGGCACCGAGAGGAAAGUCAUGGGAAGAAUUGACAUACCCUUGUUAAUUGGCCCAACUAUCUAUGAGGUGGACUUCUUGGUUAUGGACAUCAAGCCUUCUUACAGUUGCCUAUUAGGAAGGCCUUAGAUUCAUUCAGUAGGUGCGUACCGUCAUCGUUGCAUCAAAAACUGAAGUUGGUGGCAGAGGGCCGGGUAGUGACGAUAAAUGCUGAAGAAGAUAUCAUUGCAUCUGUGACCAACGAUGCGCCUUAUUUGGAAACAAGUGAUGAUGUAAUCGAGUGCUCUUUUCGUUCCUUAGAGUUCGUAAACGCAACAUUCAUCCAUGAGGGAAACAAGAUCCCGAUGCCGAGAAUAUCAAAGACCACAAGGAUGGGUCUGCAAUUGAUAGUUGGAAAGGGAGAUUUGCCGAGAAAAGGGUUGGGGAAACAUCUUCAGGGCCGAGUUGAGACUCCAGUGUUGGAAGACAAGUAGGACCGUUUUGAUUUAGGAUACAAGUCAGAUGCUAGGCUGGGGAGGAUAGAGUAGCAAAAGAAGCGAGAGAGAAGAAGGGCUCGUUUGAUAGGUGAUGAAGUCAAAUGGGAACUCAUGACCUUUCCUCACCUAUCCAGGACUUUUGUAUCGGGAGGAUUCGUCUAUCAAGGAAUGCUAGGGGUUGGAAGUAUUAACACGGAGUUAGAGAGUAUUCAUGCCGUGUACGAAGAAGCAACGGGAGGAAAAACUUUGCCGGAUAUUCGUCCUUACGAACCGGGAAGUGUGCUAAACAAUUGGACUGCAGAAGAAAUACCUGUAGUUUUUAGGAUUUCCUCAGAGUAAUGUCCAGAACACCCUUAUUGCUUUUUAGCCUAGAAGUGAUAAGGAUUCCUUUGUGAAAUAGGCUCAUGUCCAAAAAAUCGUUAUUUUAAUAAAGCUCAUUUUUGGAGUAAAUUUUACUUUCCAUAAGAGCAGUUGUUUUGAAUUUCUCUCAAACUACACUGGCAUUUCAUCCAUAUUGCACCAGACAAAUUCCUGAAUCCAUAUUGUUUUUCAUAACAGGUCCUAUGAUUUCAAUGAUACUAAUGUCACUCUUACAGAUUUAGAGUCUCCUUUUGAACGAAACAUGUGUUUAGAAGGAUCGCAUGAUUUUGAAGAUGACGAAGACUGUGGUUUGUCUCCUGACUUGUUGAAGAUGGUAGAAAGGGCUAAGAAACAAAUCCUACCUCACAGGGAGUCAAUAGAAAUUGUGAGCUUGGAGGAAGGAAAAGAGGUGAAGGUCGGAUCUGAUUUUUCUGCAAAGACAAGACAAGACCUUAUCGAAUUACUCCGAGAGUUCAAGGACGUGUUUGCAUGGUCGUACCAAGAUAUGCCGGGGUUAAGUACAGACAUUGUAGUCCAUCGCCUUCCUAUAAGAGAGGAUUGCAAGCCAGUGCAGCAAAAGCUUAGAAGGAUGAGGCCUAAUAUUGUGUUGAAGAUAAAAGAGGAGGUCCAGAAGCAGUUUGAUGCCGGAUUUCUACAAGAAGUCAAGUAUUCUGAGUGGGUGGCCAACAUCGUACUAGUUCCAAAGAAAGAUGGAAAAGUGCGAAUGUGUGUGGAUUAUCAGGAUUUGAACAAGGCUAGUCCAAAAGACAACUUUCCAUUGCCCCACAUCGACACAUUGGUAGACAAUACUGCGAGCUUUUCAUUGUGUUCCUUCAUGGAUGGUUUUUAUGGGUAUAAUCAGAUAAAGAUACAUCCUAAAGACAUGAGAAAGACUACGUUCAUUAUGUUAUGGGGGAUGUUUUGUUAUAAAGUGGUGCCAUUUGGAUUAAAGAAUGCAUGAGCGACAUACCAAAGAGCCAUGGUAGCCUUGUUCCAUGAUAUGAUGCACAGGGAAAUCGAGGUUUACGUGGAUGAUAUGAUCGCGAAAUCUAGAACAGAGGAGGAACAUGUGCAGGUCUUUAGAAAGUUAUUCUUAAGGUUGAGAAAGCUCCAGCUCAAGCUUAAUCCAGCGAAGUGCACUUUUAGGGCCAGGUCAUGAAAAUUGCUAGGCUUCAUAGUCAGUGAAAAGGGAAUCGAAAUUGACCCAGAAAAAGUCAAGACAAUACGAGACUUACCUCCUCCUUGCACUCAGAAAGAAGUUCGAGGUUUCCUCGGAAGACUGAAUUACAUCGCUAGGUUCAUUUCACAACUAACUGAAAAAUGUGACCCUAUAUUUCGUCUUCUGAAUAAACAUAAUCCUAGCACUUGGGAUGAAGAAUGCGAAGAAGCUUUUAACAAGGUGAAGCAGUAUUUGUCUAAUACUCCAGUGCUGUCACCACCUAGCCCGGAUAGGCCACUGAUAUUGUAUCUGACGGUAUGUGAUAACUCCAUGGGAUGUGUGCUAGGCCAACAUGAUGAAACAGGGAGAAAAGAAAGGGAGAUAUAUUAUCUCAGCAAGAAAUUCACUAACUGUGAAAUGAGAUAUUCGCCUAUUGAGAAGCUAUGUUGUGCCUUGAUUUGGACAACCCGAAGAUUAAGGCAGUACAUGUUAUACCAUACGACUUGGCUAAUCUUAAAGUUAGACCCGUUAAAGUAGGCUUUGAAUGGGAGGAUGGCUCGAUGGCAGAUCUUACUGUCUGAAUUCGAUAUUGUCUAUGUGAGCCAAAAGGUUGUGAAAGGGAGUGCAAUUGCUGACUUUCUAGCAAGCAGAGCUUUGGAGGAUUACGAGCCGUUGGAGUUUUGAUUUUCCAAAUGAAGAUUUGAUGUGUAUGGCGGCUAUGGAAGAAAAUUCACAAGAAGGUUACAGUUGGAGGCUAAACUUUGAUGGAGCCUCGAAUGCUGUGGGCAAUGGAAUUGGGGUAGUCCUAGUGUCCCCGAAUGGUGAUCAUUAUCCUUUCACUUGCAAAUUGGAUUUUGAUUGUACAAACAACAUGGCAGAAUACGAAGCAUGCAUCAUGGGUAUUCGUGCAGCUAUAGAGCGAAAAAUCAAAGUGCUAGAGGUCUUUGGAGAUUCAGCAUUGGUGAUAUAUCAGCUCAAGGGUAAAUGGGAAACGAGAGAUCCUAAAUUAAUCAGUUAUCGAAAGUUGGUCCUCGAAUUGAUUAAGGAGUUUGAGGGCAUCAGUUUUUGCUAUCUCCCACGAGAUGAGAACCAGAUGGCUGAUGCACUAGCUACUUUAGCCUCCAUGAUCAAGGUGAAUAGACAUGAGGAUAUGAAGCCAAUCCAAAUGAGUAUUUAUGAAGACCCGACUCAUUGUUACAAUAUUGAAGAAGGAGAAAUCGAUGAUAGUCCUUGGUAUCAAGAUAUACUACGAUAUGUAAAAAAUCGUGAGUAUCCUGGCCAGGCAACGGAGAAUGAAAAGAGAACUCUGAGAAGACUAGCCAUUGAUUAUGUUGUAGAUGGACAGAUCUUAUACGAGAGGGGAAAGGAUCAGGUACUGUUAAGAUGUGUGGAUGCCGUGGAAGCAAAGAAAUCCUGGAGGAAGUCCAUGAGGGCAUCUGUUGAACGCAUGCCAGCGGAUUCACAAUGGCAAGACAGAUUAUGAGAUUCGGGUAUUACUGGUCCACCAUGGAAGGGGAUUGCAUCAAUUAUUCCAAAAAGUGCCAUAAAUGUCAAAUCUAUGGUGAUAAAAUGCAUGCACCUCCUUUGCCUCUGCAUGUCAUGACUUCUCCAUGGCCUUUCUCCAUGUGGGGAAUGGAUGUCAUCGGACCAAUAUCACUGAAAGCUUCAAAUGGGCAUUGUUUCAUAUUUGUGGUUAUUGACUACUUCACCAAAUGGGUAGAAGCUGCUUCACAUGCCAACGUUACAAAGUCAUCAGUCAGUAGGUUCUUGAAAAGGGAGAUCAUAUGUCGGUAUGGAAUGCCUGAAAGAAUCAAAUCCGAUAAUGCGUUGAACUUGAACAACAACUCAAUAGCAGAAGUCUGCAGUCAAUUCAAGAUCAGACAUCACAAUUCAACGCCGUAUCGCCCAAAAAUGAAUGGUGCAGUGGAAGCGGCUAAUGAAAAUAUAAAGAAGAUUGUGGGGAAGAUGAGUGAGACCUACAUGGACUGGCACGAGAAAUUGCCGUUUGCCCUUCUUGCUUAUCGAACGUCAAUCAGGACCUCCACCGUAGCAAUGCCUUUCUUCUUAGUUUAUGGCAUGGAGACAGUCCUGCCCAUCGAAGUUGAAAUCUCUUCUCUCCGGGUUUUGACUGAGCUACAAUUGAAUGAAGCAGAAUGGGUUCAAUCUCGAUACGAUCAGUUGAACUUGAUAGAGGGAAAAAGGCUAAAGGCUAUUCAGCAUGGUCAGAUGUACUAGAAAAGAAUGAUGCGAGCCUACAACAAGAAGGUCCGACCCAGAGAAUUUCACGAGGGGGACCUAGUGUUGAGAAAAAUUCUUCCUCUACAAAAAGAUUUUAGGGGGAAAUGAAUGCCAAAUUGGGAAGGUCCUUGUGUUGUAAAAAUGGCUUUUCUGGAGGAGCCUUGAUCCUGGCUGAAAUGGAUGGAAGAAACUUGCCUAAUCCAGUAAAUUCAGAUUCGGUCAAGAGAUACUUUACUUGAAGAGGGGAAGGAACCAAAGUGAAAACCCGCAAAGGGCGCUUUGAUUCCAAAAAAGAAAAAAAGAAAAAAAAAUGGAGAGGCUAAGUUGAAAACCCGCAAAGGGCACCUUAAGACCAAAGGGGAUUUGAGUUGAAAACCUGAAAAGGGAAGCUCAAAUUUUGAUUGUCACGUGGUAGUCUUGUUGUACCUAAAUCAGCAGAAAGGAAAAGACGACGUCUUGGGGCAUCAACAAAAUACUGUGAACCUCCUAAACACGUGUUGAAUUUAGAAAAGUCUUCGAAAAGUUGUAUAGAAAAAUUCAAGUAGAGAUAUCCAGGGCACCUAUUCAUAGUAUUUGUAUUGAAUCCGUUGUUUUAGAAUAUUUCAUUCUUUUUCAAUAUAAAUAUCCCAGACAAUUCCUCCAUCAUUGACAAUCCAUUGCGAGCUAUGCUCCCAAAUUAAUUUUGUUUUAUUCAUCGUUAUGAUCUUUUCGCAAGCGUGUUGCAUUAGAAUGACGAUUAAUGGACUAGUAGAACUUUCACAAAGGAAGUUUUUCUUAUUACUUUAGAAAUCUUUAAAUAGCUCAGGAACCUGAAACAUGACUAUUGUUUAGACCUUCACCAGGUUAAAAGGUCGGAGAUACCUAGGAGCCAAGAGUCAAGAUUAAAAUUUUCAAGUUUUAACGAAGCAUUGUUGUCACAAAGAAAGCCUUAAUAAGCAAUAAUGACUUUAAACGUUCAAUAUUCAUUUUUCAUGACAUAACAUUGAAAUGUCAUUCCUACACGUCUAGUUAGGAGCAUUUGAUUCAUUUCUCAUGACAUCCUAAUCACUAGGCAUAAUUAGGCUCAUCAUACAGGUCAUGUUCCACAAGGAACAGUUCGGUGGAAUCAUAAAGCCUUAUCUCCCUGAGCAGCAGUGGAGUAGGUUGAAAGAUAACAGAUCUUGUCUUCAUGUACUGGUGUGAAGUAGAUCAAAGAUACCAGAUCUUGCCUUCCCAUACUGGUGGCGAAGCAGAUCGAAGAAAACAAAUCUUGUCUUCAUGUACUGGCGUGAAGUAGAUAAAAGAUAGUAGGUCCUGUCUUCUUAUAUCGGUAGCGAAGUGGAUCGAAUAUACAGAUCUUGCCUUCCUAUACUGGUGGUGAAGCAGAUCGAAAGAAAGCAGAUCUUGUCUUCAUGUACUGGCGUGAAGUAGAUCAGAGAUAACAGAUCUUGUCUUCCCAUACUGGUGGCGAAAUAGAUCGAAGAAAACAGAUCUUGUCUUCAUGUACUGGCGUGAAGUAGAUCAAAGAAAACAGAUCUUGUCUUCCCAUACUGGUGGCGAAGUAGAUCGAAGAAAGCGGAUCUUGUCUUCAUGUACUGGCGUGAAGUAGAUCAAAGAUAGCAGAUCUUGCCUUCCCAUACUGGGGACAAAGCAGAUCGAAGAAAACAGAUCUUGUCUUCAUGUACUGGCAUGAAGUAGAUCAAAGAUAACCGAUCUUGCCUUCCCAUACUGGUGGCGAAGCAAAUCAAAUAAAGCAGAUAUUGUCUUCAUGUAUUAGCGUGAAGUAGAUCAAAGAUAGCAGGUCCUGUCUUCCUAUAUCGGUAGCGAAGUGGAUCGAAUAUACAGAUUUUAUCUUCCCAUACUGGUGGCGAAGUAGAUCGAGGAAAAUAGAUCUUACCUCCCUAAGCAGUAGUGGAGCAGAUCAAAGAUGGCGGAUUUUACCUCCUUGAAGUUGCAGUGGAGUACAUUUAAGCGAGUGAUUCUAUCUCCAUGACAUUGAAGUGGAGUGGAUUGAAGCACAAGUUCCUAUACCUCUGAAAAUGCAGCAGGAAGGAAUGAUGCUACCUAAAAAGAGAAGCACUGAAGAAAUCGAGGCUUAGUAGGGCCGGGCACAAUUGGGCCUUGUAGUCUUUGCUCUGUUCCCGUUACACGACAACGAGCAAAGAGGGGCAAUUGUAAUAAGGCCCAACUGGCCCAGGCCCUUAUAAAGCACAACCCAAAUUUAUAAACAUUUGUAGGCCCAAUUGAACUAGCCCAAUACUGCAAAAUUAAACAGAAAACCCUAGCACUAUACGCCCUAGCCACAGCAGCCUUCGCGUCUCUAGCAGACGUCCCAAGCCUCCGCAUCAUCAUUCCUUCCUGCUGUAUUUUCAGAGGUAUAGGAACUAGUGCUUCAAUCCACUCUACUGCAGUGUCAUGGAGAUAGAAUCACUGGCUUCAAUGUACUCCAUUGUAACUUAAGGGAGGUAAAAUUCGCCAUCUUCGAUCUGCUCCAUUACUGCUUAGGGAGGUAAGAUCUGUUUUCCUCCAUCUACUUCGCCACCAGUAUGGGAAGAUAAAAUCUAUAUAUUCGAUCCACUUCGCUACCGAUAUAGGAAGACAGGACCUGCUAUUUUUUAUCUACUUCACGCCAAUACAUGAAGACAAUAUCUGUUUUAUUUGAUUUACUUCUCCACCAGUAUGGGAAGGCAAGAUCUGUUAUCUUUGAUCUACUUCACGCCAGUACAUGAAGACAAGAUCUGUUUUCUUCGAUCUGCUUCGUCCCCAGUAUGGGAAGACAAGAUCUGCUAUCUUUGAUCUAAUUCACGCCAGUACAUGAAGACAAGAUCCGCUUUCUUCGAUCUACUUCGCCACCAGUAUGGGAAGACAAGAUCUAUUUUCUUUGAUCUACUUCACGCCAGUACAUGAAGACAAGAUCCGUUUUCUUCGAUCUAUGUCGCCACCAAUAUGGGAAGACAAGAUCUGUUAUCUCUGAUCUACUUCACGCCAGUACAUGAAGACAAGAACUGCUUUCUUUCGAUCUGCUUCACCACCAGUAUAGGAAGGCAAGAUCUGUAUAUUCGAUCCACUUCGCUACCGAUAUAGGAAGACAGGACCUACUAUCUUUGAUCUACUUCACGCUAGUACAUGAAAACAAGAUUUGUUUUCUUCGAUCUGCUUCGCCACCAGUAUGGGAAGGCAAGAUCUGGUAUCUUUGAUCUACUUCACGCCAGUACAUGAAGACAAGAUCUGUUAUCUUUCAACCUACUCCACUACUGCUCAGGGAGAUAAGGCUUUAUGAUUCCACCGACCUGUUCUCUAUGGAACAUGACCUGUAUGAUGAGCCUAAUUAUGCCAAGUGGUUAGGAUGUCAUGAGAAAUGAAUCAAAUGCUCCUAACUAGACGUGUAGGAAUGACAUUUGGAUGUUAUGUCAUGAAAAAUGAAUAUUGAAUGUUUAAAGUCAUUAUUGCUUAUUAAGGCUUCCUUUGUGACAACAACGCUUCGUCAAAACUUGAAAAUUUUAAUCUUGACCCUUGGCUCCUGGAUAUCUCCGACCUUUUAACCUGGUGAAGGUCUAAACAAUAGUCCUGUUUCAGGUUCCUGAGCUAUUUAAAUAUUUCUAGAGUAAUAUGAAAAACUUCCCUUGUGAAAGUUUUACUAGUCCAUUAAUCGUCAUUCUAAUGCAACAUGCUUGCGAAAAGAUCAUAACGAUGAAUAAAAUAAAAUUAAUUUGGGAGCAUAGCUCACAAUGGAUUGUCAAUGAUAGAGGAAUUGUCUAUCAAGGAAUGCUAGGGGUUAAAAGUAUUAACACAGAGUUAGAGAGUAUUCAUGCAGUGUACGAAGAAGCAACGGGAGGAAGAACUUUACCAGAUAUUCGUCCUUACGAACUGGGAAGUGUGCUAAACAAUUGGACUACAGAAGAAAUACCUGUAGUUUUUAGGAUUUCCUCAGAGUAAUGUCCAGAACACCCUUAUUGCUUUUUAGCCUAGAAGUGAUAAGGAUUCCUUUGUGAAAUAGGCUCAUGUCCAAAAAAUCGUUAUUUUAAUAAAGCUCAUUUUUUGCAGUCAUUUUUUGGAGUAAAUCUUUCUUUCCAUAAGAGCAGUUGUUUUGAAUUUCUCUCAAACUACACUGGCAUUUCAUCCAUAUUGUAUCAGACAAAUUCCUGAAUCCAUUUUGUUUUUCAUAACAGGUCCUACGAUAUCAAUGAUACGAAUGUCACUCUUACAGAUUUAGAGUCUCCUUUUGAACGAAACAUGUGUUUAGAAGGAUCGCAUGAUUUUGAAGAUGACGAAGACUAUGGUUUGUCUCCUGACUUGUUGAAGAUGGUAGAAAGGGCUGAGAAACAAAUCCUACCUCACAGGGAGUCAAUAGAAAUUGUGAGCUUUGAGGAAGGAAAAGAGGUGAAGGUCAGAUCUGAUAUUUCUACAAAGACAAGAUAAGACCUUAUCGAAUUACUCCGAGAGUUCAAAGACGUGUGUGCGUGGUCGUACCAAGAUACGCCGGGGUUAAGUACUGACAUUGUAGUCCAUCGCCUUCCUAUAAGAGAGGAUUGCAAGCUAGUGCAGCAAAAGCUUAGAAGGAUGAGGCCUGAUAUCGUGUUGAAGAUAAAAGAGGAGGUCUAGAAGCAGUUUGAUGCCGGAUUUCUGCAAGAAGUCAAGUAUUCUGAGUGGGUGGCCAAUAUCGUACCAGUUUCAAAGAAAGAUGGAAAAGUGCAAAUGUGUGUGGAUUAUCGGGAUUUGAACAAGGCUAGUCCAAAAGAUAACUUCCCAUUGCCCCACAUUGGUAGACAAUAUUGCGGGCUUUUCAUUAUUUUCCUUCAUGGAUGGUUUUUCUGGGUAUAAUAAGAUAAAGAUGCAUCCUGAAGACAUGAGAAAGACUACGUUCAUUACGUUAUGGGGGACGUUUUGUUAUAAAGUUAUGCCGUUUGGAUUAAAGAAUGCAUGAGUGACAUACCAAAGAGCCAUGGUAGCCCUCUUCCAUGAUAUGAUGCACAGGGAAAUCGAGGUUUACGUGGAUGAUAUGAUCACGAAAUCUAGAACGGAGGAGGAACAUUUGCAGGUCUUGAGAAAGUUAUUCUUAAGGUUGAGAAAGUUCUAGCUCAAGCUUAAUCCAGCGAAGUGCACUUUUGGGGCUAGGUCAGGAAAAUUGCUAGGCUUCAUAGUCAGUGAAAAGGGAAUCGAGAUUGACCCAGACAAAGUCAAGACAAUACGAGACUUACCUCCUCCUUGCACUCAGAAAGAAGUUCGAGGUUUCCUCGAAAGAGUGAAUUACAUCGCUAGGUUCAUUUCACAACUAACUGAGAGAUGUGACCCUAUAUUUCGUCUUCUGAAGAAACACAAUCCUGGCUCUUAGGAUGAAGAAUGCGAAGAAGCUUUUAACAAUGUGAAUCAGUAUUUGUCUAAUACUCUAGUGCUAUCACCACCUAGCCCGGAUAGGCCGCUGAUAUUGUAUUUGACGGUAUUUGAUAACUCCAUGGGAUGUGUGCUAGGCCAACAUGAUGAAAUAGGGAGAAAAGAAAGGGCGAUAUAUUAUCUCAGUAAGAAAUUCACUGGCUGAGAAAUGAGAUAUUCGCCUAUUGAGAAGCUAUGUUGUGCCUUGAUUUGGACAACCCGAAGAUUAAGGCAGUACAUGUUAUACCAUACGACUUGGCUAAUCUCAAAGUUAGACCCGUUAAAGUAUGCUUUGAAUGAGAGGAUGGCUCGAUGGCAGAUCUUACUGUCUAAAUUCGAUAUUGUCUAUGUGAGCCAAAAGGCUGUGAAAGGGAGUGCAAUUGCUGACUUUCUAGCAAGUAGAGCUUUGGAGGAUUACGAACCGUUGAGUUUUGAUUUUCCAAAUGAAGAUUUGAUGUGUAUAGCGGCUAUGGAAGAAAAUUCACAAAAAGGUUACAGUUGGAGGCUAAACUUUGAUGGAGCCUCGAAUGCUGUGGGCAAUAGAAUUGGGGCAAUCCUAGUGUCCCCGAAUGGUGAUCAUUAUCCUUUCACUUGCAAAUUGGAUUUUGAUUGUACAAACAACAUGGCAGAAUACGAAGCAUGCAUCAUGGGUAUUCAUGCAACUAUAGAGCGGAAAAUCAAAGUGCUAGAGGUAUAUGGAGAUUCAGCAUUGGUGAUAUAUCAGCUCAAGGGUGAAUGGGAAACGAGAGAUCCUAAAUUAAUCAGUUAUCGAAAGUUGGUCCUCGAAUUGAUUAAGGAGUUUGAGGGCAUCAGUUUUUGCUAUCUCCCACGAGAUGAGAACCAGAUGGUUGAUGCACUAGCUACUUUAGCCUCCAUGAUCAAGGUGAAUAGACAUGAGGAUAUGAAGCCAAUCCAAAUGAGUAUUUAUAAAGACCCGACUCAUUGUUACAAUAUUGAAGAAGGAGAAAUCGAUGAUAGUCCUUGGUAUUAAGAUAUACUACGAUAUGUAAAAAAUCGUGAGUAUCCUGGCCAGGCAACGGAGAAUGAAAAGAGAACUCUGAGAAGACUAGCCAUUGAUUAUGUUGUAGAUGGACAGAUCUUAUACGAGAGGGGAAAGGAUCAGGUACUGUUAAGAUGUGUGGACGCCGUGGAAGCAAAGAAAAUCCUGGAGGAAUUCCAUGAGGGCAUCUGUGGAACGCAUGCCAGCGGAUUCACAAUGGCAAGACAGAUUAUGAGAUUCGGGUAUUACUGGUCCACCAUGGAAGGGGAUUGCAUCAAUUAUUCCAAAAAGUGCCAUAAAUGUCAAAUCUAUGGUGAUAAAAUGCAUGCACCUCCUUUGCCUCUGCAUGUCAUGACUUCUUCGUGGCCUUUCUCCAUGUGGGGAAUGGAUGUCAUCAGACCAAUAUCACUGAAAGCUUCAAAUGGGUAUCGUUUCAUAUUUGUGGUUAUUAACUACUUCACCAAAUGGGUAAAAGCUGCUUCACAUGCCAACGUUACAAAGUCAUCAGUCAGUAAGUUCUUGAAAAGGGAGAUCAUAUAUCAGUAUAGAAUGCCUGAAAGAAUCAUAUCCGAUAAUGCGUUGAACUUGAACAACAGCUCAAUAGCAGAAGUCUGCAGUCAAUUCAAGAUCAGACAUCACAAUUCAUCGCCGUAUCACCCAAAAAUGAAUAGUGCAGUGGAAACGGCUAAUAAAAAUAUAAAGAAUAUUGUGGGGAAGAUGACUGAGACCUACAGGGACUGGCACGAGAAAUUUCUGUUUGCCCUUCUUGCUUAUCGAAUGUCAAUCAGGACCUCCACCGGGGCAACGCCUUUCUCCUUAGUUUAUAGCAUGGAUGCACUCUUGCCCAUCGAAGUUGAAAUCCCUUCUCUCUGGGUUUUGACUGAGCUACAAUUGGAUGAAGCAGAAUGGGUUCAAUCUCGAUACGAUCAGUUGAACUUGAUAGAGGGAAAAAGGCUAAAGGCUAUUCAGCAUGGUCAGAUGUACCAGAAAAGAAUGAUGCGAGCCUACAACAAGAAGGUCCGACCCAGAGAAUUUCAUGAGGGGGACCUGGUGUUGAGAAAAAUUCUUCCUCUACAAAAAGAUUUUAGGGGGAAAUGGAUGCCGAAUUGGGAAGGUCCUUAUGUUGUAAAAAAGGCAUUUUCUGGAGGAGCCCUGAUCCUGGCUGAAAUGUAUGGAAGAAACUUGCCUAAUCCAGUAAAUUCAGAUUCGGUCAAGAGAUACUUUACUUGAAGAGGGGAAGGAACCAAAGUGAAAACCCGCAAAGAGCGCUUUGAUUCCAAAAAAAAAGAAAAAAAAUGGAGAGGCUAAGGUGAAAACCCGCAAAGGGCACCUUAAGACUAAAGGGGAUUUGAGUUGAAAACCUGAAAAGGGCAGCUCAAAUUUUGAUUGUCACGUGGUAGUCUUGUUGUACCUAAAUCGGCAGAAAGGAACAAACGACGUCUUGGGGCAUCAUCAAAAUACUGUGAACCUCCUAAACACGUGUUGAAUUUAGAAAGGUCUUCAAAAAGUUGUAUAGAGAAAUUCAAGCAGAGAUAUCCGGGGCACCUAUUCAUAGUAUUUGUAUUGAAUCCGUUGUUUUAGAAUAUUUCAUUCUUUUUCAAUAUAAAUAUCCCCAGACAAUUCCUCUAUCAUUGACAAUCCAUUGCGAGCUAUGCUCCCAAAUUAAUUUUGUUUUAUUCAUCGUUAUGAUCUUUUCGCAAGCAUGUUGCAUUAGAAUGACGAUUAAUGGACUAGUAAAACUUUCACGAGGGAAGUUUUUCAUAUUACUCUAGAAAUCUUUAAAUAGCUCAGGAACCUGAAACAUGACUAUUGUUUAGACCUUCACCAGGUUAAAAGGUCGGAGAUAUCUAGGAGCCAAGAGUCAAGAUUAAAAUUUUCAAGUUUUAACGAAGCGUUGUUGUCACAAAGGAAGCCUUAAUAAGCAAUAAUGACUUUAAACAUUCAAUAUUCAUUUUUCAUGACAUAACAUUGAAAUGUCAUUCCUACACGUCUAGUUAGGAGCAUUUGAUUCAUUUCUCAUGACAUCCUAAUCACUAGGCAUAAUUAGGCUCAUCAUACAGGUCAUUUUCCACAUAGAACAGGUCAGUGGAAUCAUAAAGCCUUAUCUCCCUGAGCAGCAGUGGAGCAGGUUGAAAGAUAACAGAUCUUGUCUUCAUGUACUGGUGUGAAGUAGAUCAAAGAUACCAGAUCUUGCCUUCCCAUACUGGUGGCGAAGCAGAUCGAAGAAAACAAAUCUUGUCUUCAUGUACUGGCGUGAAGUAGAUCAAAGAUAGUAGGUCCUGUCUUCCUAUAUCGGUAGCGAAGUGGAUCGAAUAUACAGAUCUUGCCUUCCCAUACUGGUGGUGAAGCAGAUCGAAAGAAAGCAGAUCUUGUCUUCAUGUACUGGCGUGAAGUAGAUCAGAGAUAACAGAUCUUGUCUUCCCAUACUGGUGGCGAAGUAGAUUGAAGAAAACGGAUCUUGUCUUCAUGUACUGGCGUGAAGUAGAUUAAAGAUAUCAGAUCUUGCCUUCCCAUACUGGGGACGAAGCAGAUCGAAGAAAACAGAUCUUGUCUUCAUGUACUGGCGUGAAGUAGAUCAAAGAUAACAGAUCUUGCCUUCCCAUACUGGUGGCGAAGCAAAUUAAAUAAAGCAGAUCUUGUCUUCAUGUAUUGGCGUGAAGUAGAUCAAAGAUAGCAGGUCCUGUCUUCCUAUAUCGGUAGCGAAGUGGAUCGAAUAUACAGAUUUUAUCUUCCCAUACUUGUGGCGAAGUAGAUCGAGGAAAACAUAUCUUACCUCCCUAAGCAGUAGUGGAGCAGAUCGAAGAUGGCAGAUUUUACCUCCCUGAAGUUAUAGUGGAGUACAUUGAAGCCAGUGAUUCUAUCUCCAUGACAUUGCAGUGGAGUGGAUUGAAGCACUAGUUCCUAUACCUCUGAAAAUGCAGCAGGAAGGAAUGAUGCUACCUAAAAAGAGAAGCACUGAAGAAAUCGAGGCUUAGUAGGGCCGGGCACAAUUGGGCCUUGUAGUCUUUGCUCUGUUCCCGUUACACGACAACGAGCAAAGAGGGGCAGCUGUAAUAAGGCCCAACUGGCCCAAGCCCUUAUAAAGCACAGCCCAAAUUUAAAAACAUCUGUAGGCCCAAUUGAACUAGCCCAAUACUGCAAAAUUAAACAGAAAACUCUAGCACUAUACGCCCUAGCCACAGCAGCCUCCGCGCCUCCAGCAGACGUCCCAAGCGCCGUACGUCUCGGGGCCGAUCUCCUCUCCACGUGCGCUUCAUGAACGCCUGUAAACACGGACUCAGAGAGUCCAUCAGCAAAAAUAUAGUGGAAAAAAGUUAGUUUCGGGCUAUAAAAGCCUUUGAAAAUCUGUAAAAAAAGGGGAGGGCAGUGUAACAGAGACAGAAAUAGAGAGAAAAUACAGAUACCAAAGUUGUUUUACAAAAGUUUUUUUCUUUUCGUUUUUCUUUUCGUUUUUCAUAGUAUUUUUAUUAUUAUUUACAUGUGUUUUAUUUUCUUUUAUUUUCGUUUUAUUUCGUAUAAAAUAACAAAGAAAAAAGAAAAAGAAAAACUUACCUUCCGUCGGAGUUGCCGAAUCGACACCGACUCCACCGCGAUCGGAGCUCUGGCACGAAGAUGAAUGAACGGCGGCGUAGAGAGGGGUUUUAGGGUUUUCUAAAAUCGGCUAAGGGUGGGGGGAUUUAUUUAUUUUAGUUUUUUUUCUUUUUUUCAUUUUGUUAAAAUGGUUUUAGAAGGAAAAAUCUGUUUUAAAUAACAGAUCAAAACGGCGCCGUUUUGAAUGGCCAGACCCGCGCGGUGACCCGACCAGGAGGGGAGGAUCCGCGCGUUCUGACGUCAGAGGGGGAAUUUGCGCGAUCAGUCCUCCCUCUUUUGCGCCAUGUUUUAUUGAGCCAGUUUUUGUUUUUUUAAAUUUAGCCCAAAUGUUUCUGUUUCUGUUCAUUUUAGCCAGUGUUAAUGCGCAGCGUUUUGGAAGGACAGGAUAAUUUCCCUUUUGGUCCUCCCCUGUUACGCGCGCAUUCAAGGGGGCCCCUUUCUUAAAUUUUAUUCUAAAUUCGCCCCAUUUUUUUCGUUUUUAACUCAAUUUGAUCCAUUUUUUUAUCAUGACUAUGCUAUAUCUUUUUAUUUUAUCUUAUUUAUUGUUAUUAUUAAUAAUAUUAUUACUAUUAUUAUUUCAUUCAUACACACGUCUAUUUUAAUCUACAUGCCUAUUUAAUACAUAUACAUUUUUAGUUUUCAUAAACACAUGCAUUCAUACAUUUUUUUUUAAAUUUUGUUUUUUUAUAGUUUUCAGUUUUUUUAACCUUCUCAUACUUUAUAUUCCAUAUAUAUACUUAUGCAUUUUUAAAAUAGAUACAUAUAUAUACAUAAAUACUUUAAAUCUUACAUACACAUAUUUUAUACAUUUUUAUAUAUUAUGUUUUCAUAGUUUUUAUAAAUAAAUAUGUAUAUAUAUACAUGCGUAUAUGCCUACAUUUUAUAAUUCAUAUGCAUUUUUUUUACGUAUACAUGUUUUUUUAGAAAUCAUUAUAAAUUUUGUUUUUUAUUUGUACAUUUAUAUAUGUGCAUUAACGUAUGUACAUUUUUUCAUUUUCUACGAUUUUCGUAUUCACCCAUACAUGCAUUUUUUAUAUGUAUUGCAUUCCAUCUUUUUAUAUGUACUAUCGUAUAUGUGUUAAAUAUAUGCGUACACAUAUUUUCAAAUUUACUUGUAUAUUGUACUUGUAUUUGUAUAUUCGUAAAUAUUUAUUCAUAUAUGUUGUAAAUUAAAGUAUCUGUAUCAUAUUGUACAUUAUUUUUUUAAACGUACCCCUUUAAAAAUAUAUUUUGGUUUCAACCAUUCAUCAAAGUUAUUUUCUUGAUUUAAAGGUUUUUUUUUAAUAAAAGCAUUAUUUGAAGUUUUGGAUUUUCGAGGGAAAUUGAGCCCUAACGUAUUGGGUUCUGAUUUUCUUUGUCAAUCUUAAAUGACCGAGUAUUCUUUAUUCAAAAUACAUGAGCAUAAAAAAUCAUUUUUGGGAACUUAACUUGUCGUGCCCUAACGUAUUGGGUGUGGCCUGUUACUUUCUCGAAAUGAAGAUUUUCGCAUAAAAUAAAAGUGAUAUUCAAAGUUCGGGGAUUAUGAGGAAUUGUACCCUAACGUAUUGGGACUCGAUUUCUUUACAUGACUUGAACAAUUGGUUAUCCUUUUGCAAAAAUUUCAUCAUUCAAGCUUAUUUUAAAAUCUUUUUAACUUUCGACACUAAGACAUCGAAUAGUCAAUUUGGUACCGAUUUUGGGCGUUACGAGGGUGCUAACCCUUCCUCGUACGUAACUGACUCCCGAACCCGUUUUCUCAAAAUUCGUAGACCAAAAUAAAUUUUAAGGUGAGCCGAUCACACCUUAAUAAAGGAUCGGUGGCGACUCUAGUUUUAUUUUUAAAAGUCGACAACUAAUUUUUUUGUUUUCAAAAAACGGUUUCGACAGAUAUCCUGCUCAAAAUAAUGCAAAUUUUAUUCAUACUGAAACACUAAAUAAUUAAACAAAUAAUAUGUUAACAUUAUAUGUCAAUAUGCUUAUAUAUUUGUAUACCUUUUUAGGACAAGUGAGGAAGAGAUCUCCCCAAAUGCUAGGCUGAAAAUCAGCUUUGGGACGCAUUUCAUCCUUAUUGGAAGUAAGGGGUGAUGAAGAAGGCAAUUGAGAAACUUGUGAAGCCAUUUGGAUUGAACAAAAGCAAAUAUUCGAAAGCUUAAUUUGCUGCUUUGAUUUUGGUUUGCUCUUCAAAUUUGGCACAGAAUUUGUGUGAGGAUAAGAAUGCAAUAGUUGCAUGUAUUUAUAGGUAAAAACAAAAUACUGGUGAUUUUAAGUCAAAAAAAGACCACAUAAAUGCAUGAAACCAAUUAUAGAACAAAAUGCAUGCAGGGCCCAUUGAAUGAGAUUUGCAAAUAGAUUAAAAGCAAUAUUGGUUUGUCUUUUGUUUGAUUCUUUUCAUUCAAAGUUGAUGUCUUUAAAAAAUUAGUAGAUAAAUGUUUAAAUGUGUGUUACAAAGUAAAUAUCCUCUAUUUAUCUUUAAACUUUUAGACAAAUAUCAUUUUGGUCCUUCCCAGGGCCCCAUCUGUAACAAAUCGAUGUGAAUUUUAAGUUAAUUAUUCUAUCGGUUGGAUUGGUCAAACGGAAUUAUUUAAUUAAAAUAUAAAUUAAAUCUUAAAUAUAAAUUUGAUAUUAAAUAUGUUUAAAAAGUAGUAAUUUAUUAGUUAAAUUUGUUUUGUUCCUUCCAGUCGGUCUAGCAUGGCUGCAGACUUUAAGCAUUGAAUAAAGGUCCCUGUACUUGAAUGUGGGAAAGCAAGAAGAUGUGUUGAAGCCCCUAUAUGUAUAUACAUAGCAUGCUCUUGAUUCUUGUUCAUGACAUAAUUCAAUAGACAGAUUUUUGCUUAUAUAUGUUCUUCAUGUACUUGAUUUAAUGUUAUCAUAUUUAAUAUAUAUAAAAGGCUAUUAAGUUUAAACUUCUAAUCUGAUCACUUACAGAAAAAUAAUUUUAAUAUAAAAAACUCAAUAUCAAAAUUUUUUUUAAUUAAAUUUUAUGCUGAUUUUUUUAUCAUUCAAUAUCAAUUCUUAAUUUAACCAGUUAAUGUAGUUCGGUUUUUCUUUACCAACUGAAAUGUAAAUAUCAAAAUAAUUGAUGUCAAAUGUUUGAGGGCAUGUGUGAUACUUGCUCUUUUCUUUUCCUUUUUGACAUGCUCUUGAUUGAAUUUAAGUCCUCAGUCCACCGGCAGUCUUUAUGGGCAAUGUUUUUGUAAUACCCAAUUAUUGCCCGGGGCCCAAAAUCCUAAAGCCCAAUGACCCAAUACACCAAAUUAAAAACCAACAGCCCAAAUACAUUUGACCCAAUUGGCCCAAAAUUAGCCAUAGCCCACAACGUGUUUUCAGCAGCAAUGGAAGCAGAAACCGCAGAUCCUCGCACGUUCUCCAUCUGCAGCAACGACCCCAUCACCCCACGUCACAAUCACCCACGUUCAGCGAUCCCUCGCAUUCUACCUGCAAUAAAACCACAAAGAACAGCAAAUAAAAGGGAGGGCUAGAAUAGAAAUGGACGUUACGAAAAUUAGGAAGAAAAAAAGAAAGAGAGAAGGGGGGGUUUACAUUUUUGUAUCAGAAAAUUAUUGAGAGGGUGGAUAAAAACAAGAAAUUGGAGCAAAAAUUUUGUAUGAAUUAACAAGAAAUACAAGAGAAAGAAAACGAUUUUGGAAGGUAACAGAUUUUGUUCUGUUCUUUUACUGUUUUCACUUUAUUUUGUUUUUCUUUUGUUAUCCUAAAACAAAAAUAAAUAAAAAGAAGAAGGAAAAGGGCUCUUACCGGUGGUAGCGCGUCGUCGUGGCGCCGUCGUCAUCGUUGUGGCCGGUCAGAAAUGGGUCUGAAAUGGUGGAAGGGAGGCUGCGGCAAAUACAAAAAUGGCAGAGAAAGGGUUUUGAAAUGGGAUUUUAUAAGGGUUCAAAAGGGGCCAUUUGCGCGAUUGGUCCUUUUCUUUUUGGGGUUGUUUAAAUUAAAUUUAUUAUUUCUUUUAAAUUUUACUUCAUAUUUUAAUACUGUUUCAAUCCGGUCCUCAUUGCUGUGCAGUGUUUAGGAGGUUUGGGUAAAUUUCUUUUUAGGUCUUCCUCAUGUUAUGCGCGUUUUAAUUUGCUCCUUUUCACAUUUUCAAUUUUCAAAUUUAGCCUUUAAAUUCUAUUUAUUUUCAAUAUUAAUCCUUCAUUCGUCAUUUUAAGGUUUUUUUUAUAUAAAUACUGUUAGAUUGUUAUUAUUACUGUAUUAUUAUUAGUAUUAUUUAAUAUUAUAUUAAAUAUUAAUAUUAUUAUGCCUAUAUGUAUAUACGCAUAUGUAUGUUAAUAUAUAUAUGUACAUAUCUUAAAUGGUUUUAAAAUAUAUAAACGUGUCUUGUAUAUUUUAUUAUUACUAUAUUUUUCUUAGUUUUAUAUGCAUUCGUAUAUAUACAUAUGUCCAUCUUUUUGAUAAUUACUAAUAUAUUAUGUUUAUACAUUAUUAUGUUUAUUAUUUUUUUUAAAUGCAUGUACAUUGUAUUAUUGAUUCAUUUUCGUGAUUUUUGUAUAUAUUUGCACGAACGUUUUAUCAUACUUUUAAAGAAAGUAUAUUUUUGGUUUUGUUAAUAUUAAAAUUGUUUUUUUAAAAUAUUUUAAUAUUUGACAACCAUGAUUCUCGAGAAAGAUCGUGUCCUAACUUACUGGAUCGUGAUCAUUUUUUCCAUGAAUUUAACAAGCUAAGUAUUCAUUUCACAAUAAAUUUGCAAUUUUCAAAUAAAAGCUUAUCUCGGGAAUUCAAAAUGUCGGGUCCUAACUUACUGGUCGUGACAUUUCGUUAUCUCGAAAUAAGAAUUUCUAAAACAAAAAGCAAUAUUCGGUAUUUUGAAGAUAUAAAAUAUUGUGCCCUAACUUACUGGGUGUGGUGUUUUAUUUCUUUGAAAUGAGAAUGUUGUAUCAUUUUAAUCCAUUCACGGGUUAAAUUUUUUUUAUUUAAAAUCUUUUCAAACUUUCGACAUCAAGACAUAAAAUAAUCAAAUUUGGUACUGAUUUUUGGGCGUUACGAGGGUGCUAAUCCUUCCUCGUGCGUAACUGACUCCCGAACCUGUUUUCUCAAAUUUUGCAGACCAAAAUUGUUUUUUUUUUGGUGAGCCGAUCACACCUUAAUAAAGGAUCGAUGGCGACUCCAAUUUUUGUUUUUAAAUUCGAUAACUUAUUUUUGUUCUAAAAAAAUGGUUUCGACAGCUUGGCGACUCCACUGGGAACUUCGAGAGUCGAGCCAUAAAUUGAUUAGCUUUUGUCUUUUUGUCGGAAAGGUUUCAAAUUUAUUUUAAAUCACGAUUUCCUCUUUUGCAUUCAUUGAUUUUUAUCAUGAUAUGUUUGUUUAAUUAGUCUAAGUUUGUUAGUGUGUUUGCAUUUUGCAUUGCAUGGACGUUUUUUACCCAUCUAAGUGGGAGUGAAAAGCUAGUCCUUCGUGAGGUUUUCACCUCCGUGCAGGAUAGUGGAUCGCUUUCGGGAUACAUCCGUACCUAUGUCUUCGUGAGAUUUUCAUCUCCGUGUAGCCAUAGGGAAAUGUAUCCCCCUGAACUGAACUCGGUCUGUAUGAGCCUAUAAUGGGUGAGGAUCGAGGAAUCUGCUGGUUCGGGUACCUUUGCCCUAGAAACCAAACUACAUAUAGUGAACCUUAGGAACUUGCCUUAAAUAGAACUUUGCCAAACUCUUAGAGGUCACCCGAGUAGGUACUCUAUUUAUUUUCUUGUUCGUUUUUGUUUUGUACUAACCCAUUUUGUUUUGUUUUAAUUAUGAUUGCAUUGCAUUUGCAUCUUAAAAAAGAGAUGUUGAUUCAAGUUCGAUUACUAACUUAGAAAGCUUGUAAUGGAAUACGAAUUUCUUGAUAAAAUGGAAGAUAAUACAGUUGCCUAAUAUAUCCCGAGAAACACGAGAAGGGUGAUGGAAGAGUUCAUGACUUUACUUCGUGGCCCGAGGAUUCAAGCUGAUUAUUCGAGAGCUACCGACAUUCCAACUUUCUUAAAGAAGCUAAUGAGCAUUGCGAGGAUAGGCAGACAAUUGAUUGCGACCAGAAUCAAGCAGAAUGAGCUAGCAGUGACAUCCUUUGGAAGUUCGCAAGGUUUAUCUUAAACAUUUGGAUGAAGAAUGAGAAGAUGUCCUCGCCUGGAGUAUGAGGGCAAAGACGUAUAUAUAUCCGCUUUAUGUAAAGAAAUUUGUCUUCUAGUAAAGUUUUCUAAAUGGAAUUGAAUCAGAAUCAACGUCUCUUUUAUGCAUUCAUUUCAUGCAUUUGCAUUGCAUGACAUCAUAUGCAUUAAAAUCCAUUAAAAAACCCUAAUUGGUUAAAAUCAUUCCUCAGUUAACCUGGAAACCAACCAGCCAACCCAGCACCGUUACGGUACAAGAGCGAAAUUAAAAAAAUAUGGACCAAAGGUUGGAAAAGCUCGAGCAGUUUCAAAAAGAAACGCAGGAUCAUCUUCAACAGCAAAUGAAGGGACAACUCGAGAAGAUUCAAAAAAGUUUGAUGGAUAAAAUGGAGGAAUCACAAGGAAGCAUGAUGACAAAGUUAACGCGAUUGUUGACUAAAGGAAAAGAUAAUGGAAAGAGCCCUGUAACAAAUAUUGAAGAAGAAGGUGAGGAUGGACUCCAAUAUCCUCCGGGCUUCACUCCUUUACAUGUGCAGCACCAAGCGAAAGUGUACCCGCGUAAAUCUUCUGUUACGAUUAGGCCUCAGCAAGUUCAAGCCGAUGGUUCAAGGUCGAUGAAUUUUCAGGUCGGAUCAGGCUCCAGUCCUGAGAAUAAUACUGCCAAUCCUAUUGUUCCUGAUUUCGAUGAGGCAGUUGAAAAAGAGAAAACAAAAGAGGAAUUACCGAAGCAAUUUGAAGAAAGAUGGAGGUGGAUUGAGGAGAAAUUCAAAGUGAUAGAGACUACUGAAGGAUGUCAUGGGAUGGAUGCUAAGGAUUUAAGUUUGGUCCCUAAUUUAGUGCUUCCGUAUAAGUUUAAAAUGCCAGAUUUCGAGAAGUAUAAUGGGACCACCUGCCCUAAAGCCCAUAUUACUAUGUUUUGUAGGCGAAUGACUGGGUAUGUCAAUAACGACCAGUUAUUGAUACACUGUUUUCAGGAUAGCCUCACGAGGGCUGCGUCAAAAUGGUAUAAUCAAUUAAGCCGUGCUAAGAUUAGCUCUUGGAGGGAUUUAGCACAGGCUUUUAUGAAGCAGUACAGUCAUGUGGCAGAAAUGGUUCCCGACAGAAUUACUUUGCAAAACAUGGAGAAGAAGUCGAAUGAAGGUUUCAGACAGUACGCUCAGAGAUGGAGGGAGGUUGCAGUUCAGGUCCAACCACCGCUCCUUGAAAGAGAAAUGGUGAUGCUCUUUAUAAAUACGUUGAAGGCCCCAUUCAUCACACAUAUGUUGGGAAGUGCCACAAAAAGCUUUUCUGACAUAGUUAUGAGUGGUGAGAUGAUUGAGAGUGCUAUUAGGAGCGGAAAGAUUGAUGCUGGAGGAAAUAACAGAAAGUAAGCCCCAAGGGAAAAAGAAAAUGAGGUGAACAGCAUGAACACGUACAGCAAAUCGAUUACGGUGAAUCAGCUAGGAAAGGUGGUUACUAAUUAGCAGGGUUCAUCAAGAUAAGAAUCAGGUGUGAAGCCAGGUACUGAGAAGCUCCAGUUCACACCAAUUCCGAUGUCCUAUAAGGAGUUGUAUCAAAGCUUGUUCGAUGCGCAUGUUGUUGCUCCCCAUUACUUAAAACCUCCACAACCUCCGUAUCCUAAGUGGUAUGAUGUGAACGCGCAAUGUGACUACCACGCGGGAAUUACGGGGCACUCAAUAGAGAAUUGCAUUACCUUCAAAAAGCUAGUUGAAAAAUUCAUCAACAUGGGUAUUGUCAAGUUGGGUGACUCAUCCAGUGCAGAAAAUUCGCUACCUAAUCAUGAUUGACAAUAAGGUAAAAUGCAAUGUAUGAAGAGAUGUUGGGAAGCGUUCACAUCAAUGACAUGUAUGAAGACACAACUGAAGAAAGGGCAUUGUUAGAUGUCUGCCCUUAUAAAUUUGAGAGUGUUCUAAGCAAUUUGGAUUGCGGAAGAGACCCCUGUAGUUUUUAGAGCUUAUUUAGAGUAAUGUUCGAAACAUUUUUGUUGUUUUUAGCCUAAAAUUGAUAGAAAUUCCUUUGUGAAAUAGGCUCAUGUCUAAACGUCAUUAUUCUAAUAAAAUACAUCUUUGCAUUCAUUUUUGAACCAAUAUUCUUUCAGUCUGUCUGAAUAGUUAUUCUUUCAUUCUUUUGGAUUUUCUUCCACAUCAUUCAUUCAUUCAUAAUCAUAUUGUACAGAUAGUUCUUCAUAAAUUUAUACAUUAUUUUGUAUAUUCUUUGGUAUUUAUUAUGGGCCCCCAGAUAUCAAUGACAUGAAUGACACUGCUACAGACUCAGAAUCUCUUUUUGAGCAAGACAUGUGUUUAGAGGGAUCUCAUGACUUUGGAAGAUGACAUAGAUCAUGGUCUAUCUCCGGACUUGUUGAGGAAGGUAGAACAGGAAGAGAAACAAAUUUACCUCAUGGGGAGACAAUGGAGAUUGUAACCUUGAGGGAACAUGCAUAACCGAAGAGACAAAGCAAGACCUUGUUGAGUUACCUUAAUGGUUCAAAGAUGUCGUCGCAUGGUCAUACCAGGACAUGCCCAGGUUAAGCACAGAUAUUGUAAUCUGAGCAACAACAUAACGUUAACAAUUUUCAGUAUGUUCAAGAUACAUAUCAUGAACGAUGCAGUUAGAAUUCUUUACCGGGGCAAUACCUUCUUCUCUGGCUUAUUCUGUUGAAGUCAAGUUGUUAUUUUUCCGUAUUUUUGUUGGAUUUCAUCUUAAUUGAAGAGGAAAAUCUAAAAUUUUCUCGUCAUAGUUUCGCCCCAAAAGGCUCUAUGAGAGAAACCUGAUACCAAAGAAGAUUUUUCGCAUACAAAAUAAAAGUGGAAUAUCUUACGAGGAAGACCUUAUCUGGAAUAAUAUUGACUCUGAUCGAAAAGGAUGACCUGGACUUGCCUAAUCUUAUGAGUGCAGAUUCAAUUAAAAAAAACAAAAAAAAAGGGGAAAGAAAAGAAAAAAGAAAAAAAACAAAAACAAAAAGAAAGAAAAAAACUUCCACUGGGGCAAUGCCUUUCUCUUUAGCUUAUUACGAUUUUUUUUUCCAUUGAAGUUGAAAUUAUUUUUCUCCGGGUAUUAGCUGAGCUGAAGUAGGAUGAAGAUUUAAUCUCGAUACGAUCAGUUGAACUUAAUUGAAGGAAAAAGGCUAAAACGGUCAGAUGUACCAAAAACAGAUAAUGCGAGCUUAUAACAAAAAGGUUCGUCCUAGAGAAUUCCAUGAAUGAAACCUGGUAUUGAAAAAGAUCAUUCCUCUACAAAAAGAUUUAGAGAAAAAUAAGUGCCAGAUUGGGAAUGUCCAUAUGUUGUAAAGAAGACAUUUUUCGGAGGAGCACUGAUCUUGAGUGAGAUGGAUAGUAAAAACUUGUCUAAUCCUGUAAAUUCAGAUUUAGUCAAGAAAUGUUUCGCUUAAAGAAGGAGAGGACCAAGGUAAAAAACCUCGCAAAGGGCACUUUGAGUCGCAAAAAAAAGAAGAGAAAAAAAUGAAUAAAUGAAAAAGUGAAAAAAUGAAAAUUGGAAAAGUAAAAUGGAGAGGCUAAGGUGAAAACCCGCAAAUGGCGCCUUAGACCAAAGGGGAUUUGAGUUGAAAACCCGAAAAGGGCGGCUCAAAUAUUGAUCAGAAUGGGCAUGAGGCAAUCAGAGCAGCUCAAAUGUUGAUUAAAAUGGGGCAUGCUGUGAUCUUGAUAUGCCUUAGUCAACAGGAAAGGGUACGCGACAUCUUGGGGCAUUGACAGAGUAAUGUAGAUCUCCUAAACACAUGUCAAACUCAAAAUGGUCUUCAAGAAGUUUGUACAGAGAAGUUCAAGCUGCGACAUUUGGGGCACCUCGUCUCCAUACUAUUUAUUUUGAAUUUGUUGUUCUUGGAAUACUUCAUUCUUUUCCAAGAUGCGCAUUCCCAAUCAAUUUCUUUGUUAUCCUUCUUUACUAUUUUUGAUAAUUUAUUCCUUUCGAACUAUGCUCAAAACUAACUUUAUUUUUAUCCAUUGUUAUGACCUUUUUGCAAGCAUGUUGCAUUGGAAUAAUGAUUGAUAGACUAAUAAAACUUUCACAAGGGAAGUUUUGCAUAUUACUCUAGAAGUUUCUAAACAAUAUAGGAGCUUGAAACAGGACUAUUGUUUAGAACGCACCAGGUUUAAAGGUUGGAAAUCUGAGAAGGAAAAGUCUAAAUUAGGACUUUCUUUUUGAUUUUGUUGUCAAAAACAUUGAUUGAACAAAAUGACAGGAUGAUAGGUUGGUGGCAAGGCUUAGAUGAACAAACAAGCAAUAAUCACCAAGCAAUAAAAAGGUGUUUCUUUGGAAAGGAGAAUCCUUUAUUCGUGCAUAGGCAUUUGGUAUGACACCCUGAGAUUGGUAUGAAAGACCAAAGUGCUUCACAUUUUGCAUCCCUGAAUUGCGAUAGAUAAGGAUUGAGAAAAGACCAAAUUUUUCUACCCUUGGGUUACAGCGGGAGAAAGAUAGUACAAAUUUUGCAUCCCAGUGAAUCUUUGAGGUUUACAGUGAGGGGCAAUUUGAUCAAGCGUUUCUUUGGAGAUGUGAUCCGAACAAAAGACGUUGUAGCACGUCAGUGAUACGACUUUAAUAAACUUCGAGUAAUGACAACCUAAGCGGGAUCAUUCUCGGAGAGUAAAAUUUUGCAUUCAUGCAAACACCAUUCACACAUGUCUAGUUAGGAGCAUUUGAUUCAUUUUGAUCAUGCCAUCCUAAUCAUUAGGCAUAAUUAGGUUCAUUAUACAGGUAUUGUUCUCCGGAGAACAGAUCAGUGAAAGUAGCAGAUCUUGCCUUCCUGCAUCGACAGCGAAGGAGAUCGAAGAUACUAAUUCUAUCUCCCUUAUUGGCAGUGGGAUAGAUUGAAAAUUUCAGAUCUUAUCUCCCUAGGCAUUGGUGGAGCAGAUUGAAGAUGGCAGAUUUUACCUUCCUGUGGUUACAGUGGAGUACAUUGAAGCCGUAAUUCUAUCUCCCUGGUUGGCAGUGGAAUAGAUUGAAGAUUUCAGAUCUUAUCUCCUUAGGCAUUAGUGGAGCAGAUCGAAGAUGGCAGAUUUUACCUCCCUGUGGUUACAGUGGAGUACAUUGAAGCCGUAAUUCUAUCUCCCUGGUUGGCAGUGGAAUAGAUUGAAGAUUUCAGAUCUUAUCUCCCUGGGCAUUAGUGGAGUAGAUCGAAGAUGGAAGAUUUUACCUUCCUGUGGUUACAGUGGAGUACAUUGAAGCCGUAAUUCUAUCUCCCUGGUUGGCAGUGGAAUAGAUUGAAGAUUUCAGAUCUUAUCUCCGUAGGCAUUAGUAAAGUAGAUCAAAGAUGGCAGAUUUUACCUCUCUGAGGUUACAGUGGAGUACAUUGAAGCCAGUAAUUCUAUCUCCCUGGUUGGCAGUGGAAUAGAUUGAAGAUUUCAGAUCUUAUCUCCCUAAGUGGUAGUGGAGCAGAUCGAAGAUGGCAGAUUUUACCUCCCUGUGGUUACAGUGGAGUACAUUGAAGCCGUAAUUCUAUCUCCCUAGUUGGCAGUGGAAUAGAUUGAAGAUUUCAGAUCUUAUCUCCCUAGGCAGUAGUGGAGUAGAUCGAAGAUGGCAGAUUUUACCUCCCUGUGGUUACAGUGGAGUACAUUGAAGCCAGUAAUUCUAUCUCCCUAGGCAGCAGUGGAAUAGAUUGAGGAUUACAGAUCUUAUCUCCCUAAGCAGUAGUGGAGCAGAUUAAAGAUGGCAGAUUUUACCUCCCUGAGGUUACAGUGGAGUACAUUGAAGCCAGUAAUUCUAUCUCCCUGGACAGCAGUGGAAUUGAUUGAAGAUUUCAGAUCUUGUCUCCCCAAGCAGUAGUGGAGCAGGUCAAAGAUAGCAGAUUUUACCUCCCUGAAGUUGCAGUGGAGCAGACAGAAGUAACUAAUCCUAUCUCCUUGAAGUUGCAAUGGAAUGGAUUAAAACCACAGAUCUCAUAUAUCUGAAAUUGCAAUAGAGCAGGUCACGUCAAGAUUUAUUUUUUUAGUUGUAGCAGAACAAGUUGAAGCUAUAAAUCUUAUCUCCCUGAAGUUGUAGUGGAGCAGACUACAGAUAGUAAAUUUUUUUCUUUUGAGAAGCCACAAGAUACGAAUCCUAUCUCCCUGACGUUGUAGUGGAGUGGAUCAAAGCACUGUUUCUUAUAACCUCUGAAGAUGUAGUAGGAAGGAAUGAUGCUACCUGAAGAAAAGAAGCACUAAAGAAGCCGAGGCUUAGUAAAACCGGACAUAAUUGGGUGUUUUAGUCUUUGCUCUGUUCCCGUUACACGACAACGAGCAAAGAGGGGCAGCUGUAAUACCCAAUUAUUGCCCGGGGCCCAAAAUCCUAAAGCCCAAUGACCCAAUACACCAAAUUAAAAACCAACAGCCCAAAUACAUUUGGCCCAAUUGGCCCAAAAUUAGCCAUAGCCCACAACGUGUUUUCAGCAGCAAUGGAAGCAGAAACCGCAAAUCCUCGCACGUUCUCCAUCUGCAGCAACGACCCCAUCACCCCACGUCACAAUCACCCACGUUCAGCGAUCCCUCGCAUUCUACCUGCAAUAAAACCACAAAGAACAACAAAUAAAAGGGAGGGCUAGAAUAGAAAUGGACGUUACGAAAAUUAGGAAGAAAAAAAGAAAGAGAGAAGGGGGGUUUACAUUUUUGUAUCAGAAAAUUAUUGAGAGGGUGGAUAAAAACAAGAAAUUGGAGCAAAAAUUUUGUAUGAAUUAACAAGAAAUACAAGAGAAAGAAAACGAUUUUGGAAGGUAACAGAUUUUGUUCUGUUCUUUUACUGUUUUCACUUUAUUUUGUUUUUCUUUUGUUAUCCUAAAACAAAAAUAAAUAAAAAGAAGAAGGAAAAGGGUUCUUACCGGUGGUAGCGCGUCGUCGUGGCGCCGUCGUCAUCGUUGUGGCCGGUCAGAAAUGGGUCUGAAAUGGUGGAAGGGAGGCUGCGGCAAAUACAAAAAUGGCAGAGAAAGGGUUUUGAAAUGGGAUUUUAUAAGGGUUCAAAAGGGGCCAUUUGCGCGAUUGGUCCUUUUCUUUUUGGGGUUGUUUAAAUUAAAUUUAUUAUUUCUUUUAAAUUUUACUGCAUAUUUUAAUACUGUUUCAAUCCGGUCCUCAUUGCUGUGCAGUGUUUAGGAGGUUUGGGUAAAUUUCUUUUUAGGUCUUCCUCAUGUUAUGCGCGUUUUAAUUUGCUCCUUUUCACAUUUUCAAUUUUCAAAUUUAGCCUUUAAAUUCUAUUUAUUUUCAAUAUUAAUCCUUCAUUUGUCAUUUUAAGGUUUUUUUUUAUAUAAAUACUGUUAGAUUGUUAUUAUUACUGUAUUAUUAUUAGUAUUAUUUAAUAUUAUAUUAAAUAUUAAUAUUAUUAUGCCUAUAUGUAUAUACGCAUAUGUAUGUUAAUAUAUAUAUGUACAUAUCUUAAAUGGUUUUAAAAUAUAUAAACGUGUCUUGUAUAUUUUAUUAUUACUAUAUUUUUCUUAGUUUUAUAUGCAUUCGUAUAUAUACAUAUGUCCAUCUUUUUGAUAAUUACUAAUAUAUUAUGUUUAUACAUUAUUAUGUUUAUUAUUUUUUUAAAAUGCAUGUACAUUGUAUUAUUGAUUCAUUUUCGUGAUUUUUGUAUAUAUUUGCACGAACGUUUUAUCAUACUUUUAAAGAAAGUAUAUUUUUGGUUUUGUUAAUAUUAAAAUUGUUUUUUAAAAUAUUUUAAUAUUUGGCAAUCAUGAUUCUCGAGAAAGAUCGUGUCCUAACUUACUGGAUCGUGAUCAUUUUUCCAUGAAUUUAACAAGCUAAGUAUUCAUUUCACAAUAAAUUUGCAAUUUUCAAAUAAAAGCUUAUUCUCGGGAAUUCAAAAUGUCGGGUCCUAACUUACUGGUCGUGACAUUUCGUUAUCUCGAAAUAAGAAUUUCUAAAACAAAAAGCAAUAUUCGGUAUUUUGAAGAUAUAAAAUAUUGUGCCCUAACUUACUGGGUGUGGUGUUUUAUUUCUUUGAAAUGAGAAUGUUGUAUCAUUUUAAUCCAUUCACGGGUUAAAAAUUUUUUUUAUUUAAAAUAUUUUCAAACUUUCGACAUCAAGACAUAAAAUAAUCAAAUUUGGUACCGAUGUUUGGGCGUUAUGAGGGUGCUAACCUUUCCUCGUGCGUAACUGACUCCCGAACCUGUUUUCUCUAAUUUUGCAGACCAGAAUUGUUUUUUUUUGGUGAGCCGAUCACACCUUAAUAAAGGAUCGGUGGCGACUCCAAUUUUUAUUUUUAAAGUCGAUAACUUAUUUUUGUUCUCAAAAAAAAUGGUUUCGACAGUUUUCAUUACUGAUACUAGUUUCUUAGGAAAUAUUAGUGGAAAGCAAGAAUAAUACGACUCUAUAGUAUUUGAAAUACUAAUUUUUUUGGUAUAAUAUUUUAAAAUUUUACUUAAUAAAAAAAUGUUUAUCAUGUUUCUUUUAAUCCUUAGUAAUCAAAUGUAUUUGUUUACUUGUUAGAAUUUUAAAAUAAAUAAAUUUAUUCCUUAUUUGACCAACUCUCUUUAGGGUUUUAGAAUUAUUUUUAAAUGGAUGAAUUUAAAAACUAUGAAAAACAGUUACUAUUUUAAGGUAAAUGAAAAUUACAAAAGAAGGGAUAAUAUCGACUAAAAUUUCUAUAUUAGCCUAAUGGUCAGAGUGCUUAUCGUCUCAGGUGUGUCUUAAGUUUGAAUCAUGCUAGUCGUCUCACUAUUAAGACUUUACCCUCCUCUUAUAAUUCAAAAAAGAAACUUGAAAUCUCAAAAUCACUUAUUGGUUAAGAUAAUAUACAAGAGGUUAUUUCGAUAAAUUAAAAGUACAAUAUUUUAAUCCCACAAGUUCAAAUACUACCACUAUCAUAUGUUCUUUUAUCAUACUAUUACACCAAAAAUAGGAUAUGUUCUUAAAAUCUUAAGUAUAAAAUAUUAUAUGUUGAGAAUCGACCAGAUUAAGCAAUGAACAAGUAAAAAUAGCGGAAGAAAAUGAGAAAUUGAACACACAAAUUUAACUUGGAAAAACCCCUCUAAAGAGGAUAAAAAAUCACGGGCAAAAAUAAUUUUCCUAUAAUAACAAAAGAACAAAGGUACAAAGAUGGAGAUAAAAAACUAAACCUCAAAACCCAAAAAUAAAGAACCCUCAAAACGUAAACACAAAAUUCUCCAAAAGUGUUAUGAGUUCUAAUAUUUAAUGGGUGUAUUUUCUAAGUUGUAAAAGAGCCUAUUUAUAGGCUAAAUUCGAGGUCAAAUAAUAAUAAAAUAAUCUAAAAUAAUCAGAGUUUGAUUGAAACAAAUAAACAGAGUUUAACUGGGAGAUUAUCUUUUAAAUUUGACUAAAAUAUAAGGCAUACUUAACAAAUCUCCACAUUGACUCGUAUUUUCACAACUCCAUCUUUGCCAAAGCCUGCCAUGGGCCUAUUUUGAACUAUGCAAGGAAUUAACUGAGUCGAAUAUAUGCUUAGAAGCAAGAAGACUUCUAGCCUUCGACUUGUGCAUUGCCAAAUCAAAACUAACACGAGUCUAAUUUUCACGAACACAAUGGCCUAACUUUUCAAAACCUGCAUCCAAAAGAGAGCCUUUCUUCAACGAAAUGAUCAUACAUUCUUCCCUCCUAUGACAAAGUUGCCUCCGCUUCAAAUGAGUUGACUUCGACUUCGUAAUGGAUGAGCGACGUCUGAUUUCACCAAUCACUAUAGAACCUUCCAUAAUAUAAAGAUUGUCGGUUCUUUUACCUUUUAACAAAAUGAGAGCCCUAUGAGACACCUUAAUGUCACUCGGCUCAACGUUUGAUUCUCCAACCUUUCAAGUCUAAAAUACUCAAGGAGAUGAGAUUCUUUUGUAAAUCAGGUACAUACCUAAUAUCUAAUAAUGUCCUAAUUGUCCCAUCGUGCAUCCUAAUUUUAAUAGUACCAAUAACGAUUACCUUAAUGGAUGAAUUUUUUUUCAUUCGCACAACUCCACCUUCAAGCAAACUGUAUAUGGAGAACCAUUUUCUGUUUGCACACAUGUGGAAAGAGCAUCCCGAAUCUAGGAUCCAUUUAGACGCAAGCUCGGAGCUUUCGCUUGUUGACACUAACAAGAAAUCAUCAUUGGUUUCGUCAGCUAAAUUAGCACUAUCUACAUCUUCCUCAUUACUCUCAGCAACCCUUUUAUUUCGCAGUUUAUAACAAUAUGCUUUGAUGUGACCUAACUUCUUAUAAUAGUGACACAUUCUGUUUCACUUCUUUAAUGCUACUAAUAUGGAAGCUUUCCUAUUUGCCUUGCUAUUCGAACCAAAGUCAUUUUUGAGUUUGUCUUUACUCAACAAAUGACCCUUCAUAUCCUCAAACGAGAGUUUGUCUCUGCCAUAAAUUAAGGUUUCCCUGAAAGACUUGUAUGAAUGGGGUAAAAGGCACAAUAAUAGCAUAGCCUGAUCUUCGUCGUUAAUCUUAACCUCAACAUUUUUAAAUCAUUCAAAAGAGUAAUAAAUUGACUAAUUUGAUCUCUAAGAAGCUUACCUUCGUUCAUGCAAAACGUAAAAAGACAUUGUUUCAACACUAAAUGGUUAUCUAGACACUUAGUCGCAUACAGAGUUUCUAACCUUUUCCACAAGGCGGAUGAGGUUUUCUCCAUCAAUACCUCCUGUAAUACAUUAUUCGCGAGGCACAACUAAAUUGUAGAUAGGGGCCUUUUCAUCAAGCUCUUCCUGUUCUGUCUGAUUUAGAUUCUCAGGCUUUUUCCUAGUAACAACCUUUUUCAGGUCAGUCUAAACUAGAAUUGCCUUCAUUCGAACUUUCCACAAAUUGAAAUUUGUGACACCAUCGAACUUCCCAAUAUCAAACCUUGUUGUUGCCAUCUCUGAAUGAGCUGAUCUACGAAAAUCGAACUAACUUUGAUACUGCUUGUUAGGAAUCAACCCGAUUAAGCAAUGAAUAAGUAAAAAUAGAGGAAGAAAUUGAGAAAUUGAACACACAAAUUUAAUGUGGAAAAACCCCUCCAAAGAGGAUAAAAAACCACUAGCAAAAAUAAUUUUACUAUAAUGACAAAAGAAUGAAGAGUACAAAAGAUGGAGAUAAAAAAACUAAACCCCGAAACUCGAAAACAAAGAACCCUAAAAAAGUAAACACAAAAUUCUCCAAAAGUGUUAUGAGAUCGAAUAUUUAAUGAGUGUAUUUUUUAAGGUUGUAAAAGAGCCUAUUAUAGGCUAAAUUUGAAGGUUAAAAAUAAUAAAAUAAUAUAGACUAGUCAGAGUUCGACUGAAACAAAUAAGCAAAGUUUAACUGUGAGAUUAUCUCUCAAAUUUGACUAAAUAUGAGGCAUACUCAACAUUAUAUAUAAAUAUAUAAUAAAAAAUAAUAUUUUAAAAUUAAUAAAAAUAAUAUAUGUUAUUGUUAAGUUGAUAAAAUUUUGGUAAAUAAGAUAUGUGUGAUUAUACUAUAUUAUCGAUCGUAAUGAAAGACGAUGUUGGAAUGUCCAAGGUGAAGGGGAAAGAAAAAGUGAACAUCAAAUAACUAUUGCGGUUUGUGCUUCUAUAAUUCAAUUCCAAUUUGCUUUUGUAGAUUAAUUAGUUGUUAUAAUCAAUAUGACUUAAUGACAUCUUUCCCUAUCAACUUUGAAUAAUGGAUUUGAUUGGUGAUAUUUGAAUUAUGUGAUAAAUGUUUGAAAUUGCUUUGGAUGUGACUAUGAAUAUACAUUGGUAUUAUAAUGAUAUAUGUUAGAGCAAUGAAUAUGACGUUAAUGCCCCAUUAAACGAUGUUAGACGUAGUUUGGGUAUAGUUGGAAUUCCAUAGGGUCAUCAAUAUAGUGAUUUACUAGCCAUCGUUGUCGGGAAAUUCAGAAUGGUUGAAUAAACAGUGGGAAAAAUAAUGAAAAUCAUCGUUGUUGAGCAACCCGAGAUGACAGAAUAAAAUAGUCCUAGUUUCCAAAAGGGUUAUUGAGUUACUUGAUAUAUAUAGAUUUAAGUAUCCAUUCUAAUAUCUAUCAUUGGAUAAUAGGGGAAAAAAUGAAUAAGCAUUGAAAUUUAUAUUGAAAUGUGAAAUGAAUAUGAAAGUUGGAAAAUGAUAUGAUGAAUUAAAGUAGUAUUCAUUUAAGUAAUUGAUACUUUUUAUUUAUACUUACUUUAGUUUACUCUUAACACAAUAUAUAUUUGAAUUUGAAUUAUAUUAGCACUGUAAGAGCCCAAUUUUGUUCGGCCCAAAUAGAAAUAAAAAGUAAAUAAACAAAAUAAAAACGAAAAAUAAAAGUCUAAGUCCAUUUACAAACUAGAUUGGCCCAAACAAAAAGAGCCCAAUAGCCCAACCCAUAUGCUAAACCUAAUACCCAAUAACCUAAAGCCCAAUAGCCCAUAACCUAAACGAUUUUCAGAAAGCCAAAAACCCUAGAUCCUCUUUUGCACCGCGCCUCACCAUGUCAGCAUGCUCACCGCCCGAGAAGAUUGAAAUAAAAAUCGGAUACAAACAUUAAGCAAAAAAAAGUGAUUUACUUUGUUUCUUUAGAUUCAAAAACAAUAAAUUAAUAUAAAACCUUUUACCUGGCUUCGUCUCGCACUGCCGUCGGGGGUCUCCCUCGAUCCUAAAAGUCACCGAACCCAUUAGGUUUCGUCUGGGCUUCAAUAAAAGGGGAUACGAAAGGGCGCGACCAGAAAGUGGGAAAUUCAAAAUCUUUUUCAUUUUUUUUGUUUUUUUAAAGGCAUUUUCCUUUAGAUCCGGGUUUUAGGGUUGAAAAGGGUUGAAAAUGGGUUUUUUUUAGACUCCAACCAUCAGAGGCGACGGUCGUUGUCACCGAUGACCGUUGGCCACGGCGGAGCACUAGUAGGCCGAAGGUCAGACUGAGAGAAAGGCUGAGAGAAAAAGAAAGGGUUUCAAAACUUUUUUAAAAACCUAAGAAGAUUAAAAAAAAUUGAUUUAUAUAAGCAAGACUAAACGACACCGUUUUGGCUGGUGUUCAAAAGUCCUAAAACGGUGUCGUUUUGAAGCUUGGCUUACCAACCCGACCCAAAUCCGCGUGUUUUCGUGGAGUAGUCUAUUUGCAACCCUGGUCCUUCUGCUUUUGAACCUGUUUUUUUGAUAUAGUCCUAAUCUUCAUUUUUUUCUUUUUAGAUUGCACCUUUUAAUUUUAACUUGUUUUCAAUUUAGUCCUUCAUUUGUCGACCUUCUGGGGAAUGACGCGUGUCCUGGGGUUUGGAAUAAUUACCAAUUUAAGCCUUGUUUAUUUUCCCAUUUCUUAUUUUAGUCCUUUAUUUACUUAUUUAUUUAUUUUAUUACAAUUUAUGCUUUUAAUUUCAUUUUAAUUUCGAUUCAGUCCUUGGUUUAUUUAAUUUCAACCUUUUAUGAAUUGUUUUUAUUUAUUUAUUUAUUAUUUAUUUACCGUUUUUUAUAAUUAAAAUUCAUGUUAUUUAUAUUUCCUUUUUAUUGUGCAUUUUUCGCCCUUAUUAUUAUGAUAGUAAUUAUAAUAUGAUUAUCGUUAUUAUUACUAUAAUUUUUUUUUCACUAUCAUUAUAGUUGUAUUAUUAUUACUCACUAGCAUAGCAUUUUUAUUUUUAUUUUAUUGAUUUGUUCAUUUAUUUACUUAUCAUUUUAAUACCAUUAUUUCAUUUUUACCCGUUACUAUGUUACUUUAUUUUGCUAACAUCCAUGCCGUGUAUCGCGUUAAAACAUAUCCAUCCCUUUUACUACUAGACCUAGAUAAAUUAAAAAGCAAUCGUUAAAAGGUUGCAUUCAUUUUACGAUAUGAAUAUGAAAUAUUUUAAAGGAAAAACCAAGGCAGUGUUCAUUAUUUUUGGAAUUAGAGGAGUCGUGCUCCCAACUUACAGAGUAUGGCCUCUUUCUAAAACCCAAAUAGUUGAAUAUAUAUUUUAAAAAAAAAGAGAUUUAAGUAAUGAUCAAAUGGCGAUUAUUCUUGUUUUCGAGGAUUUAAGACAUUGUGUCCUAACUUAUAGGGCACGAUCUUUUCUUCUCGAUUAACUUGAAAUAUGACAUUUUCGUGAAAAUUAAUUUAAUUAAGCGAUAUUUUAAUAUCAUACAAAGAGGGAUCGUAUUCUAAAUUUGCUUCGCUUUUUCAAUUCUCGACAUCACAACAUUAAAUAACCAACUAGGUACCAAUUUUGGGCUCUAUGAGGGUGCUAAUCAUUCCUCAUACAUAACCGACAACCCACAUUCUUGGAUUUCGUAGGCUAAAAAUUAUCAUUUUAGAAAAUCUAAUAUUUUAUUAAGAUGGUUAAAAUUUGAGGUGACCCGAUUACACCUAAUAAAAAGGAUCGGUGGCGACUCCAUUUUUAUUUUUUUAAAUAAAAGUCUAUUUCAAAAAUAAAAAGGUUUCAACAAGCACCACUAAGUAUUCGAUACUCAACGCAUGGUUAUGUUUGUUUCUAUGUGCAAGUACCGAACGUGAGUAGAUGUAGAUUAUAGUGUCCAGCAUCCAACUCAACAACUCAACUCAGAACAUGCCUUAUUACCUCUUUUGUGUGUGUGUGUGUUUGAGUUGAAAUGGCAUGUACCUAGAUUGUUUUGGGCAUGUUGCUUAAGUUUUCAUUUUGGUAUUUUUGUAUUUGGCCUAUAAGGUUUUAUAAGAUGAAUUUUAAUAUUUAAUUAGUAGAUAAUUAUGCUAGUUUAUAUAAGUUUGAUUAUGUGAAUUAGUUGGUUAAAAGAUGUUACAUUGAUGGUUAUGAUUUGAUGAUGUUUAAUUGUGUUUAUAUGUGUUUAAUUGAUGGCCUUAAUUUCAUGUAAAAUUUUUGUAUAUUUAAUGUACCAUUUGGUAUGGUUUGGACACAUGAAAAUGUGCAUUUAGAGCUAUUUUACCAUUGAGUCGCAAGAUAGUAGGAACAUGUCGCGAGACCAUAAGAACAAAAUUUACCUUAUAAUUUAACUUAUAUGUUUAGUGUCUCAAGAUUUGGCAAGCUAGUCUCGAGACAAUCCUAUUCAAGCCUCGAGACAAGUGGUCAUUGUCUUGAGACAAGUAAACUUUGAAGCUAAAUUAGAUUUGCUCAGUUUCAGGUCUCGAGACAAAAACCCCUUGUCCCUAGACAUUUAAACAUCGAAGCUAAAUUAAUGAAACAGGGGAGGUUGGCCUCAAGACACAAAGAACCUUCCCUUAAGACACUACCUCUAGUGUCUCGAGACAUGUUGGCAUCGAAGAAAAAUACCUAAAAUAAAAUGAGGACUAUCUUGAGACAAGAAGUCCUCUAUCUCGAGACAUAACAUUGAAAUUUGAUAGUUGAGUUUGGAUUUGAGUCCUAACUCUAAAUUUAACCUUGUGUAACCCCAUAACAUGAGGAAUUGAAUCCUAAACACUAUGAAUGCAUAUGUGUGAGUAUGUUUGAUGAUUAAAUCAGUUUAUAUGAUAAUUAUGAUUUAAAUUUUAUUAUUAUAAAAUGAGAUAGUUUGAGUUGUUUUGGUAACAUAAUGUGACAUCACGCAUUUAGAUCCAACAAUCGAGUCGGGUGUAAGGUGUUAUAGUCAUGGUGUUGAAGUCUAAUGUCAAGUGAAGGAUGUGUAUGGAUUUCACCAACCUCAAUAAAGCUUGCCCAAAAGAAAGCUUCCCUCUCCUCUUCAAAGACAAAAUGGUUGACACCUUUUUCUGGGCAUAAUCACAUCUUGAUGGCUUAGGAAGACCAGGGAAGGACCACUUUCAUCAACUAACUAUCAACCAAUUUAGCAUAUAAAAAAACUUAAAUCCUACACAAGCAUUUUAUUAAACACAUAGUAGAAAUAAAAUAUAAAAGAUAAGGAUAUGAGAAAGUGCCCAUUAAUAGAUUAAAAUACGAUGAAGCCUACAAGCUUGAUCAUCUCCAUUUACAGAGUUCUCGAUAAAAGGGAAGAAAAUCUAUGCUAAAAUUAUUCUAAAGAAAAUGAAAGAAAAGAAAAAUAAAUAUAAUCUAAAAAGAUGAAAAGUAGAAAUAUGUUCUACCCUACAACUCUACUACAAAAAGACUUAUAAAGUAGUUUUCAUAGUCUUUUCUAACUUAACCUAACAAUGAUAAUUAUGCCCUCCCUUAAAAAUCUAAUUUGAAGGUUGUUGGACAAUAAAAUACCCUCAGCUAUUUUGCCUCGUCAAGGGUCGAUGUCACAACACCUACGAUAGUCUACACAUUUGGGUUAUUGGGUCUUUUAGUGUCGCAACAAUGGCCUUUGGUUUCAUGACAUUGUCUUCAGGCAACUUGAGUCCUUCAACUUUAGAGGCUAUGAUCAAUGUUGCGACAUUGCUAGCCUAGUGUUAAAACCACCAAGGUUUGUGUUGCAACAUCAACUCCUUGGUGUCACGACAAUGGAAGUAAUCUCCACAAAUGUGCAAUUUAUUGAAGUCUCACUCCUCGGAUGAUGUUGGAAGCAUUGGUGUCGCAACCUUUGCUCUAGUUUAGCCUCCUCUUCUCAUUUUCGCAUCAACCAAGUAACUGAACCAAGCUUAAGUUCCUAAUGUCAUAAACUUGUCAUUUUAUUCUGAGAACAUAAAAACGAAAUAAAAACUAAGAUUAAGUAUUAAAUCUACUAAUUGUGGAAAAGUAAUAACAGACGAUAUAAAAUACUCAAGAAUAAAUAGCUUAAUUUGACACAUAAAUACGAUAGAUCAAACUCCUCUAUACUUAAGUUAUUGUUUGUCCACAAGCAAACACACAAAACAUGCAUAAGAUGACCCUUGGAAUAUGGUGAACAAUAAGAAAUAUGACAAUCGAAUAUUGAAUUUAUACAAGACCUAUUUCACAUGCAAUUUAAGAUUGAUUUUUAGCUAACUUAAGUACUCCUAAAGCAAAUCUACCUAGUUAACUAAGUUAAAAAACUAAUAAACCUUGUGGCAAUUCAAAUGAGUAAAUACUCAAUUAUGUUAUCCAUCAAUAUAACUUAAAUAGAUAUAUAGUAGACACAACAUGCGAAUCCAAAGCUUUCAAUAAGCUAACUAUAAACAAGUCAAGAAGAUCAUGUAAAGGAAAUGCUUAGGUCACAUAAGUCUUCUUGGCUUGUAACAUUCUAAGGCUUAGGAAGGUUUGGAUUCAAAGAAAAAAAUAGCUCAAAAUGGUUUCAAGCACUAGAGACUGUAAGCACAUGACAUUGUCCUCUUUUCUUCCCCGAUUUUACCAUUAUGCUCACCGCCUUAUUUUCUCCUUCCCGCACCUCCCUUUUUUCUCCAAAGAUGUAAAAGAUAUGGAUCAAUAUUGUUAUAUAAAAAAAGCUAGCAAGUAUUUGUGAAUUAAGAAAUGAAAUAUUUCUUUUAAACUCGAAAAUAAAUUUUGUUUGAGCACUUUUCUUGAUACUAAAAUUUCAUAUAAUUGAAAAACUAUAAUUUAAAAUUUUUAUAUUAAAAAAAUACAUUCAAUUUAAAUUUUAAUCAUAAACACAAAUAGAAAAAAAAAUCUAAUUUUGUCUUAAUAAAUUCUUUUUACUUUCGAUCUAUAUGAGAAAAUAACUUUUUUACCAAUUAUCAAGGGAAUCACUUUCCAUUACCGAAAGAAAUUAAAUUUGAAUCACAUUUUAACCAAUUAUAUGUCAUAAAAAAUGAUAACUUUCCAUCAUACCAAACGUCCUUUUAGUCAAAACAAUACAUAAAUUACAAAAUCUUCUUAUUAAAUAAUAAUUAAAUUAUCCUUGAAAAGUUCAUACAUAUAUACACUCAUUUAUUAUCCAUAUGAAAUUCAAAAGUAAAAUAUUCCAUAUUUUCCUAAAAUAUUAUAUUUAUCAAUAACAAGAUAAAAUGAUUGUAGUUUUUUAGUUUUAAUUAUCUUUUUAAGUCAAAAGAAUACAACCUUAAAAUGAAAAUAUCAAUGGAGAGGGUGUCGUUUUUGAAUUAUUUUUUUUCUUUCCUUUUUUGGUACGUCAUUUAAUGUCCAAAAUAGUCUAUCUGGCGGUCACAUUAUCGUGUAUAUAUAUAUUUGGAAAUUUGGGACACUAACUACAAAUUAUUUUAGGGAGAUCUAUUUACAGUGAUUUACUCUUUCAUAUCUUUUUUUAAAACUAAUAUUGUAACAAUUUAACUGCUGAAUUUAUUGAUAUAAUUAUAUUUGUCAUGCAUGUAAAUUUUUGAAUUAAUCUGAUAUCUUCAUCACAUCAAUCUAAAAUACUAUAGAUAUAUAUUAAUAUUUAUUGAAUGGUUAAUUUUUUUACCUAAAACAAAUAGUUAGAAUAUAUAAAUAAAAUAAUAAUUUUACGAUUAAAUAACUAAAAUAUUAAUCAUAUUAAGAGAUAUAAAAAACUGUAAAAUUAUUUUAAAUUUAUACAUAUAUAAAUGGAUCAUUAUCGAAAACUUAAUUUUAAUUACUAAAAAUAUUGACAGUGAUAGUAUUAUUAAGACAUUUAUUGAUGGAUAUAUUUACUUUAGAUUAAAAUUUUAAAUAGGUAUUACGAAUCAAUCAAAUAUUAAUUUAAUUUAAAAUAUAAAAAAAAUAGUUAAGAAAUCAUUAUUUAUAAGUAUUGCAACUCAUUCUUAUUUGGGAAGAACUCGAUUUUAAAGUCACUACCGCAGGUAACCAUAUUUUAAGUUUAAUUUUGAAAAAUCCAAGUUUAAUAUUGCUCCAAGUUUCGGCGGUUGAUUUUAAUUUUUGACCUUAACUUUGAUUUUGACUAUAAAUUUUGAUUUUUUGAUUUUGAUUUUUUGGUUUUUAUGGUAUUUGUCAAUGCUAUUAACAUUUAAGGGUGGCAUGACCUCCUCCCUCAUUUUGCAAAGGAAGAGAAAGAAAAAGGUAAUAAGAAAAAAGAGAGAGGUCAAGAGAACAGUGAAGCAUUCAAAGGAGAAAGACAGGAAGCUUACAAGUGAGGUAGAAGAAGAACCAAGAAGGGAGCAUAUAUAGAGAGAGGAUCUAGUUUGUAUUGUAACCCUCUCUCGUUUGCAUACGAUGAAAUCUUACUUCGAAUAAACACGAGUUGAAGGUAAAUAAUUUCAUGGUUUUAGGUGUAUGGUUGCAUGCUCUUGGAAUCUCACUAUUCUUGAGUCCUUCAGACUGUGAGAUUGCAAAUUUUGUUUAUUUCAUGUGAGAGAUUGCAAAAUUUGUUUGUGUUAUUAGGAUGUGUGUGUGUUUGAGUCUUCUGUGCAACAUGCACUUGGGAUAUAUCUUUUGGGUUUCAAAAGUGGAAACACCACAUGUGGGUUAUAUGUUAUCGUGGACAACCUCAAUAGUAAAGUACCCAACAAAGUGUUUUGGGUAUAUGUACCAUCCACAAAUGUGACUAAAGGCAUACUCGUAAAUUUAGUUUUUAAUGUUUAUCUUUUUUUUAUCAAUUUAAUCUUUAUUUUUUUGUGAUCAAUCUUAUAAAAAAAAAAGUUAAAUUUAACCAUUAAUCUUUCGAUAACAGUUGAAUUUAACCAUUAAAUGUUUUAAACAUGAUACCUCACAUGACAAUCCACAUAUAUUUCAUGCAAAUUUCUUUUGAGUUUUUAUGAACUUUUUUAAAAUUUUUUAUUUUGAAUAUUUUUAAAUUAAUUGUUGUAUAAAUUACACAUAGAUUGCCAUGCCAACAUCGUUAAAAACUUAAUGUUUUAAUUAACAUUUCUAGUAAAGAAAAGCGAUUCAACUCUUUUUAAAAGUUUAAUUGCAAAAUUUAAUUGAAAAGAAAGAGAGUAAAGGUCAAAUUGAUAAAAAUAUAAACGUUGAGAGCUUAAUUUAUUAUUAUAUUCUUACUAUUUAUCUCAAAGGAUACCAACUAUUUUGGAUCUAGUAAAAAUUCAUUUUAUAUAAAUAAAAAUUAUUUUUUAUUAUGAGCAAUGGUUUUUAAAUAUAGUUAUUUUAAUCCAAUUUACAAAUACUCAUAAUUAUUUGGUACCCCUUUAAUAAUGGGUGUCAUGAGUAAUGGGUGUCAUGAGGAUGCUAACAUCUUUCUUUCUACGCAUAAUCGUGCUCUUAAACUCAGAUUUAUUUUCGCCCAUCAAAAUUUGUUUUAAUGAUUUUAAACUUUCUAUGCAGUCAACCACUCUUUAAAAGAAAUUGGUGGCGGCUUCGUCUGGUUUUAAAAAUUCGUCAGCGGUAUUAUAAUAUUAUGAGGGUGAUUUUAUCUUUUUCACAUAUUUUUAUAUAGAAUCGAUAAAUUUAUAUGUAUUGUGAUAUUUAAACAUAAAAUAUUAUAAUUUUUAAAUAUUUCACUUUACAAUUUUAAUCAAUUUUCUAUUUAAUUCUUACAUAAACGUUAAUGAAUACAUUUUUUCUACCUUCAGUCCCCUAGCAAUGAUUAAAUACUCAAAUGGUAGAUAUAAUUAUCAUUAAGAAAAAACGAAUAGAGAAACAAAGAGAAAGGUACAUGCAUCUAACAUUAUUUUAUUUCAAAUCAUAGUCAUUAUUUUGAGAUAUACAUUGGCAACAUUUAUUGAAUAUUCAUUGGGAAAAGAAAACAAGACUAUAAGAUAAACGAAAUUAAAUAUCAUAACCAAAUCUUGAAAAUGAAUACUAAUAAAUUUAAACAUAUGGUGUUGGAUCACAUUAAAAUAUACACCAUUAAUUACUUUUUAGCUUAAUAAAAAUAAUGUAAUGAACGUAAAACAAUUUUUUUAAAUGUUAAUUAACAAUCUUCAAUCAAAUACUUGCAAGAGUUUUAAAGUUUGGGUGUUUUCCGUUAAAGUUAUUUUGGGUUAAUUUAAUUUUUUUCCUCCUUAUGAUCAAAUCAAGAUAAUCAUGUUUGAGUUUGGAUUAAUAAGAUCAAAGUUUGGUUUAUCUUUUAUCGCAUAUUAAAAAAAAUAGUUAUGUCGAUUGAAUUUUAGUUCGAUUAAAAUGGAUAUUGUUAUCAAUGUAGGAGGACGUGUUUAUCGUUAGAGAGGGGUUAUGGAUAGUUUUAGGCAUUGUGUUAAAAAUAAUAUGACCAGAACCUAUAAUGCGAUUAUUCAAAUAAUAAUAAUUACUCAAAACUGAUUUUUGAUUUUUUAAAUUUAUUCUCAUAUAUAUUAUAUUGAAAUAAUAUGAAAAAAAGAAGUUAAUUAACAUAAUGACAUAAUUUAAGGAAGAAAAGAAAGGCACAUUAAUCUUAUUUUCAGCCAUCUAAAAAAAAGCAAUAAAAUAUCGACUCUAGACUUACACUAUGUUUGGUUGGGUGUAUUGGCUAAUCCAAUACACCCCUAAUCGGUGGCCCCACCCAAUCCCCCCUCAUUCCUAUGUUUGGUUCAUAGUAUUGCCUAAUACAGGCCUAUUACGUUACGCCCCUAAUCCUCGAAAUUCUCUGUUUUGUAAUCCUUGCCUCCUCCUCAGAUUACAUCCGUUUUACAUCUCACGCCCUGAUUUGCCCUCCCAACUCGAAAUCCACCUCUAGCCUCUCCCUCCCAACAUCAAACAGCAGCUGCGAGCGAAGUCACCUCCACCCGACUCCACCGUCUCAGGUCUCCGGCCCCAUUGUUUCGGUAAGUGCUUUUUCACUGUAUCUUUCCAUGCUCUUGUUCUGGGGUGUUUUUACUGUAUUUCCCGUUGUGGGUUGUGAUGUUCAUGGCUGCUUUCUUUGGGUUUUUUGGCUAUGCUCUUCAAUGGCUUGUUAUCAAACAAAUCAUUUCCCUGCCUUAUUUCCUGGUUAGUUCUCCAUCUUUAUAGACUCUUUCAUGGUAUUAGUAACUUUGAUAGACUUAAAUUGCCUGGUUUCUCUUCUUCCUGGGAUUUCUAAUCUGUUCUAUUUUUUUACUGAAUUUUGCAGUUUUGCCUGGUUUCUCUUCUUCCUGGGAUUUCUAAUCUGUUCUAUUUUUUUACUGAAUUUUGCAGUUUUUUUUCCUUCCAUUUUCUUUAAAUUAUUUAUUCUAUUUUCAGAAUUUGCUGCUUUUGUAAGUUUAAUUUUUUUUAUCUUCGUUUCCAUGGGUAGGUUGGGGGGGUUAGUGGAAUAAUUAUAUACUGAACCUCAAUCCAUACAAAAUCAAACAUUAGAACACAAUGUAAAGAGAUUGUAAAGGAAGAAGCGCCAUCGUCCUCCUCCGGUGUCGUUCCUGCGAAAAGCCGUCCUUUUGGUAGCCUGAGAGGCGUUCAAUGGCGUAUCAAUCUUGGGAUUCUACCUCCUUCUUCUUCAAUUGAUGAUCUUCGUAGGGUAACUGCUGAUUUUCGCAGAAGGUAACCAUUUCAUCUUUACCUUUUCCUUUUUUUUUUAAAUCCUAAGAAAAAUUUAGCAUCAGAGUGUGAAUUUUUAAAUUACAGCUUCUUUUUUUAUUGUACAGAUUACCUAAACUUGAUUUAAUUUUUUUUUCUAAUUUUAUAUCCAUUUUGUUCAUAUUUUUAUAAAGCAUUUCAGCUAAUUCUAGCUUAAAUUUUAUUUAAAAUUGAUAACUUUGUGUCUCUCUUAGAUUGUUUCAAAGAACAUUGUUUUCCUUAAUUAAAUUACAAUUUUUUUAUUAUAAACUAACUUCGUGAAUUUAGAUAUGCUGGUUUGAGAAGGCAACUGUUAGUGGAUCCACAUGUUCCCAAGGAUGGAGCAACCAAUUCCCUUGAUCUUGUUAUGGAUAAUCCACUUUCACAAAACCCAGGUAAUUGUAAUGUUUAUGCUUUCUUUUUUGCUGUAUUGCUUCGAUUUUUAGUUCAUUAUUGAUUAAAUUAAACAAUUUGCAUUGUUGAUCCAUCAGCUUUUGUUUUAACUAGUAUUGUUGUUUACUCCUUGUUAUGUUAUCUUGAUUAAUGUUGAAUUCAUAUGGACAGUGAUUAUGGGUCCAAUGUCUGUUUCGAUUUCAUAAAAUGGAGAAUCUCUUUUCCUGGAUUUACACCUUAUCAUGGUUAGUUGGCUUUUUCGAGCCAGGAAUUGUAACUGAACUUUGUCAAUGGAAAAUUAGAUCGCCCUGAAUGCUUGGAAUAUUUCUUCUAUGAGCAAAUUUACUAUGGUUUCGACGUAUUUUAUGAUUUUACAAAAUAAUGUGUUUGGAGUACAACUGAAUUAUUUAUUUUGGUUUUCUGGUUUCAGACAAUGGAUAUUUCUAAUAUGGUUCUUGGGGAUGCUUCUUUCACUGCACCUUUCAAGCUUAUUGCAGAGCGUGAUGAUUACAUCCAUGCUUUCGUUGCAUAUUUUGAUGUUUCGUUUACCAAAUGCCACAAAUUGAUGGGUUUCUUUACAGGUUUGUAUCUACAUCAAAAUUCUCCAUCCUUUGUCCUUUCCAUUUUAUCUACGAAUAGAAAUCAGCAAGCCAGCCUAGAAGAACUUUGCCUUGGCUAAUGGCAAAUACAAAAUGCAGGACCAAGAUCGCGAGCUACCCAUUGGAAGCAAACAGUCCUAUAUCUAGAGGAUGUGUUAACCAUCUGUGAAGGGGAGACAAUAAUUGGGAGCAUGACUGUUGCACCAAACAAGAAGAAUCCCCGAGACGUUGAUAUAAUGGUUAAAUAUUCAUUGAGCGGACGACGUUGUGUGGUUUCGAGAGUUCAAUUCUAUAAGAUGCGCUGAUUUUGUUGCAGAGUAUUUCAUCACCACUACUAGCUGUAGGAUACCUUGUUUGCAUGUUCCUCAAAUGUUUCACCAACAUUUUUUUAAUUCCUUUUCUACUUUCUUUUUUCUCGAAAGGUUUUCCCUGAGAAAGAAAAACACAUAAGAUGCAUGUACUUCAUUAACUCAAUCCAACUAUUUUCUUCUCAUGUAUGCUUCAUAUUGAGUCUUGUGUUUUGUGCUGAUGUGAGGGAGCAUAUAUACAAAUGACAUUGGAUGUAUGACAUAGGACUAAAUAGAUUUUGAGCUUUGACAAGCUGCUUAUAAGCAUUGUUUCUUAUAGAAGAAACACAUUAUUGGAGAAAGCUUUUGAAUCUCCCAACUAUUGGAUUUGGGUUUCUUUUUGACAAUUUGUUUAUUGUGCUUUUGUUUAGAUGAUGAGAAAGGAAAGUCAAGAAUUAUAUUUACUCGUUAAGUUAAAUGAAGAUAUUUGUAAUUUAAAAAAAUAAAAAUUCAAUAUAAAUUUAAAAUAAGAGUUUAACUAAAAAAUAAGAGUUAGUGGCAAAAAUUAAUAAAAUUUAAAUUUUAGUGGUAAAAUUCAAUAACAUAAAAAUUAAGUUACAAAUUUACUCAUUUUUUAAAAAAAUAACGGCAAAUAUAAAUAAAAAUAAAGUACAGUGACAAAUUUCAAUAUUUAUCUAUAGUAUGAUGAUAAAUUAUAUAUUUUUAUUAACUUAUAUUUAAUAAUAAUUAUGUUAAAUUAUAUUUUAUAGUAUUAUAUAUUAUGAUUUUAGAAAAUUCAUAUAAGAAUAUUUAAUAUUAAGAAUUUUAUUAAAUCAUAUAUUUUAAUUAAAAUAUAUUUAAUAUUAAUUAUUUCAAAUUAUAUUUUAUAGUAUCAUAUAUUAUGAUUUGAGUAAAUUCAUAUAAGAAUAUUGAUUAUUAAGAAUUUUAUUAUAAAUUAUAUAUUUUAAUUAAAAUAUAUUUAAUAAUAAUUAUGUUAAAAUAUGAUUAAAUUAUUUAUUACUGAUAAUAAUAAUCUUAUUAAAAUUUAAAUAACAAUAACAAUAAUCAUUUACCAAAACAAUUUUAUGCUAAGGGUAUUCUAGUCAUUUUAGUUUUUUCCAUUAUGCUAUUACACCUCUAUUCCAUUCAACCAAACACAAGAUUACUAUUACGCCUCUAUUCCAUUACAUUCAACCAAACAGUGGAUUAGCUAUUACACCUCUAAUCCAAUACACCUCUAAUCCCAAUACACCUCUAAUCCAAUACAGCAAACCAAACGCACCCUUAGAGUGUUGAAAAGUCAUUUGAAUCAUCGGAAAUGACAAAUUAGUCAACUUUAGUGACGGAUUCUCACUGUAUAGUUACGAAAUUCAUUGAAAAAAAACAACGAAAACUGAUAAACGUAAACCAUAAAAUAAGCGUGAAAUAUAUAAAAAAAAUUCUAAUAAAAUCUAACCAUACAAACAAGACAGCUUCACUCUUUGAAUAACGUAUUUUUCACUAUUUAAUUUAACAUAUUUUUUAAUUUGAAUUGUAAUCUCCGUAGCUGCAUGAUUUAGUCGAUGCUAAAAAUUUAUAUUUAAAUUCAUCAUUUAAAAUAUUCUAAUACAUUAACUACGAGAGUUAGAUGAGAUGAUAAUGUUUUUUUUAUGGGCCUUAAAUAUGAAGUGACUUUAAAAUUUAGAGUCAACAUCUAUCUUUUAAUGAACCUACAGAAUACGAAAAAAUUAGUUACUACGCUCGCUCCAGUAGAUACCUUAGAAGAAAAUCUAAUACAUUAGAAUUGAGAUAAAAUAUUGAAAGGGAAUUAAGUAAAUUUCACCAAAGGCGUCUAUUUAUAAUUCAAAGUUUUCAAUGAAAUUAAUAUCUUUCUUUCUUUAUAAUAAUUUAUUGUGCAUGUGUUACAACUUAGGACUUUUGAACUGUGCUGAACAAAUUACUUUUGAACUAUGCGUCCAAACUUAGGACUUCCCAAAUCUUGGGGUGUUACAACCUUUUUUAACUUUUAAAGGGAAAAUUAAAUCUCUCUAUAACCAAAAACUAAAUUUUUCUCAAAAAAUAAAAUUUAUUAUAAAAUAAAAUUGCCACUAUUUUUCGACAAAAUAAUGGUGCUCUCAAAAUUGUGUUAUUUAUAGAGAUAUGGUAUAAGAGUUCUAUUCGAAUAAAGUAUAAUUAAUUUUAUAUAUAUUUUAAUAAAAAAUAUAAAUUCUACUUGGAAGUAGAAUAAGGGGUGGGUAGUGGCACCCCUAGGGUAUUAGGGUUUGUUACUCCUUAUAUUAAACCGGGCCUAAUUUGGGUCUUUCAUGUAUUAGGUACUAUUAUAUGUGUUAUCUAGAUUUUUAACUAAUACUUAUAAUUUAUCCAACCCAAUAAUUAUUUUCUAUUUCUUAAAAUAUUAAUUAAUAACUUAAUUUAAUUAACUAAUUAGUUAAAUUAAUUUCACAAUUAAAUUCUUUUCUCAACCCAAUUCUAAUUUUGUUGAAGUCACACAACUUUACCGUAUUAGAAUCUAGGAGGAAAAAUAUUUAAUUAUCCCUUUCAAUAAAUCCAUGUUGACUAAUUAAAUUAAUUCUAAAUAAUUACAAUUAAUUAAAUAAUAAUAUAAAGAAGUUAAAUUAAUUUAUAAGUCAUCUUUUGUAAUUAGCGAGAAAAUGCAUUCAUUACAGAUAGUAUACAUGCAAUCUAUUUAUCUUAUUUCAUUGUUUUCAUUCAUUUCAUAUAAUUGGUUUUGCAUGCAAUUUGUUUUGAGUUAUCUUGAGCUAACAGAGAGACCAAUUGAACAUAUAUAAUUAUGGCUCAAAUAAUUUGUAAUUAAGUUUCGACUCUUCAUCUAUUAAUUAUAAUAUUAUUUAAUCAUAGAGUCAUUCCACUAAAGUACCAUGAUUGAACACUUCUUUAUUAUAUACUAUUAUAAAAGCUACUAAUUAAGUGUUCAUUCAAAUACCUUGUCAUAAGUAUGUUACUCUCAUAGGAUCUCCUUAAUCUCAUUGAGAUAAACCCGUGCUCCCAUUAUGAUACUGUUUUAUGUCAUGGUAACCAUAAAAUCUUCAUUCAUGAAAAGUCAAUUACUAAUUAAAUAAUUUAUCUCUAAGACAAAUGACCUAUGGUCACAUUACUUUCCAUCUAUCAUCAUUUCCCCUUAAUUGGGCUAUGAAUUUCACUAUUGUGGAAUGAUCCUACAUCAUGCAGAAGUCAUAUACCCAAUGUACCAACUUUUGAUUAUUUAUCUAUUUGAACACCUGUUUUCAUUUACAUCAAAGUAUCCGAGUCACAUAUACAUACUCCCUUAUCCAUUCAAUUAGCCAUUCAAUGUUAAAGUAUAUCACACUAUGAAUGUCAUAAGUGACUAAAUCCAUAAAUGGAUCUAGAAUUUAUUCUACUUGGUUAUUGUUCGAUGUACUAUCUCAACCACAUCUAUGUCUCUAUUUUUUGAAAAUCAUCCACUCCAAUAUCUGAAACAAAAUAUUUCCCUAAUUAAACUUGAUAAAAAAAUAAUAAUCAAUCAACCAAUUUAAUCAAUUCCGAUCAUUCCAUUUAAGAAAUAAUUAUUUUGAAAUUGACUACUAAUCCUUUAAGAUUGGCUACAAAUUUGAUGAUUUUUAAGCCGCAAUUAAUAGUAAGUAUUUUAUAUGUCAAACUUAAUCAAAAUUAAAUAAAUAACGAGUUCAAAGUUUAUGUCAAUAAACUUAAAGUGGUAAGGGAUAGUGGAUUUUUUUUAUCUUAAUUCCAAUAUUUAUAAUUCGUCCUACUUUUAUAUCACAUAUUCUUUUAUAUAAAAAAGUAUAUAAAAAUAAGUAAAUAUAAAAUAUAAAAAAAGAAUAUUUUUCAUAAUGGAAAGCUUGAAAAGAACUUUAUUGAAUUAAUAGAAGGUAAUGAGUACAAAGACAAUCGAUUCGGACUUUCUUUGAUAAUAUAUAUGAAUAUUAUACAACAUUAUUAAUUAGAACUUAAUAACUAUUUCUUAAGGAAGAUGCUUGAAGAGGAAAAUUUAAUAUAAAUUUCAAAGUGCAAUUGGUUCAAUAAGCAAUGAAGUGAUUCCACCCUUAGCCGCUUUUCCAACAUAUGUAUAUCCAUCUCCUUCCCUGUAAAGUACAUCCAUCACCCUUGCAAGGUUUAGGCUACGAUUUAAAACUUCUGUUGGCAUUUCUGUUGGUUUCUGAAACUCUUGAUUCACAUUCUUCCAGGCACUCUCAACAUGCUUGUUGAAUACAUCGUAUGCCUCUUGUGCUGAUACGCCAUAUUCUUCCAUGUAACACUCUAUUGCUGAGCAAUCGUCUUCUCUCCUAUGCUUAAACUGCAGCCAUAAUAAAAUCAAAAUUAUUCUAUCACUAUAUACCCUAAAAUCUAUCAGUUUAUUAAACUACCUUUGUUUGUGACGAUAAAAUACAUUUAUUGACAAUACUUCCUCACUAAAAGCCCUAAAAUGAAACUAGAUUUCUUUUUUUAUUCUUCAAUUUGAGGCUAAACAUUUUAUAUAUAAACAUUAAACUUUAAUUUUUUUUAGAUCAUGACAAAAACCAUCGUUUGAUUUUGUUACAAAGACAUUGAAUUAUUUAGUUAAGAGUUUGGUUUCUUGUGGUUAUCUAAAUAUAUUAUUAUACCUUGUGUUCCGCAACAUCAUCCAUAAACCUACAAAUAAUUGUGGAAGCUUGAAUGAUCUUAGGGUCAUUGGCUGCCCAUUUAAAGGUCUCUGGUGUUACGAUAUCUCCCAUGCCGACGAAAGAUGUAAUAGCAAGCAUGGCAUAACCACAAGUUGGCAAUGCAUUAGCCUUAAACUCUUCGAAUGAUGGUUUGUAGUUUUGAAGAGUCCAUCUGGCCUCCACAAGAUAAGAUUGAGCAAGUCGUAUCAUCUGAGGCGACAAAAUCCCAACAAUUAUCACUAAUAUCAAUUCAAAUUCGAUAAUAAUAUUUAAAUGAUUAUAUAUUGUUAUUCGAGUUAGUUGUUUAUUCAAAUCUAGAAUUUAGCUAAGAUCUUAUCUCUUUUGUACAAAAUAAAUGUUUGUUGAUGUACAUACCGCAUUUUUCGCAUAUUCGACACGAUAUUGUCUCCCAUGCUCAGCCACCAGUUGUUCCAUUUCUUCAUAAACAUCUAAUAGUGCCUUGUAGCUCGGCUUCAUGUAUUCAGGAAGUUCAUCUAUGCAUUUGAUAUCCCACCUGAAUCCAACUUCAACGUUAUAUUUAAUCAUUCCUCGUAAUAUAUUAUUGAAUGUUAACUUCAACUAAAGAAACCUAACCUAUUACCAACAAAAUUAAAGAAAUCUAACCUCUCAAUUGCAUUUGUAUAUGGAAUGAGCUCUUCAUAUGUUGCAUAUGAGUCAUAUGUAUCAUCUACAAUAGAUGCCAUUGCUAUCACUUUUGUCAACAUCUUUCUACCAAGUGAAUAUUGGGGCUCAAAGUACACUCCUGAGAUCCAAAAGUAGCCUUCAACCACUCUAUCUCUUGCAUAUGGCAACUUUCUUUGAAAGUCUAAAUCUUUCCACCACCUAAAAAAUGAUAUCAUAAAAAACCCCAUUAGCACAAUGAAUAUUCAAUGUUUCAAUUAGUUUCACAUUCAUGUUGUUAGAUUUAAGUCAAUUGGCAACCUCAAAUAUUAAAAUAUAUAUAAGUAAAAUGAUAUAGGUGAAAAAGAUGAAUCCAAGGUUCAUGCCAUCACUUUUAACUUGUACUAUUUAAUAAGAUUCAAAUAUUAGCAUUUGCAACUUGUCUCCUAUACUGAGAAUGAUGUCUCCAAUAAAUUCAACCCUCCUUCCACUAAUAAAUAAAUAAAUAAAUAAGAUGAAAAAGAAAAAAUGGGUGAAAGAGAUUAAAAAACAUACCUACAAAUCUCGCUUAGCUCUUUCCUAUGCAAAAAUUGUAACAUGUUGAAGUCGAUCUUAGCAAACUCCAACAAAGCCUUAUUAUGGGACUCAAUAUCUUGGUAUACUGAAAGAUAGUGCCUUGCCUCAACCCUUGGCAAGCCUCUUCGAAUUGAUUGUUUCAAAGCAUGAGAAACCUCUUCGGACAAAGGAUGGUCCAAAGAUGAUACUGCAAGGCUUAAAUGGUUGGUGGUGAAAGAAAUUGCUUCAUCCAAUAUAUCUUCCCCAUGAACCCUCAAAUAGGAAGCUUGGUAAAGUUCCAACAAUCCUUGAACAUCGCUUGUCACGGAUGACUUGAAAUUCCCUUGCUCGUCUUUAAACUUGUUGAAUACGUCUGACAUGAAAUUACCCAAAAUGAAACAUCGUUAUCAAACAUUCCAUGCUAUUAUAUUCUCAAGAAACUUAAAAACACUAUGUUUCUGUUCCAAUAAUUACCGCAUGAAACAUUGUAUCCAUGCUCUCGGAGUAGUCGGAAUCGAAGAGAUGUAGUGUAGAGGUCGUUCUCGGCAUCAUUGUUGUUAUGGUAGAUAUUCUCUAGUUCAUCUUCGAUCUCCUUGGUGAAAUGGUAACUCACACCCAGUCUUUGGACUGAAUCAAUGAAGGCUAACUUUUGGGUCGAAUUAGCCAUUGGUGCCACAAUCAUCUUCCUCACUUCUUCUUUCAAUUGUUGGUGGCGUUUUUCAGUUCCAGCAUCAAUAUUCUGCUCAAAACAAUGAAAAUUUUCUUCAUAUUGAAUCACUAAAUAAUUAAACAAAUAAUAUGUUAAGAUUAUAUCAAUAUGGUGAUAUGUAUGUAUACCUUGUCGGGACAAUUGAGGAAGAAAUCUCCCCAAAUGCUAGGCUGAAAAUCGGCUUUGGGACGGAUUUCAUCCUUAUUGGAAGAAAGGGGUGAUGAAGAAGGCAUUUGAGAAACUUGAGAAGCCAUUUCGAUUGAUCAAAAGCAGAUAUUGAAAAGCUGAAUUUGCAGCCUUUUCUUGGUUUGCUCUUGAAAUUUGGCACAGAAUUUGUGUGAGCAUAAGAGUGCAAUUGUUGCAUGUAUUUAUAGGUAAGAAAAAUAGUGGUGAUAUUUGAAGUCAAAAAAGGAGAACUUAAAUUCAAGAAAACAAAGUGCAUGAGAAAUACAAAUAGAUUAAAAGAAAUGUUGAUUUGUCUUUUGUUUGAUUCUUUUGAUUCAAAGUUGAUGUCUGUAAAAAAUGUUUAAAUAUCCUCUAUUUACUUUAAACUUUUGCAGUUCGAUCAAAAUGUUUGAGGGCAUGAAUGAUAUUUAUUCUUUUCUCUGCUUUUGACAUACUCUUCACAAAACUUUUGUCCAGUAAUCUUAUAUUAAUUUCUUAGGAAAUAUGAUUGGAAAGAAAGAACAAUACGACUCUAUAGUAUUCAAAAUACUGACUUAUUUUGAUAUAAAGUUUUAAAAUUUUACUUUAAAAAAAUGUUUGUCAUGUUUCUUUUAAUCCUUAGUGAUCAAAUGUAUUUGUUUACUUGUUAUCAUUUUAAAAUAAAUAAAUUUGUUACUUAUUUGACCCACUCUCUUUAGGAUAUCAGAAUUGUUUUUAAAUGGAUGAAUUUAAAAACUAAGAAAAGAAAUUGUUUAUAUGUAUCAUUCUUAAAAUUCUAAACAUCAAAUAUUUUAUAAUUAUUUUUUUAAAAAUUAAUAAAAAUAAUAACGAAGAGAUUAAAAAUUAAUAAAAAUUAAAGUAGUUUUAUACACUUUUAUAAUUAUUUAUAUAAUUAAUAUUUUAACGAUAAAACCGUUAUGUUUUAUGGUUUAUUCCUUUAAAUCAUGCAUAAUAAAUUUUAUAUAAAUUUAAUUUAUUUUAUGUAAAAAAUUCAACCAUCAAAUAUAUAUUAAAUAUAUUAAGUAUUUUUUAUAUGAAAAUAAAAAUUGAAUGAAGUCGGUUAAGCAUCUGAAAGUAUUUGCCUUUCUUUUCUGCCUUUUUACAACUGAUUUUUCAUGGAUUUUUAUAGAGCAUGUCAGGUUUGACCAAGGAUUUGUUUACAAUUCACCAUAAACACAUUAGACGCAAUGUUCUCAAGCAUAAUACAAGUUAAGCUGAUGUAAGGAACAUGUAGUGAUUCAAUGCAUAUAUAGUUUAUUCAUGAUGCAAAUGCAAUUAUAAAUUUAAUUUCCAACCUGUCCAUCUUAAUCGCCAUCAAGCAUCGCUCGACACACCAAAACACAUAAAAAAAACUAACCAUCUCGGAUUUGAUUUCCGAUGACGAUGGUCGUUCACUUGUCAUAUGUGACGAUGACUUUUACAACAAUAACUUACCAUCUCAGUUACCCGAUUUUUUAUGGCUUUUUAAACUAUCAUCCUGAUUUAUCCAGUUUUGAUGACAUAGCCACCUACUCUGUGCAAUACUGACUUUUGGUGUGGACUUGAAUUGCCACUAUCUCCUAUGGAACUCCUUCGACCUUCUUACCUAAAUUCAUGUAAUUAUGCACAUACAAUUAGCAUAUUAUGCUAUUUAUCAUCUUUCAAUGCUUCAUUUGAUAUUUCAUACUAUCAUUUAAUGGCAUGUGAUCAUUCAUUCAUUCCCAUCAAUUUCACAUAUACAAUUAAUUUAAGUGAUCUAAAACAAUUUCACAUAUACAAUAUCUUCAUGCGUAUUAACAUUCUUAGUUCGGCUAACACAUACAUAAGCAGGGUUUGCACAUACAGGGUUCUCACAUAUAGGAUUGCACAUAUGGGUUAGCGCAUGUAGGGUUUGCACCUAGGGGUUCGUACAUGUAGGGUUUGCACAUAUGCUACAGUUCACCUAACAGAGUUCGCACAUACAGGGGGGUUCGCAUAGUACCUAGGAUUUUCAUGAUAUGCAAGCUUUGCAUAUUACCUAAGGUUCACAUGAUAUAUAUAGCUCGUAUAGGACCUAGGGUUUGCAUGAUAUACUCGAUUCACAUAUUACCUAGGGUUUGCAUGUUAUAAAAAGCUCGCAAAGUAUGUUUAGGGUGCGCAUGAUAUAUAUGCCUCGCGUAAUAUAUAUAGGGUUUGCAACUUAAAUCCUAUACUAAAAAUCAUGAGGGUUUGCAUAUGUAUAUACAAGCUACAGUUCAUCUAUAGGGGUUCGCGUAUAGAGGUUCGCUCACAAGCUCACACACAGGGGGUUUUGCACACGGGGAUCACACACAGGGCCCGCACAUGCAAGGGGGUUCGCAUAACAUGGGGGUUGCAUAGCAGACUUAUUACUUCCUAACACUACAGUUAAUCAUAUAUAAUGAUUUAUGUUUAGAUCCUACACCUGAUUCGAAGACACAAAAACCUUAAUUUGGAUGAGGAGAAUGAUGUUCUACUUGGGAGGAGAGGGACGAUUUUGGAAACCUUGGAUUUCUUUGCUUGAAAAUUGAUUUGGUAAUGAUGGAGAAAAUGAAGAACUUGAGAGUUUUCCUUGAAAAAUUGACUAGAUAAAAUUUCUAGAGUUUUGAAAAGAUUUCCUAAUUAUAAAACUCUUUUUCCCUAAUUGAAAUAGGUUUUAGGAUUCCAUGGAGAAGCAAGACUAUUUUAAAUUAAGGACUAAAUUAGAAAAUAAAAUUUUUUGGUUUGGGCUAGUUUGAAAAUUCGGCACUUUUAUGGGGUAAAAAUAAGAAAAUAAAAUAUUUUGCUUGAAAGGUGAACAAUAGAUUUCAAACUUGAGACCCAAGAGAAAGCUAAGGCCUUACCAAUGAACUAGUAGACUAAUUCUUGUUAAUUUCUUAUCAAAAAUAAUUUUUAAGGCGUUCUAAAUUCUUUUACCCUAUGCUUAAAAAAAUAAAAUCUAAAUUUUAUCCCUAUUUCUUUUAGCCUUAUUUUUGGGAAGUGACAAUACUCAAAUUUACAAUUUAAUUCAUGUUUUAAGUAUGCUCCACAUUAUAUCCUAAUUGACAUUUAACACUUAAAUUAACUACUAUGCUAAUGGAAAACCUAUUUGAUACCAUGUAAAUAACAUAUUUUGAAGUUUAAAACUAAUUAAGAAUUGGCAUAAUGUCAAAUUUAUCCCUUAAUGUUUACAUUUUUUUAUCAAUUUGGCUCACGACCUUUAAAAAAAAUCAUAUUUGACCAUCAACCUUUCAAAAAAAUUUAAAUUGUUAUUUUUUUAACGGAAAUAUUAGCUAGACAUUAGGUUUUUAGACAUGACAGCUCGCAUAACAAUCCGCAUGUACUUCAUGCUCUCGUUUUUUUUGGAAUUUUUUAUAAUUUAAAUUAUUUCUUGGUGUGACAUAUAAGAUAAAGUGUCAUGUUAGCAUGAAGUACACGUGGAUUACCACACGGGUUGACAUACCAACAUCGUUAAAAAUUAAGGUUUUAAUCAAUAUUUUCAUUAAAAAGUGAUUUGACAAUUUUUUUAAAAAAAAUUGAGGGCCAAAUUUAUAACUCAAAAAAGAAUAAGAACCAAACUGAAAAAAGAUAUAAACAAUUUGACAUUAUACCUUAAACAUAUUGACAAUAAUUUAGAGACAAUUGAUUGAAUUAGCUCAAAAUAAUAUAAGAUAAUGUAAAUGAUAAAACAAGGAUUUCAAUUUAAAAUGGAUUUAUAUGUGAUGCAUUACCGUAAAAUGAAUAUAAAGAAUACAAAAGAAAAAAUUCAUUUAAAUUUUAGAAAUAUGUCCUCAAUUCACUAGCAACAUAUAAAAAGAUUAUAUGAUGAUUGUUGGGAAUCGAUCCGAUUAAGCAACAAACAAGUAAAAAAUAGCGGAAGCAAUUGAGAAAUUGAACACACAAAUUUAACGUGAAAAAACCCCUCCAAAGAGGAUAAAAAACCACGGACAAAGAUAAUUUUACUAUAAUGGCAAAAAAAUAAAAAUUACAAAAGAUGGAGAUAAAAACUAAACCCCGAAACCUAAAAAAAAGAACCCUCAAAAUGUAAAUACAAAAUUCUCCAAAAGUGUAUGAGUUCUAAUAUUUUAAUGGGUGUUUUUUAUAAUGUUGUAAAAGAUCCUAUUUAUAGGCUAAAUUCGUAGGUCAAAUAAUAAUAAAAUAAUCUAGACUAAUCAAAAUUUAACUGAAACAAAUAAACAGGGUUUAACUAAGAGAUUAUCUCUUAAAUUUAACUAUAAGUCAUACUCAACAAUAAUAUUAACCAUUUCAAAAUUACUAUAGAAAUGCUGAAAAUUCUAAGGAUUAACAAGUUUUUCUCUCAUGUAACUUCCUUUUCCAAGAUAACUUAAUUUCCAUAUUCAAAAUUAAGACAAACCAACCUAUUAAACAAAAUACUUUUCAAGUGUAAAUAUUCAUAUUUUAUCAUUUCCAAACAAAAGAAUUUAAAUAAUUAUAUUCAUAUUUUAUAUUUAAUGCGAAUUAAGUGUAAAUAUUCUAAAGGAGACGUACUAAGACCAAUGUUUCUUAAUAAUAAAUAUACAGCAAAUAGAUUUUAUUAAACUUAAUCUUGGACCGGUCAAAAAGAAAUUACGUAUUAUAUUCGGAUUUGAUUUAAUUUCAAUGCACGAAUAAAAUAAUAAUAUAAUAAUAACAGCUUAAAAAGACUGCUAAGGAUACUUAAUGAUAGAAGUCAUGCAUGAUUUAUGAUUCUCACCCAUGCUUCGUGUUGAUUAUUUAUUCUUUUAAUUAAAUUAUUAUAUUUCAAGUUUUUGAAAUAAAAUAUUUAAAUUAACUAAUGAUAUUAAAAAGGAUGAGAAAUCAAAUUAUAAAAAAUUAAAGUAUAUAGAUUAAAUUUAAAAUUUGAGCGAAGUAUACGAAUCAAAACUAAAAUUUAACGACUCUCAUAUAAAGAAAGCUAGUAGGAUUAGAAAAACUUUUAGCCAUUGGUUUAUAAUAUAUAUAAUGCGUAUUUUGUACAUUAGUAGUGUAUUUUUUUAAAAUUUCACAAACAAUCUUAAAAAUUAUAAUGUGUAUUUUUUUAAAAAAAUUACUAUAUUCUUAUAAGAUACUUGUCAAUCUUUAACCGAUUUUACAAAAAGUAUAAUAUUAUAUAUUUUUCCAAAACAUUAUAUUCAUGAAUAACAUGCUUAAAUCAUUGCAAUCUCUUUAGCCUUAAUUAUUCUUUUUAAGUCAAAAGAAUACAACCUUUAAUUAAUAUAUAUAUAUAUAUAUAUAUAUAUAUAUAUAGGUUUUUAAGUUGUUUGUUCUUUUCUUUUUAUUUUUUAUGGUACGUCAUUUAAUGUCCACUAUAGUCUAUCUAGUUGAUAUAACCUUUCUUAUAGCAAAUAUAGUUUCUUUUUUAUAAUUUUGGGACACCAAUCACAAAUUAUCCAUUGUUUUAUUUUAGGGUAAAUUACAUUUCAAGUCAUCCAACUAUUAGUAAUUUUCUUUUUUUAGCCACCCAAUUAUGAAAAGUUACGAAGUGGUCACUCAACUAUUUGGUUUUUUCGUUUUUGGUCACUAGUCGUUGAAUGAUUGGAUAAAAGGUGGCGUAUAACUUUUAAAAUUGGCAUAAUAGAAACUUUAGCACUCAACAUUUAUACAUUGUGACCCUCAGUGUUUACACAUUAUGUAAUUUGGUAUUUUUUUCUUUGUUUUCUUUGUGACCCUUUCACCUAAUAAGCUAAGAAAAACAAUCUAUCAACUAAAUUUAAUUGGAAAUAUAUCAAAAACGAAAACACCCAAAAUCCAAGAUAAUAAUUUUCAUAUUUUCUCAUUCUUUUAAAAUUAACCCUCAAUGUCACAAAUAAAAGUAAAACUGCAAAAAAAAAAUUACACAAUGUGUAAAUGUUGAGGGUUAAUUUUUUUUUGAAUUAAGACUAAAUUGACACAAUGUAUAAAUUAAUGGCCGGUAGUUGGUUGACCAAAUAGAAAAAAGUUGAAUAAUUAUUGACCAUUUUUGUAACAUUUCAUAGUUGCAUGACAAAAAAAAAAAAUACUAAUAGUUGAGUGACUACCAAUGUAGUUCUUCAUUUAAUUAUCAAAUAAUUAUUUUCUAUUAUUUGAACUUAUUGAAAGAAAUUAAUUUUAAUUACUAAAAGGGUAAACUACAACAAUAGUCACCAAUUAUGCCUUCGGUUCUAUUUGGUCACCUGACUAUUGAUUUUUUUUCCAUUUUGCCACUCAAUUUUUUAAAAUUAAAUAUUUUAGUCACUCUCUAGUUAGUUGUUGUUAGAUGAGUGGUGAAAAGCUCGGUAAGCCCUUUUUAUUGAUCUAAUAACAAAUUUAGCUUCCAAUAUUUACAUAUUCUAUCAAUUUGAUCCUAAAUCUAAAACAAAAUCAACAAAAUUAGCCCUAAAUGUUUACAAAAUUUGUCAUUUUAGUUUGAAUUCUAAAAAAAUUAAUAAAUUUAGCCAUCCCAGAAUUUGUCAGUUCUAAUUCUAAAAAUUUCAAUAGAAAAUUGGAAAGUAUUUAAAUUUUUUAAAAUAUUCUUUAACCCAAAAUAUAUUAAACAAGAAGAGUAUUUAACACUAUUUGUAUUGUGCUCUUUUUAAAUUAAUAUCACCUUUUUGAAUAUGGUAAAAAAUCAAAUUGACUUAAAUCCAACUAUUUUAGUGUCAUAUUUUAGAUUAAUAUCAUAUCAUCUAAGAAUCAAUUCCUCUAAAUAGAUUAACAAUUCUUUAAACAAUUACAAAUUAAUUAUUUCCAUGUUUUUCUUAUUUAAAAAAUGUACAAAAUACUUAAUAUUCAAAUAGAGGAAACAAUGAAAUGCGAAAUCUUUCAAAACAUGAAAAACAUAGAAUAUUUGUUUUUUUUCGCCUUUUUUUUUACUUGGACAUAUCAUCAUCAGUAACUUUCAAAUUUGGGUAGAACGUGUAAAUAUUAGAAGACUAAAUUUAUUAUUAGGCCAAUAAAGAAACUCACAUCAGCUUUUCAUUACUUAUCUAACGGCAAUUAACAAGAACGUAACUAAAAUAUUUAAUUUCAAAAAGUUAAGUGAUUAAAUUAAAAUUUUUAAUAAUUGAAUAAUUAAAAUAAAUUGAAAACCAUAGUUGAGUGCUAUUUUUAUAAUUUACCUUUACUAAAAUUAUCAAUAGAUGCGGCGGGUAUUAACUAUUGCACACCAAUCAGUUUCAACAUAAAUACUAAACGUAAAUAAUACAAAAGCAUCAAACUCGAAAUCAAAAACAUUAAAUCUAAAACUCGAAACUUGGAAAAAAGUUACGGGUUUUUCUAGUGUAAAUUUUUUUAGUGAAUUACAAUAACAGGGUAAAGCUCAAACAACAAACACCACUAGUGCAACUCGAACCUCAGCCACACUUGAAGUGGUGAAUACCCUUGACUUUUGAGCCAUCACAUCGGGUUCUCUCACGUACAAUUUUUAUUACCUUAAAAUUUUCUUAUUAAAUAAUAAUUAAAUUAUCCUUGAAGAGUUUAUGUGCACAUUUAUUAUUUAUAUGAAAUUCAAAAGUAAAAUAUUCCAUAGUUUUCAAUAACACGAUGAAAAUAAAAAUAUUAAUAUGUAUUAAUUUAUGAGUCGUUUUAUUAGUUUUUUUUUUCAUCUAAUAGAAGGACAAAUCGAAGAAAAAAGAACUGAAUUAAAUACAGUCUUGAACAAUUAGUAUUUGCUUUUAAAACAUUUAAAUUAGAAUUUAUGUUUCUAUUUAAAUUUUUUGUAUCAGUAUCACUCAUUAAUCAAACAUCAAUUCGAUUAAAAAAUAAUUAAAAAAUAUUAUUUAUAUUAUGAGUAUUCAUUUUUAUCCAGGCUAAACUUAAUUUUAAAGUCACUUUCAAUAAAUCUGAAUUCUAGGGUUAAGUUUAAUUUGAAAAAUCUAAGUUGACUGUUGCUACACUUUCAUAGCUCGAUUUUAUUUUGGAUUUUGACUAUUAAUUUUUUAGUUUAGAUUAUUAUGUUAUUUGUCAGUGUUAUUAACAUUUAAGGGUGGCAUGGCCUCCUGCCUCAUUUUGCAUGGAAAAGCAAAAAAAGGUAAGAAGAAAAAAGAGAGAGGUGACGAGAACAGUGAAGCAUGUAAAGGAGAAAGAAAAGAAGUUUACAAGAGAGGAAGAAGAAGAAGAAGAAGAAGAAGAAGAAGAAGAAGAAGAAGAAGAAAACUACGGAAAAAGAAAGGAGGAAAAGAGAGGAUCUGCUUUGUAUUGUAAUUCUCUUUUGUUUGCAUACGGUGAAAUCUCACUCUAAAUAAACUCAAAUAAAAGGUAAUAUCUUUUGGCUUAAUAUCUGAAAUUUUCACUUUGGUUCUUUUAUAAAAACAUAGAAAAGUAAUAAAAAAACUAAAAAAAUCAUAAUAUAUUUUUCAAAACUAUAUUUUUUUGAAAAAAAAAGUAUAAGCAUGCGAAACUUUGAAAAAAAAGUUAAAAAAAAAAGAGAGUUUCUUUUUGGAAUUUUAGGUUUGUAGAAAAUUUUAGGUUUUUAGAAAAUUUUGGAAUUUUAUUAAAAUUUAGAAGAAAUUUAUGGGAUUUUUUUUUUGGAAAUCCUAAGUAAAAAUUACCAUAAAAUUCUUAAAUUUUUUCAUAAAAUUCUAUAUUUUUAUAAAACCCUAAAUUCAAAAAAGAAAAACAUUUUUUAUAUUUUUAUGAUUUUUUUAUUUUCUUGAAGUUCUGCAUACUUAUAAGUUUAGUUUUUUUUUUAUAAUUUUCAAAAAUAGAUUAAGAUUUUUUAAAAGUUUAUUUUAUAAUUUUCAAAGUUAUAAGAUUUUUUGGGGGUGUUUUUUUAAUAUAUAUAUAUUUGGAAUUUUAAUAUUUUUUAGUUUUUUAUAUUUUUAAAAUUUUUAAGUGAAUUUGAAAUAGAUUAAUAUUUUGAUUUUGUUUUAAAUUUCAGAAUUUUAAGAUUUUUCUGGAUUUAAAAAAAAUGUUUUUUUGGGGAAUUUUAAUGAUUUGUUUUAGUUUUUUUAUAUUUUUUAAAUUUUAAGUGAAUUUGAAAUAGAUUAAGAUUUUAUAUUUUUUUUUGUGGUUUAAGAUUUUUGGGACUCUUUUAAAAAAAUUAUGAUUUUUGUGGAAUUUAAAUGAGUUCUUAUUUUUUUUAAAUAAUUUUUUGUAAAAAAAUAAUUUUUAUAAUUUUCAAAGGUAGAUUAGGAUAUUUUAAAAAAAAAUUCUAUGUUUUCAAAUUUUUGUUAUUUUUGAGAUAUUUUGGAUUUUUAAUUUUUAAGUAAAAUUUUUAAUUUUUUAAAAUGUGGCACAGCAAGUCAUUCGUCGAUUUAAUAUUUUUAAUGAAACUUGCUAAAAGGGCUAAGUUAGUGACGAAAUGGAAAUAGAGAAAACAAUCUGACCAAAAAAUAAUAAAAGGCCAUAAUAAGAAUUUCACUAUAGUACAAAGACCAAAAAUAGUAUUAAGCUUCUUCAUGCAUAACAGUUAAUUUCGAAUUUAGAUUUUGAUUUCGUAGAUAAAAAAUUAUUUUAAUUGAUUUUAAAAUUUUAUUAUAACCAUGAUUUUCUAAAUAACAAAUCACAGUUAAAUAAAAAAAAUAUGUCUAUGUUAGAAAUUUUAUUAGGGUUGGUUUUGAUGAUGUUACAUAGCCAACUUUUCGCUAGAAAUUAAAGCGCAAACUGAUCGAAUUUGUACCAUUUGCUUCAAGUCUUCUCUUUUCUACAAGGGAUGGUUGAGGGUUUUUCAUUUGGAUGCACAAAAAGUAAUCUUUUACGAUCUGAAAGUUUUAAGUAAAUAAAAAAAAUGACAGUGAAAAUCUUCAUUCUUUUAGAUGAAGAAGAUGAGGGGGAUUUUUUAAAAAUAAUUUUCAGAUUUUCAACAAAAUAUUUUUAAUUUUAUUUUUUUUUUUCAAAUUUGAAUGAUUUUAAAUAUAUAUAGUAUUGAGAAUUUUGUUAGAGUUGAGUGGUUCGGAUUCUUGUUAAAAUAAAAUAUAGUGGUAAAUUAAAAUAAAAGUAAAAUCCAAUAGAAUUAUACUUCUUUUAUUUUGCAUUGAUUAGAAAAAGGUUUUUCAACAUUACUACACUUCAUCUAUUUGACAUUGAUUAAAAUAAGGUUUUUCAACCUAUAAAUAGAUAUAGUCUAAAUUUCUCUUGUAUCAUUCGAAUUCGACAUUAGUGAAUUUUCUUCUCCUCUACCGUGGUUUUUUUCUCGAAAGGGUUUCCGCGUAAAAUCUGUGUUUUCUUAUUUUUCUUUCUUUUGCUUUGUGAUUGUUUUAUAUUGUCAUUGUCGACGUUCAACUUUUACAAACUGGUAUCAAAGCUUUUCGGGUUGUUUGUCUCGAUCAUGGUAAUGACGACAUUGAAGUAUGAUAUUCGACUAUUGGAUCACAACACCUGGUUCGCAUUAUGGAAGAUAAAGAUGCAGCCAGUUCUUGCACAAAUGGAGUUAGAGGAUGCCUUGCUAGGGGUAGAUAAGAUGCCUUCGACAUUGACGGAGGAGGAGAAGAAACAUAAAGAUCGAAAGGCUUUAACACAAUUACAUCUACAUUUGUUGAAUGAAAUUCUACAGGGCGUGAUGAAUGAGAAGAUCGUUGGUGCAUUACGGGCAAAGUUGCAACAACUAUACAUGUCGAAAACCUUAACUAGCAAGUUGCAUAUAACCAGCGUCUUUAUGCUCAUCAUUUGGAGGAAGGUGCGUCUGUGCACGAACACUUAACUGUGUUUAAAGAAAUUCUUUCUGACCUAGAGGCCAUGGAGGUUUAGUAUGACAAAGAAGAUUUAGGUUUAAUUCUACUUUAUUCGUUACCCCCGUCUUAUUCAACCUUUACAGAUACGAUUUUGUAUAGUUGUGAAUCUAUCACAGUUUAUGAACUCUAUGCUUCUUUAACAUCGUAUGACAAGAUGAAACAUCCUGUGGUUGGAUCCGACUCUCAGGGAAAGGGUCUCAUUGUUCGUGGGAGACAAUAACAAAAUACUAAUGAUAAUCAUCAGAGGACAUAAGAGCAAAAUCCUCGCAGUAAAUCUAAGGGUAGAUCAAGAUCUUCAAACAAAGGUAAAACCUGUGACUUCUGUAAGAAGAAAGGGCACAUUAAAUCUAAGUGCUAUAAGUUGUAAAACAAGAUCAAAAGGGAGACUGUGAAUCAAAAGGGAAAACAACCAGAACAAUCCGGUGAAGCUGAUGUAGCAGAAAACUACAGUGAUGGUGAACUUCUAGUUAUUUUUGCCAACAAAUUUAAAGUGAGCGAGGAGGGGAUCCUCGAUUUUGGUUGUACGUUCCAUAUGAGUCCAAAUCGAGAUUGGUCUACAACAUAUAAAACUAUGUCUGAAGGUGUUGUUUUGAUGAGAAAUAAUGUUUCAUGUAAAAUCGCAGGUAUUGACAUGAUCAAAAUUAAAAUGUUCGAUAGAGUUAUCAGAACACUUAGUGGCAUACGACAUGUACCAUGAUUGAAGAGGAAUUUGAUUUCGUUGAGUACUCUUGAUUCAAAAGGGCACAAGUACAUAGCUGAAAGUGGAGUUCUAAAGAUUAGUAAUGAUUCCCUUGUUGUGAUGAAAGGGCAGAGAAAGAUUGCCAAGUUAUAUGUUUUGCAAGGUUCUACUGUUACUGGUGAUACAGCCGUCGCGUCCUCUUCCUUGUCAGAUGAUUAUGUUACUAGACUUUGGCAUAUACGUCUAGGGCAUAUGAGUGAGAAUAGCGCGGCAGAAUUAAGCAAAAGAAGACUUCUUGAUGGACAAGGCAAUAGCAAACUGAAGUUUUGUGAGCACUGCAUUUUUAGGAAGCAAAAGAGAGUUUGAUUCACUAGAGGAAUCCAUAACAUGAAGAGAAUGCUAGAUUAUAUUCAUUCUGAUCUUUGGGGACCAUCCAGAGUGCCUUCGAAGGGUGAUGCUAAUUAUAUGCUGACAAUCAUUAAUGAUUUUUGCAGAAAAGUGAUGUGUUUUUUGUGUUUAAGACUUGGAAAACUAUGAUCAAUAAGCAGACAGGAAAAUAGAUAAAACACCUUCGUAUAGAUAAUGGCUUGGAAUUAUGUUCUGACGAGUUUAUUAAAUUGCGCAAAUCAAAAGGAAUCAUGCGACUCUUGGCAGUUUGUCAUACUCCACAGCAAAACGGCGUUGCACAAUGGAUGAAUAGAAUAAUCAUGGAAAAGGUUUCAUGUAUGUUAUCAAAUGCUUGUUUACCGAAGUCGUUUUGGGCUGAAGCAGCCUGUAUUACAUGUUUUUUGAUUAACCAGUCUCUGUUUGUUGCCAUUGGGAAAAAGGCUCCACAAAAGGUAUGGUCUGGUAAUCCUACUGAUUAUUCUAAUUUGAGGAUUUUUGGGUGUCCUUUGUAUGUUCAUGUUGAUAAUGGGAAAUUGGAACCUAGAUCCAUUAAAUGUGUUUUUUCUUGAUUAUAAGGCUGGUGUUAAAGGAUAUAAAUUAUUGUGUCCUGAAAAUAGAAAAGUUGUGAUUAGCAGAGAUAUUAUUUUUUAUGAAACUGCUAUGCUACCUAACUUAUCUCUUAAAGACUCUUCCAAUAGAAACCAGGAAAAACAGGUGGAGCCUCAGAUAGAUCCAGGAUCUAUAACAGAGUCUACUUCUUAAGUUAGUACAGAAACUUAGAGUAGAGUUGUUCUUCACCACAGUAUUCUACUACCAAGAAUAAACCUAGAAGAGAAAUUAAACCUCCAAAGAGGUACGUUGAGGUCGAUCUAGUUGCUUAUGCUUUAAAUGUGGCUAAAGAUAUAGAUGCAAAUCAAAAGCCAUCUACUUAUUCUGAGGUAAUUAAUUAUGAAGAUUUAAGAAAAUGGAUGAUUGCCAUGCUAGAAGAGAUGGAAUCGCUCUAUAAGAAUAGAACGUGGGAUCUAGUGAAAUUUCUUAAAGGUAAAAAGGUUGUACGUUGUAAAUGGGUGUUCAAAAAGAAAUAAGGAACUCCAGGAGUUGAAGAACCCAUAUAUAAAGUAAGGCUGGUUGCAAAAGGUUAUAGUCAGAUUUCAAGUGUAUACUUUAUAGAUAUGUUUUCUCCAGUUGUGAAACAUACUUUGAUUCGAGCCUUGUUUGGUAUUGUGGCCAUGUAUGAUUUGGAGCUUGAGUAGUUAGAUGUAAAUACAACGUUCUUGCAUGGGGAAUCUGAAGAAGAUAUUUACAUGCAACAACCAAAGGAUUUUACUUAUCAGAAAAGGAUGACUAUGUUUGCUUGUUGAAAAAGUUCAUUUAUGGCUUGAAACAGUCACCAAGGCAGUGAUACAAGAGGUUCGAUUCUUUUAUGACUACUCAUGAUUUCAAAAGAAGCAACUUUGAUAGUUGUGUUUAUUUUAAGAAAAAAAGGGAUGGUUCUUUUGUGUAUCUACUCUUCUAUGUUGAUGACAUGUUGAUAGCAGCCAAUAGUCUGUAAAGGAGAGAUAAGAAAGUUCAAAGCCCAACUUAAUAAAGAAUUUGAGAUAAAGGGUUUGAGAGCAGUAAAGGAGAUACUUGAGAUGAAGAUUCUCAGAGAUAGAAAAGCGUGUAAAUUGUACCUAAGUUAGAAAUGGUACAUUGAGAAAGUUCUUUGCAGGUUCAAUAUGCAGAAUGCCAAGCCUAUUAGGACUCUAUUAGCAACCCACUUCAGACUUUCAUCAGUUUUGUCCUGCAAUCAGUAUUCUAGUGUAGUGGGAUCUCUCAUGUGUGCUAUGGUUUGCUCAUGUCCAGAUUUGUCAUAUAUAAUUAGUGCAAUUAGUAGAUACAUGGCGAAUCCCAAUAAAGAACACUGGAAAACAGUUUAGUGGAUUUUCAUAUACUUAUGAGGUACUACUAAUGUUUGCUUAUAGUUUGGAAGAACUAGAGAUGGAGUCAUUGCGAAUGUUGAUUCUGAUUUUACUGGAUACCUUGAUAAAAGAAGAUCUCUCAUAGGGUAUGUCUUUACAAUUGGGGGUUGCACAAUCAGUUGGAAAGCUACUUUGCAAACUACAGUUGCUUUGUCUACUACUGAAGCUGAGUACAUGGCGAUUAUCGAGGCUUGUAAAAAAACUAUUUGGUUAAAGAGACUCUUUGGUGAACUCAGUAAAGACCUUUAGAUCAAUACAUUGUUUUGUGAUAGUUAGAGUGUCAUCUUCCUUACGAAUGAUCAAAUGUUUCAUGAGAGAACAAAUCAUAUUGAUGUUCGGUAUGAUUUUGUGCAUGAUAUUAUUUUCGUGGUGAUAUUGUUGUGAGAAAAGUUAGUACUCAUGAAAAUCCUACAGAUAUGAUGACUAAGUCACUUCCUAUAACCAAGAAGUUUGAGUCUUGCUUGGACUUGGUUGGUAUUCAUUGUUGAAGAGCACCCUUUAAAGGGUUUUGUGGAAGAGGUGGAGAACUUGUUCGUUAAGAGUUCGUGGUGAAGAACUUGUUCGCUGAGAAUUCAUGUCAAGGUGGAGAUUGUUAGAGUUGAGUGACUUGAGUCCUUGUUAAAAUAAAAUAAAAAUAAAAAUAAAAUUCAUAUAAAACUAUACUUCUUUUAUUUUACAUUGAUUAGAAUAAGGUUUUUUAACCUUACUACACUUUAUCUAUUUGACAUUGAUUAGAAUAAGGUUUUUCAACCUAUAAAUAGACGUAGUCUAAACUCCUCUUGUAUCUUUCGAAUUCGACAUUAGUGAAUUUUUUUUUCUCUACCCGUGGUCUUUUUUUCCCGAAAGGGUUUCCACGUAAAAUUUGCGUGUUCAUAUUUUUCUUUCUUUUGCUUUGCAAUCGUUCUAUAUUGUUAUUGUCGACGUUCAACUUUUACAAAUUUUUUAAAUUGCUAAUUAACAUAGUAUAAAUAAUUUAAAUAAUUUGAGUAAUUGAGUUUAGUUUUUAGAGUCAGAUUUGGACAAGAAUUUUUGCACUUCGAACCGGCCUGACUUGAAUUCAAUUUAAAUAAUAAAAAAUAUUUUAAAAUUAAAAUUUAAUUCUAAAAUUAUAUAAAAUAACAAUUAAAAAUUUAUUUUUAAUAUUUUAUUAAUUUUUAACCCGAAAAUAGACUUAAACUUGAAAAAUAUUUUAAACUAGAUCUCGACUCAACCCAACUUUUAACUCAUAAAUAUCUAAUGAUGAAUUGUUUUCAAUUCUUUGCUUUAAACAUGAAUUUAUAUUUGCAAGUGUACUGCCAUUAUAAUAGUAAAAGCUUUAAAAGAAUGCUUGACUAUUUCAAUAACAUAUUUUUCACAAUUAAUUUAACAUAAUUUUCAGCAUAAUGAGAUAAUUUAAGGGGGGAAAAGGGGCACAUUGAUCAUAUUUUCAGCAUCCAUAAAAAAACAGUAAAAUUAUUGACUUGAAACAUAAUAUACGGACUCCGGAGGAACCCCUUAGACUGAGAGUGUUGAAAAGUCUUUUGGAUCAUUGUAAAGGACAAAUUAGUCAAUCUUAGUGACGAAGAAUUCGUUGAAAUAAGAAAUAAAAAUGAGAAACAUAUAAUAAGAUUUAAUCUAUUAAUUAAUCAUGUGCAACUGUGAUGUGUGUCGGGCGGAGCCAGAGGAAUUGGCAGGAAUUUCGGUUACCCUUAAAAUGAAAAAUUUUUUAUUUAAGGUUUUUUAUAAUUUAUAAAAUUUUAAAUUAGUAAUGAUAAAAUUGUACUUUGACCCUAAAAAUAAUAAAUUUUGAUUUAAUUUUUUAAAAAUUAUAAAGAUAUAAACUAUUAAAAUGAUAAAAUUAUCUUUUUACUAUCGAAACAAUAUAUAAUUUAUUUUCAGGCCCUCUAAAAAGAAUUUUUAAAUUCACCCGACGCUUUAAUUUCAACAUGAAUAUAAUUAUUUAACAUGUGUUUGUUUACUUCAUAUUUAUAAUAAAAAAAAAAGAAAGAAAAAAAAAUGUCGGCUUGACUCUUUAAAUAAGGUAUUUUUCACAAUUAAUUUAACAUAUUUUUUUCAAAUUGAAUUCUAUAGUUGUAUGAUUCAGUCAAUACUAGAAUUUUAUAUUUGGAACUCAUAAUUUUAAAAAAAAUAUUCAAAGGGAAUCAGCAAAUUUCAGUAAAGGCGUCUAGAUUUAUCAAUAAAAUUAAUAUAUUCUUCCCUUAUUGUGCAUUCGUAGUUCUACUAAUGGCAUUAAUAAUUCAUUUGGAUAAACUUUAAAUUCUAAAAAUAACUUUCACUUAUUAUAAUUACUUUUUACUAAUUGAUAGUAAACUUAUCUAAUACUGAGUAAUUAAGUAUUACAUUUUUAUUUAUAUUAAACCAAAUCAAUUAAUUUCUAACACAAUAUAAAAAUUAAAUAUUUAAUAUAUUUUUUAAAUUUGGCAUGUUAAAAAAAAGAAAGAAAUAACGGCUAUUAAAAAAACGUAAUAAUUUAUUUAGCCCUUCAACUUUAUAAAAUGUCAUUUUAAUUUUUCAUUUAAUUUUUCGUCUCUUUUAGCUCUUGAAUUUGCAUUGUUUGUCAAAUCAUCCCAAAAUGGAUGGAAAAAUUAAUGUUUGUUAACUUUAUUACUAUGGCAUCCACGUAUGUGCCACGUUAACAAUUAAUUAAUUUUUAAAAUUUUCAAAAUAUAUUUUUAAAAUUUUUAAAAUGAUUUUAAAUUUUAAAAUAUUUUUUAUAUAUUUUGUUAAACUUUCUAAAUUUUAAAAAUUUUAAUUGUUGAGAUUUCAUUCACAUAGCAAUUUACAUAUAUACCACAUCAACAAAGUUAACAUAUAUUAACUCCUUUCUUUUUAGUAUUUUUGAAUUUAAGUAUUUCCAACAAGCAUGUGGUCAGUUGGUAUAGUUUGAAACUUUUAGAUUUUUAAAAUUUUUCAUAAUUUUUAAACUUAAAAUUUAAUUUUUAUAAAUAGUAUAAAUAUUGUAUAGUAGAAACUUAACAUUAAAUAUAUAUAUAGUUUGGCGUGCAUAUGUAUGAUAUUUUUUUUCUUGAGGUACAUAUAUAUAAUAUUAUAUAGGAUAAAUUAUAAAAAUAUUCAUUUAUCUGUGGUUUAAAUUACAUUUUAGUCAUUGGACUUUAAUUUGUUACGAAAUGGUUACUAACGUUAUCGAUUUAUAAUAUUUAGUUAUUGAGCUAUUAAGUAUUAUUAGUGAAAUAACAGUAAGCUAACGUAAGAUGUUAAGUAAUUAUGUUAGAUGAAAAAUUUAAGUUGAAUUGCAGAACUAAUCACUAUAUAUAUAUAUUUCUUUUUUAUAGUUCCUAAAAAUUUUUAAAUAAAAAUGAUAUAAAAAUUUUAAAAAAACUAAAAAAUAUAUGAAAGGAUUAAUAAUAUAUAAAUAAAUAAAAUUUAAAAAAAAUCCUAUUUUCAAAUCCAAUCCUUUGCUUGAUUUUCGAAAAAAAACUUAGAAAUCCCUAAAAAUCUAAAGUUUAGGCUUUCCACCUUCUGAAAUGGGCUUGUCACUUUUCUUUCUUUUGUUUUCUUCUCAAUUUCUUCAUGUUUUUUAUUGCUAAUGAUGAAUCUUUUAUUCAGAUUUCUCUCUUUUGAAAUGGACUUUUAUUUUAUGAAAGCACGAAAUGACCAUUGAAUGAUGGUAAGGGGAGCUAGAAGUUGAUGCUUUAGUUUAGUUCUGUAGCUAGGAGAUUGAAGGGUUAACUCAUAACGAAGCUUAAAACAUAUUGUUAAAAUUAACGAACACUUUAGCCACAGGAGUUAAAUGAGAUGUUAAGGGUCUCUUCUAUCUUAACCAGUGGUCCAAGGUUCAAUUAUUAUCCUGGGUAUGGAGUAAUUUUAAAACUCGUUGUCCGCAUCUACCCCUUAAUGGACCUAUUGAAUGUGGAGGAUUAAUUAUUAAAUUCACUCGAAUAACUUAGAGAAAUAAAAAAAAAUUGAUGAAACCUUUCUAAUUUGCAGCAAACCCACAAACCCAAGGAACAAAAGUGCUUAUUAUGGCCAAACUAAAUUAAAAUUAAAAUAUAUUGAAUAACCUAAAUCAAUUAUUGAAUAUCUUAAAACAUUUUAAUGUUUACCUAAUUUUUCAUAAUUUCGUAAAUUACUAAAUUUCGUAAAAAUACUGAAUUACUAAAACUCUUAAAGAAUUAUUGAAUUACUGAUAGAAUUCCUUAAGAAAUUAGAUAAAUAAAAAAUGUCAUAAUGGAUUCAGUAAUAGUUGAAAUUUUUUUUGGUAAUCAUGUAAGUAAUUCAGUAAUUAUUAUAAAUUCAGUAAUUUUAAAAAAGUUUUAGUGUGGGCUACUUAAAAUACUGAAUUUGCUACAACAUUGUAACAUUUUCAAUAAAUUAUUGAAUUUCUUACAAUGUAAAUUACUAAGUCUUUUACAAAGCUACUUAUAUUAGGAAUACAGAUUUCUUGUAAUAUUACUAAAUAUUUAAUAAUAUUACUGGAUUUUUUACUUACAACUCAUGAGAAGAUUAUUUCUAAACAACUUUUUUUUAGAAAAUUUCUAAAACAGAAAUGGAAAUUUCACAAUGUGGGUCAUUGUAUUAUGAAGUAAAAGACUAAAUUAAUUCAUUAAUUAUUGUUAGAGUUUGUGUGACCCAAAUCCCGUCAUUUGUUGAAGAACUAUGUUUAUUCUAUUUGAUAUUGAUUAGAAUAGGAUUUUUUAACCUUUUUAAUAGAUGUAGUCGAAAUUUCUCUUGUAUCAUUCGUUUUUCAACAUUAGUAAAUUUCUUCUCCUUUGUCCGUAGUUUUUUCCCGAAAGGGUUUCCACGUAAAAUCUGUGUUCUUUUUUUUUCAUACUUUGCGAUCAUGCUAUUGUCAUUAUCGACGUUUAUUAUAACAAUUAUAAAAGUCAACAAUUUUGUCUCUAGACAUUUUCGCUUUGCUUGUUGGAGUGGAAAGAAAAUUGGAAAGAUGGAAAAUUGAAGGGGUUGAAAAUUAGAAGGAUGGAAAACAUAAAUUUUCUUUCCAUAGGUGUGUUUGAUAGGAGAAAUGAAAAAGUGGAAAAACAAAGUAAUUUUCUUUCCCUCUAUUGUUUGAUAGAGAUAAAAAAUGAAAUGAAAGAAAAUAGCAUAAUUUUAAAUUAACAUACACAUCUUUAUAAUAUUCUCUCCUCUCAUCUUUCCAAUUUGGAAGGAUUGAUUUCUAUGCAUUAAGAUGAAAAAUGAUUCUCUCCUAUUUUCUUUUCUCUCACUUUUAUUCCCUACGAAGUACAAUUAAAUUUUAUUUUCUUUCCACUUUUCCACUCCUUCCUCCCAUUCCUCUAGUUUUUCAACCAACCAAUAACACCAAUAAUUUUGAAGCAAAAAGGUAAGAUUUAAACAAAAGUAAUCUUAAACAUUAAAGAAUUGGUAAACUACACUUAUAGCCACUCAACAACUAGUAAGUUUACACUUUGGUCACCUAACUAUUCAAAGAUCAUUUAAGUUUACCUCAUUGUAUUUGUAAUGGCCAAAUUUGUUUGUUUGGUUAUGGAAUUCCUUUAUCAGUCCAUGUGGAAGAAUGAUCCUUGGAGUAUUUAUGUAAGUGUUCCAUUGUAACUACUAUAUUAUAAUUUGACACCAUCAUGCUUAUGAUAAUGUGGUGCCUACGUUGUUGAUAUAAUUGAUUUUAUUUGUUCCAUUUUUAUGUCAGUGUGCUUGGGUGGAUCACCCCUCUAUUGCAAUUGAGCAAGAGAUUAUAAAGUGGCCUUCCAUGAGAUAAUGUUUUUGGGCAAGGUGUAAUGUGUUGUCAUUGGCUUGCCUAGAGAGGUGAUGUUGAUGGUGUAGACAUUUUGUUGGUGGAGCUUCUUGGUGAGUUUGAAAGGAGAGCUUUGUAGCACUAAUUCUAAAGGGCAAGUUGAUAAUGGUAGGGCUUAAAGAGGUGAAGGUGCUGUUAGCUUACUAAGAGAGAUAACAGCAAUAUGAAAAAAAAUAAAGGAAAGGGAAAAUAAGAUGAUCAGUUCAUUUAUUCGCAACAUCAAGAACCUAUUAUAUAUGCAAUUACAUAACAGAAAAAACAAGAAAUUAGGCACUAACAUAAUAAGGCUCACAAUAGGACUCACAAUAAGGGAAAUAAUUAGCCAGGUCUGGUGAAUAUGUCAUCCAGCUGAUCUUUACUCUUGCAGCAUUUAAGAUCAACUACCCCAUCAUUGUUAAGAUCUCUCAAAAAAUAGUACUUCACAUCAAUAUGCUUGCUUCUACCAUGUAAUACUGGAUUUUUUGAGAGUCCGAUAACUGAGUUGUUGUCACAAAAAAUUAUUGUGGCUCCCAUUCUCUUGAAUUUCAGCUCCUCCAAGAUUUUUCUCAACGAAAUAGCUUGACAAGCACAAGUUGUUGCAACAACAAAUUCAGCUUCAGUUGUUGACAAAGGAACAAUAGAUUGCCUUUUGGAUGACCAUGAAACAACUCCGAUUUCCAUCAUGAAAACAUAAAUUGAAGUGUUUUUUCUAUCAUCUAGAUCUCCUACAGUCACAGUCAAUGAACCUAAAUAGAUAUUAAAAUUCUCCUUUUUUGUAAAACAACCCAAAAUAUAUGGUUCUUUGCAAGUAACGAAGGAUUCUCUUAGUAACCAAUAAAUGCAUCUCUGUAGGAUUCUCCAUAAACCUAUUGAUCAAACUCACAAAAUAUAUUAUGUCAGGUCUUGUACCAAUCAAGUACAUUAAAUUGCCUACAAUCUGCUUAUAAAAAGUGUUGUCCACUUACUUUCCUUCUUUGCUCAACUUCAAGCCAAACUCAAUGGUGGUGCUUGCUAGAUUGAAAUCCUUCAUGUCAAACUUGCUCAGAAUAUCUUGAACGUAUUUCCUUUGAGAAAAAAAUAUUCCAUUAGUUGAUUGCACUACUUCUAUGCCUAGAAAAUAAUGCAUCAUACUAAGAUCUGACAUUUUAAACUCAACCAUCAGACUUCUUGAAUCCAUUAAACAUGGAACUACAAUUUCCAAUGAAAAUAAGACCAUCAACAUAUAAACUCACAAUAAGUAUUUUCCUUUUAUCACCAGUUUUAAUGAAAAGAGUAGACUCACAAGGACACUUGGGAAAACCAGCUUUCAAGAAAUACGCUUCAAUUCGACUAUACCAAGCAUGUGGGGCUUGUUUCAACCCAUAUAAAGCCUUUUUUCAGUUUAUAAACUUUAUUUUCACUUUCAUGUUUAACAUAACCAGUAUGUUGUUCAAUAAAAACCUAUUCUUUGAGCUCACCAUGUAAAAAUGUCGAAUUCACAUCUAGUUGGAAGAUAGGCCAAGAGUAUUAGACUAUAAGUGAAAUCACCAAUCUGAUUGUAUCAUGCCUUGGAACAGGAGCAAAGGCUUCUUUGUAAUCUACCCCAAACUCCUAUUUAUAACCUUUAGCCACAAAUGUGCCUUAUACUUAUUAACUUCUCCAUUCUCUUUCAACUUUGUCUUGUACACCUAUUUGACACUAAUUGUCUUGUGCCGUUUUGGAAGUUUAGUCAACUUGUAUGUAUCAUUCCUCUCUAUACUGCAAUUUUUUCAUCCAUUGUUUUUCUCCAUUUUGACUCAUUUACAGCACUUUCAAAGGUUGUUAGAUCACAAUCCGCAAAUAAAGCAAAAUGGAUGGUUGGAUCUUCAGUCUGCCCAACGCUGAUUACCUCAAAAUCUCCUAUCCAAGCUGGUCUCCGUCGAAUAUAGCUAGGAUGAGGUUCAACUACUUCUACUUCAAUGGUUAUUAGAGUAUUAUUUGGUGAACUCUUAAGAUUAAGUGUUGCUUGAGUCUACUAAUCUAAAGGCUACUGCUUUUCAUCUUCAACUUCAGUACCAACAAAGGUUUGAAAAGGUUGUUUGUCAUCCCAAUUCCAAGUAUUCUCCUCAUAAAAAAUUACAUCCCUGCUAAUCACAAUUUUCUCCUUUAAAGGAUUAAAAAAUUUAUACACUUCAGAUGUUUCACUUACACCUAGAAAGACACACUUCUCUCCCUUGACAUUAAGCUUCUUUCUCUUUACAUUUGGAACAUGUGCAUAAGUAAUGCAACCAAAAAUUUUGAAGUGAUCUGCAGCUGGUCUCCUUCCACUCCAAGCUUCUUCAGGUGUCAUGUUUUGAACAGAAAAAGUUGGGCUUCUAUUCAAGACAUGGAUGCUCCAAUUUACUCCUUUUGCCCAAAAUUAUUUUAAGACCCUUCCACUAGCAAGCAUGCUUUUCACCAUAUUAAGUAUGGUUCUGUUUUUCCUCUCUUAUAUGCUAUUUUGUUGGGAGGUAUAUGCAGUGGUAAGCUUUUUCCAGAUGUCAUGGCUCUCACAAAAUGCUUCAAAUUCCUUGAAAUAAUAUUCUCCACCACAAUCAAUGCGAAGAACUUGAAUGGUUUUCCUGAUUUCAUUCUCAACAAGUGCCUUGAAGCUAGUAAAUGCACUAAAUGCUUCCAAUUUCUCCUGCAAAAAGUAAACCCACAAUUUUUGGAAAUAAUCAUCGAUGAAAGUAAAGAAAUAAAUUUUACCUUCAUUAGAUUAUGGUUUUAUUGGUCCACAGAUAUCUGAAUGAACCAAUUCCUGCACAUGUUUUGCUAUCUAAAACUUUCUUUUGGGAAAUUGUUCAUGAUGUUGUCUGCUAACAACACAAUCUUCACACACAUGGUUUGGAAUGACAAUCUGAGGGAGGCCGUUGACCAUCUCUUUCUACCAAAGAGUCUUCAAACCCUCAAAAUUAAGAUGACCACAUCAAAAAUGCCAAAGCCAUGUGUUGUCCUUCACUUUAGCCAUCAAGCAAGGUUGAAAACAAUCAAUCACUAAUGGAAACAACCUGUUGGAACUCAUUGGAACCACUGGAAUAGCACCUCUAGAAGGAUCAUAAAUUUCACAAGCACUUUUUGAUACCGUAAUCACAUAUCUUUUUCCUUGCAAUUGACCAGCACUUAAUAAGUUACUUUUCAAAACAGACACAAAGAAAACAUGGGACAUUGUUUCUUCAAAACUAUUAUUGGUUCUUAUACUAAUACCACCCUUUCCCACUACAUCAACAAUAGAUUUAUCUCCAAAAGGCACAUUAAUGUGAAAGUCUUCAUUUAGAUAAGAGAAAGAAAACUUAUUACCACACAUGUGGUUGCUACAGCCUGUAUCCACAUACCAUAAACAUGAGUUUUGUGGCUUCUCUUGCUUGUCAUGAAUUGCCAUUAACAAGGUUUUAGCUUCUUUUUAUGAAAAUUUUGACUUUUCUCCCUUUUCCUUAUCAUUAGAUAGAUUAGUACGACAUUCAAAACAAUAAUGACCAAACUUAUAACAUCCAAAACAUUCUACCUUUGACUUGUCAAAUUGUCGAUCUUGUUUUUUUCCUUUAUCAUCUAAUCUGGCAUACCUGCCACUAUUUUUAUUCCAACUGUCUCCUCUGUCUCUUCCCUUUCCUUGACCUCCGUUUCUUCUUUUGAAAGAAUGAGUUGAAGUUUUCAAAGCCUGCUCCAUUGGGGGUAGAAGUUCUAUUCAUCUUCUAUUUAUGGACCAACAAGGAACUCUGGAGUUCAUCAAUGGUGAGUGCAUCAAUGUCCUUGGAUUCUUCAAUUGAGUAGACAACAUAAUCAUACUUUGGUGAUGAGGACCGUAGUAUCUUCUUAGCAAUGGUUGUGUCAUUCAUCUUCUCACCAUGAAAUCACAUAUUACUCAUGAUUCCCAUGGAAGAACCUCAAGGUCCUUCCAAAGAGCCUGAAGCUAUGCACGCUUCACUUUGAAAAAAGCCUUGACAUUUUGUCUUAAUGGAGUACCAAAUAUCCUUGAAAGUUUCUUUGCAAAGAAUGGUUUCUAGGAUCGAACGAUCAAUAGCUUGAAAUAAGUAAUUUUUUGCUUUCAAAUCUUUCAACUUCAGCCCCUUCAAGUCCUUUUUGUUGUAUUCUGUAAGCUUUUCUCCAUCUGUUGGUGUUGCUAUACUGUGCUUAAUGACUUGCCAAUACUCCUUGGACUGUAAGAAGUUCUCCAUCAACAUCUCCAAUGGUUAUAGUGACCAUCAAAAUGUGGAAUAGGUAGCUGCAAACAAUUUUCAAAAGCCAUAAGAGGACCAUAAACAUUUUUCUCUCACUGAAAAUACUCUUCUUUUACCAGGCUCUGACACCACUAUUAGCUUACUAAGGAGAUAACAGCAAGAUGAAAAAAAUAAAGGAAAUGGAAAAUAAGAUGAUCAACUCAUUUAUUCACAACCUUAAGAACCUAUUAUAUAGGCAAUUACAUGAUAGAAAAAUCAAGAAAUCGCACACUAACAACAAACGACUCAGAAUAGGACUCUUAACAACUAAGGAAAAAAAUCUAAACCAAAUAAACCCAUGAUCUGUAGCCACUAAAUCCUUGAUGUGCAACAACUAUAUGCCUAGAAACAAGGACAACAAACAUAUUUUAUUAACAAGUAUCCCUAUUUAAGUGAGCUUCUAGUGGCGAUCCUUGAAAAGGCUAUCUGAAUGGCAAAACUUUAUCACAUGCAAUCUUGAUGAUAAUGUUAUGGCGAAGAAGAGAAAAAUCAUUGAAAGUGACAACAAUGUUGGUAAAAAGGAAGAGCAUGAUAGGAUCAUACUCUAAAUUUUGUGUUCAAAGCUAUAGCAACGAAAGAAGGAAAAUUAAAAUAUAAAAUAUAAAAGAGCAGAUUUUUCACAAAUGAAAGCUUGAAAAGAACUUUAUUAGAUCAAUACAAGGAAAUGAAUACAAAGACAGUUGAUUUAGAAUUUCUUUUAUAAUAUAUAUAUUAUAAAACAUUAUUAAUUAUAACUUAAUAACUAUUCCUUAAGGAACAGAAGAGGAAAAUUUAAUACGAUUUCUAAGUGCAAUUGGUUCAAUGAGUAAUGAAGUGAUUCCACCCUUAGCCGCUUUUCCAACAUAUGUGUAGCCAUCACCUUCUCUAUAGAGUACAUCCAUCACCCUUGCAAGGUUUAAGCUACGAUUCAAAACUUCUGUUGGCAUUUCUGUUGGUUUCAGAAACUCUUGAUUCACAUCCUUCCAAGCACUCUCAACAUGCUUGUUGAAUACAUCAUAUGCCUCUUGUGCUGUUACACCAUAUUCUUCCAUGUAACACUCAAUUGCUGAGCAAUCGUCUUCUCUCCUAUGUUUGAACUGCAACCAUAAUAAAAUAAAAAUUAUUCAAUUACUAUAUAACCUAAAUUCUAUUCGUUUGUUAAACUAUAUAUAUUUUUAAAAUGAAACUAGAUAUCUUUUCUUAUUCUUCGAUUUAAGGCUAAACAUUUGAUAUAUAAACAUUAAACUUUAAUUGUUUCAAAUCAUGACAAAAACCAUCGUUAUUGAGUUAAUAGUUUGGUUUCUUGUGAUUAUUUAAAUAUAUUAUUAUACCUUGUGUUCAGCAACAUCAUCCAUAAACCUACAAAUAAUUGUGGAAGCUUGAAUGAUCUUAGGGUCAUUGGCUGCCCAUUUAAAGGUUUCUGGUGUUACAAUAUCUCCCAUGCCAACGAAAGAUGUAAUAGCAAGCAUGGCAUAACCACAAGUUGGCAAUGCAUUAGCCUUAAACUCCUCGAAUGAUGGUUUGUAGUUUUGAAGAGUCCAUCUGGCCUCCACAAGAUAAGAUUGAGCAAGUCGUAUCAUCUGAGGCAACAAAAUCCCAACAAUUAUCACUAAUAUCAAUUCAAAUUCAAUAAUAAUAUUUAAAUGAUUAUAUAUUGUUAUUCGAGUUAGUUGUUUAUUCAAAUCUAGAAUUUAGCUAAGAUCUUAUCUCUUUUGUACAAAAUAAAUGUUUGUUGAUGUACAUACCGCAUUUUUCGCAUAUUCGACACGAUAUUGUCUCCCAUGCUCAGCCACCAGUUGUUCCAUUUCUUCAUAAACAUCUAAUAGUGCCUUGUAGCUCGGCUUCAUGUAUUCAGGAAGUUCAUCUAUGCAUUUGAUAUCCCACCUGAAUUCAACUUCAAUGUUAACUUCAACUAAAGAAACCUAACCUAUUACCAACAAAAUUUUAGAAAUCUAACCUCUCAAUUGCAUUUGUAUAGGGAAUAAGCUCUUCAUAUGUUGCAUAUGAGUCAUAUGUAUCAUCUACAAUAGAUGCCAUUGCUAUCACUUUUGUCAACAUCUUUCUACCAAGAGAAUAUUGGGGCUCAAAAUACACUCCUGAGAUCCAAAAAUAGCCUUCAACCACUCUAUCUCUUGCGUAUGGCAACUUUCUUUGAAAGUCUAAAUCCUUCCACCACCUAAAAAAAUCAUAUCAUAGAAAACCCCAUUAGCAAAAUGAAUAUUCAAAGUUUUAAUUUGUUUCACAUUCAUGUUGUCAAUAAGUAAAUUGUUAGAUUCUUAAGUAAAUUGGCAACCUGAAAUUUUAAAAUAUAUAUAUAACUUAUAUAAUAUAAGUAAAAUAAUGUAAGUGAAAAAGAUGAAUCCAUCACUUUUAACUUGUGCUAUAUAUUAAGAUUCAAAUAUUAGCAUUUGCAACUCGUCUCCUAUAUUGAGAAUGAUGCCGCGAUUAAAUUCAACCCUCCUUCCACCAAAAAAAAAAAAAAGACAAAAAAGAAAAAAAAAUGGGUGAAAGAGAUUCAAAAACAUACCUAGAAAUCUCACUUAGCUCUUUUCUAUGCAAAAGUUGUACCAUGUUGAAAUCGAUCUUAGCAAACUCCAACAAAACCUUAUUAUGGGACUCAAUAUCUUGGUAUACUGAAAGAUAGUGUCUUGCCUCAACCCUUGGCAAGCCUCUUCGAAUUGAUUGUUUCAAAGCAUGAGAAACCUCUUCGGAUAAAGGAUGGUCCAAAGAUGCUACUGCAAGGCUUAAAUGGUUGCUGGUGAAAGAAAUUGCUUCAUCCAAUAUAUCUUCCCCAUGAACCCUCAAAUAGGAAGCUUGGUAAAGUUCCAACAAUCCUCGAACAUCGCUUGUCACGGAUGACUUGAAAUUCCCUUGCUCGUCUUUAAACUUGUUGAAUACGUCUGAGAUGAAAUUACCCAAAAUGAAAUAUUGUUAUCAAACAUUCCAUGCUAUUAUAUACUCAAGAAACUUAAAAAUACCAUGUUGUUGUUCCAGUAAUUACCGCAUGAAACAUUGAAUCCAUGCUCUCGGAGUAGUCGGAAUCGAAGGGAUGUGGUGUAGAGGUCGUUCUCGGCAUCAUUGUUGUUAUGGUAGAUAUUCUCUAGUUCAUCUUCGAUCUCCUUGGUGAAAUGGUAACUCACACCCAGUCUUUGGACUGAAUCAAUGAAGGCUAACUUUUGGGUUGAAUUAGCCAUUGGUGCCACAAUCAUCUUCCUCACUUCUUCUUUCAAUUGUUGGUGGCGUUUUUGAGUUUCAGCAUCAAUAUUCUGCUCAAAAUAAUGAAAAUUUGCUUCAUAUUGAAUCACUAAAUAACUAAACAAAUAAUCUGUUAAGAUUAUAUAUAUACCAAUAUGGUGAUAUGUAUGUAUACCUUGUCGGGACAAUUGAGGAAGAAAUCUCCCCAAAUGCUAGGCUGAAAAUCGGCUUUGGGACGCAUUUCAUCCUUAUUGGAAGAAAGGGGUGAUGAAGAAGGCAUUUGAGAAACUUGUGAAGCCAUUUCGAUUGAUUAAAAGCAAAUAUUGAAAAGCUUAAUUUGCUGCCUUUUUUGGUUUGCUCUUGAAAUUUGGCACAGAAUCUGUGAGGAUAAGAGUGCAAUUGUUGCAUGUAUUUAUAGGUAAAAUAUACUGGGGAGUUUAAGUCAAAAAAGACAACCUAUAUGCAAGGAAACAAUUAUACAAUAAGAUUGGUGUAGGGCGGCCCAUUGCAUGAGAAUUGCAAAUAGAUUAAAAGAGAUGUUGAUUUGUCUUUUUGUUUGAUUCUCUUAUUCAAAGUUGAUGCCUGUAAAAUAUUAGAAGAUGAAAUGUGUAGAAAUGUGUUACAAAGUAAAUAUUUAUCCUCUGUUGAACUUUAGAAUUAUAGAAAUAUAUCAUUUCAGUCCUUCCCUCGGCCGGUCAGCCUCAAUUAAAAUAUAAAUUAAAUCAGUUGGACCAACUGAACUAAAUUAUUUAAUUAAAACAUAAUUAAAUGUUAAAUGUGAUUUCAUAUUAAAUAAGUCUAAAAAGUAGUAACUAGUUCCUUAAAAAAGAAGUAGUAAUUAGCUAAUAAAGAUAUGUAUUUUCUAUCUUGGGUAUGUACAAAAUUAGACAGACCACCAAUUUUCAAUUUAAUCAAUUAACCCAAUACUAUUUUCUUUUUAUAUAAAUAUAACUAUUUUUUAAAAUUAAUAAAAAUUAUAUAUAUUUAAAAUCGAUAAAAUUUUAUUAAUAAUAUAUUAAAUGCAAGAAACCUGUUUUCAAAUAAUAAAUAAUCUUUAACGAUCUUUUAAGUCCUAACCAUUGUUAAUCUUUAAGGCAUCUGAAAGUUAGAUCGGUGCAUGCAUUUGUUUCAGACGCAAAGACUUUUGUUUCUCAGUUCUUCCCACUAAUCUUUUUGAUUGAUUUUUAUAAUAGAGCACGUCAGGUUUCAUCAAGGACUAAGCAACGUCACUUGUUUACUAUUAUCCUAUUGACUAAUUGGCCAUGAACACAUAAACUAUGACGUAAUAUUUAUAAUAUUUAUAAUAUUUAUAAUAAUUUUUAAACCGAAAUAGCAUGUAAUUUUGAAAAUUAAUCAAGUCAAAUUAAAUAGUUCUAAUCCUACGAUUUAAGGCCAACAUAAAUGAUAAUUACAAUCCCACAAUUAAACUGAGUAAAGAGAAGUUAAUGUUUACUAUUAUAAUAGAGCAUGUCAGGUUUGAUCAAGGACUAGGCAACGUAACUUGUUUACUAUUAUACUAUUGACUAAUUUACCAUAAACACAUUAAACUAUGACGUAAUGUUCUCAAAUUAUGCAGAUUUUAAAUUCAAUUUUAAAUUUUAAAAAUAUUUUAAUUCAAUCCGCAAAGUAUUAGUAUCAUAUCAAUCAAGCCUUUCCAUUAGCUUAACAAUUAGUUUAGGCAUUAAAUGUCAACUCAAGCUUGAGUUAAAGUGUAUAUGAAAUACGUAGAUCAAAUUGUAAAGAUGUAUCUAUCUGUAACAUAGAUAAUAUUUUAUUGACAUUAAUUUUUUAAUACGUUAAAAUUUAUUGCAUAGAUACAAUGCUAAUAUUUUAAAGAUUUAAUUAACCUAUUUUGAAGUUUAGAACUAAUUAAGAAUAGGCAUAACCUUAAAUUUAGUUCUCAACAUUUACAUUCUUUUUUGUUAAUUUGACUUUUAUUUUUUUAGCUAAAAUUGAUCCUCACCCUUUUAAAAAAAAUCAUAUUUAACCUUAAACCUUUCAAAAAUAGUUGAAAUGCUAUUUUUUUAAUGAAAAUAAACCGUUAAAUUUUUAAACAUGGCAGCUCACAUACUAAUCCACAUGUACUCCAUAUUAUUAUUAUUAUUUAUUUUUUUUAUUUUUUUGUAAUUUUUAAAUUACUUGUUGGUGUGGCAUAUAAUAAAUAGAGUUAUGUCUACAUGAAGUACAUGUGGACUGUAACACAAGUUUCCAUGCCAACUUUGUUGAAAAAUUAAUGUUUUAGUUAGGAUUUUUGUUUAAACAAAUUUUUUGACUCUUUUUUAAAAGACUAAGGGCAAAUUUAGCUAAAAAGAAUAAGAAAAAGAGUUAAAUUGACAAAAUAUAUAAAUAUGGUGGCUAAAUUUGACAUUAUGCUAUAAGACUAUUGGCAAUAAAUUAGAGAUGACUGAUAGAAUUAAUCAAAAUAAUAUGGGCUUAUUAAGAAUUUUAACUUUAAAAAAAAUAAUUAAAUCCCUCGGAACCUCUUCUACUCAAUUGAAUCCUUGAAUUGACAAUUUUGACCAACAAAGCCCUUUGACCAACAUUGAUCGUUAGAAACUAACAGCAGCGCUAACGUGAUUGUCAACAGAUGCCACAUCAGACAACAAAGGCUAACUUGGCAGUGCCACAUUAGUAAAAAUAACAAAAAAGUAAAAAAAUAUUUUUAAUUUAUUUAAAAAUAUAUAUACAAUGAUGCUGGAUAAAUGAUUGUCCAAAUUCAUUUCAAUCUGAGCACUCAUUUAUUUAAGUUCCUUUGAAACUAGAGACACAUUUCUCAAGAUUCAUUUCGAAAUUAAUAAACAUAAAAAUUAUAAAAAAAUCAUUCAAAUUAUAAAAAAAAUUAUAAACUAAUUAAAAACUAUUGUAACACCACCAAUCAAGCGUAAAAGUUUCGACUAAGUCGAAGAAAUCACAUUUGAUCAUUUGAUGAUUGAAGUGACCGUUGAAACCACUAGUCUAUUUUGUAGGGAAGUUGUUCCUUUUGAUCUUAGGAAAUCAUUUAUUAUUUUUAAGCCGGUUUUAUUUAAAGAUUCAGUUUCGCUAUUAUUCUGGUGGUGUUUUGAAAGCGGCUGAUGUUUUUGGAAAAGGAAAUUAUAAAACCAUUGAAACAAACAGCGAAAAAUAUUUAUAAUAAUUUUCUAAAUCAAAAUAGCAUGUAAUUAUGAAAAUUAAUCAGUUGUAAAUAAAUGAUAAUUACAAUCCCACAAUUAAACUGAGUAAAGAGAAGUUAAUGUUUACUAUUAUAAUAAAGCAUGUCAGGUUUACCAUUCACUAAUUUACCAUAAACACUUUAAACUAUGACGUAAUGUUCUCAAAUUAUGCAUAUUUUAAAUUCAAUUCCAAAUUUUAAAAAUGUUUUAAUUCAGUCCUCAAAGUAUUAGUAUCAUAUCAAUCAAGUCUUUCUAUUAUGUUAACAAUUAGUUGAGGCAUUAAAUGCUAACUCAAGUUUGAGUUGAAGUGUAUUUGAAAUACGUAGAUCAAAUUGUAAAGACGUAUAUAUCUACAACAUAGAUAACAUUUUAUUGACAUCGAUUUUUAAAUACGUCAAAACUAAAUUUUUUAUGUGGUAGAUACACAUGAGUUUACAGUUUAUUCCGUUUGCUUUUAAGCAUGCCGCAUAUCAUAUCUUGAUUCACAUUUAACAAUUAGAUUAACUACGACAUUGAUAGAAAACCUAUUUGAUACAAUGUUGAUAUUUUAAAGAUUCAAUUAACAUGUUUUGAAGUUUUAAACUAAUUAAGAAUGGGCAUAACACAAAUUUAGUCCUUACAUUUACAAUUUUUUUUGUCAAUUUGAUCCCUUUUUUUUAGCUAAAUUUGGUCAUCAACCUUUCAAAAAAAUGUCAUAUUUAAAUUAAACCUUUCAAAAAUUGUUGAAUUGCUAUUUUUUAAUGAAAAUUAACCGUUAAAUUUUUAAACACGGUAGCUCACAUACCAAUCCACAUGUACUUCAUACUUUGUUUUUUGAAUUUUUAUAAUUUUUUUUUAUUUUUUAAUUUUUAAAUUAUAUUUUGGUGUGGCAUAUAAUAAAUAGUGUUAUGUCAAAAUGAAGUACACGUGGAUUGCCACAUGAGUUGCCAUGCCAUCUUCAUUAAAAAAAAUUUAAUGUUUUAGUCAGGAUUUUCUAUAAAAAAUAAUUUAACUCUUUUUUAAAAGAUUAAGGGCCAAAUUUAACUAAAAUAGAAACAAAAAAAACCAAAUUGAUGAAAGAUGUAAAUGUUGCGGUUAAAUUUGACAUUAUGAUAUUGGCAAUAGUUUAGAGACGAUUGAUAGAAUUAAUGGAUUGAAAAUAAUAUAGGCUUAUUAAGCAUUCAAACUUCUUUCAAAAAUCAAGUAAACCCCUCCAAAUCUUUUCUACUUAAUUGAAUCAUUGAAUUGAUAAUUUUGACCAACAAGGCCAUUUGACCAAUAUUGAUAGUUAGAAACUAACAGCAACUCUAAUAUGAUUGUUAACAAAUGCCACAUUAACCAACAAAUGCUAACUUGACAGUGCCACAUCAGUAAAAAUAAAAAAAUAAAAAAAAUAUUUUAAAAUUAUUUUUAAAAAAUGUACAAUGAUGCUGGACAAAAGAUUGUCCAUGCUCAUUUGAACAUGGACCCACAUUUUUCAAUAUUCAUUUCGAAAUUAUAAAAAAAAUAAAAAAUUAUAAAAUAUAAUUAAAAUUUAUAAAAUUAUUAUAAAAUUAUUAAAAUUAUUUUUUAAAAGUUUUUUUUAAAAUUAUUAAAAAUUAUUAAAACGUAUAAAAUUAAAAACCAAAUUAUAUUUAUAUAAAAGUUUUUUUUGUAAUUGUUUAUGUAUUAUUAAAACCAAAUGGAUUUUAAAUAAAAAUAUUUUUAGAAACUAUAAUAAUUUUAAUGUUUUUAAAUAAAAUCUUUAGAAACUUUUAAAAAAGUCCAAAUGGAUUUUUAAUUAAAAGCUUCUAUUCAACCUAAUGGACUUUAUAAAAAUUUAUAAUAAAAAGCUGUGUUUUAAUUUAUUUUAUAAAAUUUUAUGAUUUUUAAUUAAUUUAUAAUAAUUUUAUUAUUUUUUAUAAUUUUAAUUAUUCUUUAUAAUUUUUUUCUUUUUAUAAUUCCAUGAUGAAUAUGGACAUAUGAAUAUCUACAUUCAAAUGAACCUGGACAACUAUUUGUUUAAGUUUAUUGUGUACAUUUUUUUACAAUAAUUUUAAAAUAUUUUUAAUUUUUAUUGAUGCGGAUCACCCCAUCAGCAUUUGUUGAUUAAUGUGAUAUCCAUUAAUGACCACAUCAAUGUUGGUGUUGGUUUCUAAUGAUCAACGUUGGUAAAAAAAUCUCGUUGGUCGAAAUUGUCAGUUUAAAGACUCAAGUGGAUAUAAAAAGUUCAAAUGGAUUUAGUCGAUCAUUUAAAAAUAAUUCAAAAAUUUAUUGUACCAAUAAGCCAAUAAUAAUAGCUAAUAUAAAUGUAUAGAACUUGAGUUCAAUGGAUUUAUAUAUGAUGCAUUGACACUAUCAGUAAAUCAUAUAAUACUAUAAAAUUUAAAAAAAUUUCAUUUAAUUUUUAAUAAUAUAUUCACUAGGAACACGUAAAAUUAUUAUACCUUUCAAAAUUACUAUAUAUAUUUUUUAAAAUUGUAAGGAAGAACAUUUUUUUCAAAAUUACUUAAUUUCCAUAUUCAAAGUUAAGGCAAACCUAGCAAUCAAACAAGAUUCUUUUCAAGGAUUUCGUAUUAGAUAUUGCCGCCAAGCUUAAGAAAUUAUAUAUUUAUUCCUUUCCAAACAAAAGAAUUUAAACAAUUAUAUUCAUAUUUUAUAUUUAUGCGAAUUAAGUGUAAAUAUUCUAAAGGAGACGUACGAAGACCAAUGUUUAUCGAUAAUAAAUAUACAACAAAUAGAUUUUAUUAAAUUUCAUCUUGGAUCAGUCAAAAAAAAAAUAUGUAUAAUAUUCGUAUUUUUAUUUAGUUUCAAUGCACGUGUAAAGGAAUAAUUUAAUAAUAACAGCUUAAAAAGACUGGUAAGGAUAUUAUUAAUUAUAAAAAUCAUAAUCGAUUAUUUAUUGUUUUGAUUAAAUUAAUAAAAAUUGAAAGAUUAUAAAUAGAAUAAACAAUGUUAAUAUACUGUAUUCACUUGACUUUAGUGAAAGCAAUGUAUUAUUGUAAAAACUUCUUGUUAACUGCACAUCUAUAUAUUAUUUAUUAUGAAAUUAAAAAUUAUUUUUUUCCAAAGCAUUAUAGUUGUCUAUAACAUGCUAAAAUCAUUGCAACCUUUUAGCCUCUAUUGUUUUUUUUUAAGUCAAAAGGAUACAACCUUAAAAUAAAAAUAUAAAUGGAGGGCAUAUCGGUUUUUGAGUUGUUCUUUUGGUAAAUUAUAGGUAAAUCUUCGUUUUGAUCACUUAACUAAAAAAAUUAUAAUUUGAUCAUUGAAUCAUUAGAAAAUUUUUAUUUAAGUCAAUGAAGUAUUCAAAAAAUUUUAUUAAGUUACUACGCUAUUAUUUUUUUUAGAAGUUUCGCAAGAAAGCUCAAAGCAAUGAUUCGACAAUCGGUACACUGAAUCAAUAACUAUUGACGAGUAGAAGAACAUAUCUUAGAUACAAGUUGAUUUGAUGGUCAAUGUCGGAGAUUAGAGAAAAAAGCUUUUUGAAUUUUGAAUUGCAAAUUUAUGACGUUCAAAGCUAUUUCAUAAAAAAAUGAACUGUAGAAAAGAAAGGAAAGAGAGGUUUCAAUUGGUGCAGGCAGCGAGAUCUAUUCAUUGAUAAGAGAAAGAAAAAACGUGAGCGGUGAUUGGAUUGAUGAGAAAAUAGAAUCCUGGGUCGCGAACAGUGAUUCGAUUGAUGAUAAAGAAAGAGAAUUCUUGGUUCAAUUCUCCACCUUAACAGCAGAAAAAAGGAUUGAUCAAAUUCUAUUGAGUCUGACUCAUAGUGAUCAUUUAUCAAAGAAUGACUCUGGUUAUCAAAUGAUUGAACAACCUGGACCAAUUUACUUACGAUACUUAGUUGACAUUCAUAAAAAGUAUCUAAUGAAUUACGAGUUCAAUACAUCCUGUUUAGCCAUAUAACAUUGAUUUUAAUAGCUCACUGACUUAAAUGAAAACUUUUGAAUAGUUUAGUAAUCAAAUUGUAACUUUUUUAGUUAAGCGACUAAAAUGAAAACUUACUUAUAGUUUAGGGACUAAUGAUGUAAUUUAUCCUUUUAUUUUUUAUUGUUCGUCAUUUAAUGCCCUCGAUAGUCUAUCUGGUGCAUAUAGCCUUUUCGAUAUCAUAUAUAGUUUCUUUUUUUUUUAGAAAAUUUGGGACACCAAUGACAAAUUUGUUUAUUUAAGGGUAAAUUACACUUAUAGUAAUCCAACUAUAAAAAGUUACAAGAUGGUCACUUAAUUAUUUAGAUUUUUUUUCUUAGUCACCUGCUGUUAAAGGGCUAAUGGGAAGAUGACGUGACAACUUUUAAAAUUGGUUAAACAACUUUUAACCAUCAACAUUUAUAUAUUGGUUCAAUUUAGUUUUGAUUCUAACAAAUUUAACUCUCAACAUUUUCACAUUGUGUAAUAUGCUUUUUUUCCAAUUUUGCUUUUCGUUGUGACCCUUUCACCUAAAAAGCUAAAAAAAAAACAAUCUAUCAACUAAAUUUGAUCAGAAAUAUACAAAAAAUAGAAACACCAAAAAAUCCAAGAUAAUAAUAUGCAUCUUAUGUAAUUCUUUUAAAAUUAACCCUCAAUGUCACAAAUAAAAGUAAAACUGUAAAAAGAGAGAGAGAGAGAGAGAGAGACCAAAUUAUAUAAUGUGUAAAUGUUGAUAUUUUUUUUUGAAAUCAAGACUAAAUUAACACAAUGCAUAAAUGUUGAGCGUUAAAGUUGUUAUUAUGCCAAUUUUAAAAAUUGUCAAGUUAUCUUUUUAUUAGCAAAUUAAUGGUCGGAGACCAAAAAAGAAAAAUUCAUAUAGUUGUGUGACAAAAAAGAAAAAGGGUGAAUAGUUGGAUGGUCAUUUUUUGUAAAGUUCCAUAGUUGGGUGACUCAAAAAAUACUAAAAGUUGGAUGACUACUUUCAAUGCCAUUUUUAUGAACAAAGCUAGCUUGAGAAAUUUUGAGAAAAAUAUGAAAAAUUUAAAAUAUUAAAACAUUGGGUUUUUAUUUAGAACAUAAGAUUUGUCACAAAUCUUUUAACUAGGUGUGAUCAAGUACCUAUAAAAUCGCCUUUUAAAAAUAUAAUUAGUUGGUUUGUUAUUUGAAAAUCAAAGAAAAUUCGAGUUCAGGAAUCAAUUACAUGCGAUGAAGGUAUUAACACCUUCACAAUGCCCAAAAAAAAUAUCUUAUUAAUUAUGUGUUGAUUUUAAAUUCAAAAAUUACAAGUUCAAAUUCAGUAUUCAGUCAUCAUCUGUAAUAUUCUGUUUGUUAAUUAUAUGUUUGUCUGCAUGUUGUGUGCAUUUUUACAUUUGCAUAAAUAAUUUGGGGUUUUGGUUGUGAAGAGAAGAAAGUUUGAUUUGAUCAGUUUAUCUGUAAUAUUCUGUACAACAAUUUUACUGCAUUAUUAUAUAUAUGUCAGCUUAGUUGCAUAUUUUCUUUUGAGUGGCUUAUACCCACUAUCGUGGUGUGUAGGGUGGAUCGGCCUACCAUAGCCCAAUUGUGGUGUGCAGGGUGGUCGGAGUGGUGUUCCGGUUGGUUGGGUGGGUUUUAAUAUUUAUUGCUUUCUUUUAUUAUUAUUAUUUUUAACUUUGUUGAAAACCUUUAUAUGAAUAUGUUUAUGUAACAUCUUUAACCAGACCUAGACGUUAGAUCUGAAUUCAAAAGAUUAUAUUAUCCACUAAAGUGGCUCAAUAAGCUAUCAAAGUUUUGAAAACGAUCAUUUUAAAACAUUUGUUUAUUUUGGUAGGAAAUUUAGAUACAACUCAAAAUUUUAAUUAUGAUUUAGCAACGGAAAAGUACUGUCUAUUUAUUUUUAAUAAAAAUCGGGGUUCAUGCAUACUAGUUAAUAAUCGUAACAUGAUGUCCUAAAAAUUUAAAUCAAGUGUUAUGCAAAAUAAAAACAAACUCAAAUCAUAAACCCCAUGCCACAAUUCGAAUAAAAUAAUAAUACAAUCUCUAAAUAAUGAAAUAUCAAAUAAUAUAUCUAAAAAUAUUUUAACAAAAUUGAGCCGAGACCCUCUGGAUCUAUAAGGAUGAAAAUUAAAGGGGGACUGAGCUAUGACGCUCACUUUGAGUUCCAUCACAAUAAAAUUAGCGUAACAGUCAGUAAGGCAUAUUAAAUAAUAAUGCAUAAAAUAAUCGCAAUUAAGUAGCAGUUCAAAAUAUCCAUUUUCAAUUUAGCCAUCAUUAGCAUAUAUAAUUUACAAUAGCAAUAUCAAAAUAUUGAUUUCACAGAUCACUCAUUCAUAUAUUUAGAUAUAAAUAUAUCUUACCAGAAAUUCUAGGUUUGCAUGCAGAUGCUUUCAUAGAUGCCAUACGGUAUCAGUUUUAACAGAAAAGAUCCUACUCCACCGCUACACACUACGAUUAGAGUUAUCCAAAACUCCAACCGCUAACACACCAAAUUAUGGAUUAACUACCAAUAGAUUACAGUUUUACUGCCAAUGGUUGUGGACACAAAAUAGUGCAGGUAAAAUCUGCCAAUGGCCAUGGAUGCAAAACAUGCUUGCAGAUGAUUACUGUCAAAGGGUUAUGGAUGCACAACAAAAACAUCACAGAUGGAAUCUGCCUAUGGUUGUGGGUACACAAUAAGCCGUCGUAGAUGGAAUUUGCCAAUGGCUGUGGGUUCACAGCAAAAUAAAUGCAGAUAUACUGCAAAUACUUCCUCUAUUCAUAACAUCCUAUCCCAUGUAAAGCAAUAUGACAUGUUCGGCAGAUUAAUAAAAUAACAUUAAAUUAUGCUUUUAACAAACAAUACAAUAGCAAUCAGUAUUCUUAUAAUGGUUUGGUUCAGUAGCAAUGAACAUGCUUGUGACAGAUUAAUUUAUUAGUAAAAAUCAUGCUUUUUUGUGUGCUUGGUUUGACACUUACAUAAGGCAUACCAUACAUACGAUUACAACCCCUAAAAUAAUAGACAUAUAUAUAAUGUUCACAAUUCAUGUGUAUAUAUAUAAAUAUCAUACUAAAUCAAUUCAUCAAAUCAUGGAUUCUAACAUAAUUCAUAUCAUCAGGGCUUAAUUGAAUAAUUUGAAGCACUAUAAAUAGUUCAAAAAUCAUUCAGGGACUAAACUAAACAAAACAUAAAAUUCUUGGUCAAAAUCGUAAAAUCUAAGGUACAGGGGACACACGACAAUGUGGAAAGCCCUAGACUGUGUGGAAGGAGUGCACGGCAAUGUGGCUAGGUCGUGUGACAGACUAUGGCCUUGUGGCAUUUGAAAAAUCAACCUAUAAGGGAGACAUGACCGUGUGGAGGGUCCUAGGCCGUGUGAGGGUCGAAAUAACCUAGGGUUUCAGGGGGACAUGGUCAUGUGAGGGGGCCGUGUGGUCCACACGGGUGGCCCACGCGCCUGUGUGGCACUAUCUUAGGCAUGAUUUUGCAUUGUUUCACUUGUAAAAGAACAUACACUUGACUUCGGGAUCUCAAACGAUGUUCCUUGCGCCUAAAUCUGAUUCGAGGUACCUAGAUCAAGUCCUUCAAAUGACAUUUAAGCAAGAAUUAAUAAUGAUAUUCAAGAUUUAUCAAGAUUACUGGGAAAUAUUGACAAGAUUCGUAAAAGAUCAUUUGAUCAAUCUUAAAAUUAACAUGAAUAAAAAGUCUACAGGAAUUUAAGAUCUAAACUUUAGGAUUAGAAUGUUCUUACUGAUUCUUGGCAACGAGCGGAGAAUGUUUCGAAUUGCGAUUACGAAUCUAGUUGAAAAGUGAGUUAAAAUCAAGAAUAGAUUUCAAUUUUGGGUAAUCAAGAACGAUUUUCAACAAUGGAACAAAAUUUUGAUGAAAAGAAAAGCAAAGAAAAGAAAUAGGGAAGAAAUAGAAAAGAUGGAAGUAAAGUUCUAGGAGAAUUGGAAAAGGAAACAAAAUCCUAGCCUAGUUAGGAUAAUGGUUUAAAUAGCUAGGGUUUUCAAAUUUUUAGGGACUGUUUGGAUGGGUGAUUAACCAUUCUUGCCGAAAAUAAAAAAGGAAAUAGGGUGAGUGGUGUGACUUAAACUUGGGAUUCAAGGGAGAAAUGAAUGAUGCUUAACCAUUGAGCUACUACCCACACUUGAUCAUUUUUUACUCCAUUCAAUAUAUAUUCUAUGGAGAUUUUCAUUCUAGUUUGCUGAAAAUGAAAAGAAAAAUAUGGGUGAGAUGUAACACCCCAAACCCAGCCUAGACGUUAUGGUCGUAUCUGGUAAUGUCACACGAUAGUGUUUUUCAAACCUCGUUGUUACGAUGAAAACAUUCCAUGUUAUUAUCUUUAGUAAACCUUUGUUAGAACUUAGGAAUUCACCUUUAUUCAUUUAAAACAUUUGUUUUGAAACAUCCCUCGUUACAAAAGCUUUAAUAAAACAGUCUAAGUGAUCAUACGUGUAGAAAAUACUUUAACUUUUUGAAAACCAAAUUUCCUAUUACCAACAGGUAUAAAUCCAUAAAGUAAAAUAAAUAAAUAAAAAUCCAAAAUUUAAAACCAAAGUCCCAGAGGGUCCUUAAAUUACAACCCAAAUAAUCAAUACUAAUUAAUCAUAAAACGUAAAUUGAAAACCAUGAAGUCCAAAAAUUUCUGUGGUCACCGCUGAGUCCUCCGUCGCACCGAUCCAUCUAAGUUUGGGGAUUACCUGUGCACAUUAAACAAAAAGUGUGAGUUUACGUAAACUCAGUGUGUAAUCCCGCAGAAACAAACAAGCAAUCAGUAUUCAUAGUGCACAGUUGAACAGUCUUGGGCCUAAGCCCUUUUCAGUAUCAGUGACAAUUUGGGCCUUAGCCCAUCUCAGUAUAGUGUCAAAAAUGCAGUAGGGCCUUAGCCCAUCACAGUAUCAGUAGCAGUAACAAUUAUGCAGUAGCAAAAUCCUACCCAUCCAGCCUUUACAUACCAUCUCCGUCCAACCCUGCACUCCAUGUGGGGAUAUAAUCAACCGAUCCAUCCUUACACUCCAAUUAGUAUCGAAUGCAGCACAAAACAGUAGUUUGCAGCUGAGCUACUAGUAAAUUAGGCUUAAAGCCUUUUAGUCAACUUCCUCCGAAUAACAACCUCUAACCCAAUGCAAUGCAACAUACCAUGGAUGAUAUGCUAUUAUGCAAUUUCAGUACAUAUAUUCAGUUAAGAUAUUAACAUGCUCAGUAUAAAUAUCAUUCAGUCAAUUUCACACAUUUAGGGGUCUAAGUAGCGCUUACCGACCUUACAGUAGGUUCACAGUCGACUUGGGCGACCCAUGCAACCUUAGAAACAUUCCAGUAAGAAUGAGCCCACAAGCCCGUGUGUGCCCGUGUAGCCCACUCUGCCCAAAUUGGCCUUGGUCGUGUGAUCCAUUUUUAAUGUAACCCAUGCUAGCUAAAUAUUCAUAUAUGUUUUCACUAUUUACUUAUAUGUUCAUUCAAAGCUGUCUACUUGAGUCAUUGUCACUAAAUUAUUUAUAUCUUGAGCUACAGAAUUAUAAAUUAAAAUCCACUUGAUGUUUUCAAAACUAGACUCAAAUACUUUUCUACCAUAAAAUUUUUAGAUUUUAUAGUUUAUCAAAUAAGUACAGUAAAAUCUUCAAAUCUAUCCCGAUUCUACUAUUUGACAGCUUCAAUCUUUCCUUACUAAAAUUAUUUAUCUCUUAGUACGGAAUUUGGAUGAUAUUUCUGUUUGUUUCUCUUGAAAAUAGACUUGUUAAGGACUUAAAAAUAUAAAUUUAAGCGCCUAAUUAUUUUUUACAAUUUUUGAUGAUUUUUCCAAAGUCAGAAUAGGGGAACCCGAAACCAUUGUUUCUUCCAUUGCUUACAUUGUUUCUUCCAUGAAAAACUAGAGUCAACAAAAUUUAAUUUCAUAUUUUAUUCAACCUCUAACUCUAUUUCCACUAUUUUAGAUGAUUUUUUCAAAGUUAGACUACUGCUGCAGUCCAAAACUAUUUUAGUGCAAAAUGUCGAUUUCCAAGAUUAUAACACCCUUAUUUCCUUUCUCUACAAUUUUUCACAUCAUUUUCUCUUAUUUCUCGACAGUAAGCAAUUUUGGCUUUUCGCUGAAUCUCAUUUUCUUCCUUUCGGGUACACACCUGUAUCGUUUUCGUUGCUUACGCAAUCCCGAGAUCACCAAAAACCUUCUAACUUUGCACAAUUCCACGACUACUCAACACGAGGGAAAUAGCAACCGAAAUGAUUCGUUGCUGUAAAAAUAACCAUUCCUCAUUAAAGAAGAGUUCAACAAAGUUAAGAACGAAUUCAAAGCCAAAACCACUCGCCCAAACAACACAAGAAAACACAUGCCCUAUACGCAUACCAAACGAUCACCCCUUCGAGUCAAAUCGAUGAAUGUUAAUUCCAGAUGCACGAUCGACUCCUAAACAAUCAACAAAACACCCCUUAAUCCCUUAUCCAGAGUAACAUUCGAGUUUAAUAAAAUGGAAACUUACCGUACAACACAAUUGCACGCUUGCACAAAGGGUAAAAGAUGAAGAAAGACAACGAAAACGAAAGGGGAAUUCAAAGGAAAUUCAACAACAAUGAUUUAUUAUUUAGAAAAAAAGAGGAAAACUGAAAAUUGAGAGUGAGGGAGAAGAGAGAAAAUGUUAGAAAGGUGGAAAAGAGUUCUAAAUUUGAAAAAAAAACUAAACAAAAAGAUAAUGCCUAAAAAAUCUGGUAACUCAUCUCCUUAGUUCUCUCCCUAACCUCCCACAACAACUCCACUACUCGAAAUUUCAAUUUGACUAGGACUCCACUACGCCACACGGCCAAGCAACAAAAAAAAUAAUUCCCUAGCUCAUGCAAGGACUUGAACUCUAGAUCUCCCACCUCCCAACACAUAGCUUAGCCACCAAACCAGCAAGCCCAUUCUAAUAAUAUUUGCCAACUUUUACUUAAAAGCCUACUGACCAAAGAUAGGGCUUAUUCAUAAAAAUACCAAAAUUUUCCCAAGUCCUGGCUUGAACUUAAAACCUCACACACACACAGAAUACUUAACCACUGAAGCAAAUACACAAUUAUGUCACACUUUCGCAAGAACAAAAAUAAAAAUUCUGGGGCGUUACAUGAGAUGUGGAUAAAACCUAGGACCAUUAGGAAAGUGCUAACUUUUUAACCAUCAAACCAAGGACAUUUCUUGAUUAAUUAACCCUAUAUAUUUUGUGGUGUUACAAUUUCUUAAUAGCUAAAUUUCCCAUUUAGCUUUAAGGUGAUAGUCAAUUCGGGAGAAAACCAUGAGAUUUAAAAUCGUACUUAAAAAACAUUUAUUCUGGUAUUUAUUAUUUCUCUUGUUUAAGGAAUAGACAUUGCCGUCUCAUAAAGUUAUAGUGACACCAGGUAAAAAAUAGUUCGUUGAUAUGGUGUUGAUAGACAUACAAUUUGAAGAAUCGAUAUAAUCUGUUAUCGUAUUCGAUCUAUGGAAAAACUCAUUGGCGUGUCCAUUUAAGUGGUUGGUUGGAUCUGUCAAGAGAAAUAACAAUCGAAUUUAAAUGACCCACACGUUUAAGGUUGUUGAUUCUUUUUGGGCUCUUCUAGUUCACAAGGCUAUCGAAGAGCUAAAUCGUGGACUCGUGUUUUGUGGUUAUUCGUUCGGUAAGGGUUAGUUUUUGGGUGUUCCCGUAAUUAAUUUACACACGGAAAGAUUGGUGGUAUUAGGUGCCCUCGAUUACUAUAACAGAUUUAUUGAUUGAAGGAGAAGAUGUUUUAUCAAAGAUCAGCUUGAAACUAGAGCCGAAAUUGAGCCUGAAGCUAGAAUAUUUUCACAUUGGUAUAUUCAAUCUAUUUUUUUUUACUUUUAUUUUGAUUUUAAGUAUUUCUAUUAAUUUUAUUUUAAUCAGAUUUAAUUCCCUUUUUUAUUUUUGUACGGAUCAUCACAUGUCGUGCUUGACACUCAACUUAGCUAAAUCGAAAAAUAAUUUUAGAUAUUCAAUCUCUGUGGGAUCGACCCUACUCCUUAUACUGAUGUUUAUAUAUAGUUUAGGCGUAGGAAUAUUAUUUUUGGUGGAUAUGGCACCAAUCAAUUAUCAAAUAAUUAUUUUCAAAAAUAUAUUUUAAAUUUUUUGACUAAACUACACAUUUAGUCAUCCAACUUUCAUAAAUUUUUAUUUUGUGCACUGAAACAGUGCCCAUAUUGUAGUCUUUUUAUUUUCAGUGCCCCAAAAUAAAAAGAUUGCAAUAUGGGCACUAUUGUUACAUACUUUUAUCAUUUUAGUCACUGUCGGGAGUGACGAUGAUAAAAGUAUGCCGAUAAAAUUUUUUAUGUUUGAAAUUAUCGAAAAUUUAAUUUUAAGGGAUAAAUCCCAAAACUAUACAUGAACUAUGGUUUAAUAUGCAAUUGUAUACAUGAACUUUGAUUUUGUGUAAUUUUAUACAUGAAAUUUUGAUUGGAUCCAAUUCUUUUAAAUUAUUAACACAAUUAUUGAUAUUACAUCAUUUUAUGUUUAUAUAUUGCAUGCAUAAAUAAUUACAUUUAUCCAAUAUAAAAAUAAACUGAUGUAUUUAUUUCUUUAAAUGUGUAUGAUUAAAUCAAAAUUAAAGUUUCAAGUAUAUAUUUGAACCACAAUUAGAGUUUCACGCGUAUAAUUCCACCAAAUUAAUGUUCAUGUAUACAAUUACACAUUAAAUCAAAGUUCAUGUAUAAUUUUUAGAUUUAUCCCUAUUUUUAAUUACUAAAAUUAUCAAAUGCGAGACGAAGUUUAACUUAGAACAUUUAAAUUAAAUAUGCAUUUAAUUCAUGAAUCAUCAAAUAAGAUAUAUUUAUAUUUUCUAUUUCAUUGAAUUGAUAUCAUAAAUUAAUCAAACAUCAAUUCAAUUCAAUUGAAUAGUAAUUAAAAAAUUAUUAUUUAUACUAUUAUAACUUAUUUUUAUUCAGGCUAAGCUCGAUUUUAAACUCACUAUCGCAGGUAAUCAGGUUUCUAGUGUUAAGUUUAAUUUUGAAAAAUCCAAGUUGAAUCUUGCUACACUUUCAUAGCUCGAUUUUAAUUUUUGACCUUAACUUGGGUUAACUUGGGUUUUGACUAUAAAUUUUUAAUGUUGGCUUUUAUGUUAUUUGUCAAUGUUAUUAACAUUUAAGGGUGGCCUCUUUUUCCAAAGGAAGAGAAGAAAAAAGAGAGCGGCGAAGAGAACAGUGAAGCAUUUUAAGAAAAGAAGCUUACAAGAGAGGAGGUGGAAGAAGCAGAAGAAGAAGAAGAGAAUAGAGCGAGAGGAUCUGCUGGUAUAGUAUAUACCUUGUAUUGUAACUCUCUUGUUUGCAUACGGUGAAAUCUCACUUUAAAUAAACAUGAAUAAAAGGUAUAUCUUUUUCAUGCAUAAUACUACUUUCUAAUAAACUUUUAAUUUCCCAAACCAAAAAUUGUUUUGAUGAAUUUUAAUUGAUUUCUAAUUUGCAAAAUUGGUAGCACUCCAUUUGUUGUUCAAAAUUCAUCUAGCAGUACAGAAUCAAUAAAUUUCAUAUGUGACGAAGAAUUGAAUCUAAUAUAUUAUGAUUUUAAAUAUUCAAUAUUAUCAUUUUAAUCAAAUUUUUAUUUGGUAAAUAUAUUUUUUAAUAAAUUUUUUUUCAUCCACAAAGUGGAUGUACUAUAAUUUAGUAAUAAUCAAUAGUCUUCAUUGAAUUCUUAAAAAUUUUGAGAUUUCUAAUUCGAAUAUCGUCUCAUUUAAAUGUGUAAAUUCUUUUUUAAAGUUUUUCAGAUCAUAGUUGAUAUAGUUAUUUAAUUUAAUUCAAAGUUUUCCUAGUUAUAUGUAAAUGAAAAAAUUGCUUCUAAGGUACCUUCACUCAUGCUUCUAAUUAUUAAUUAUUUCAAAUUAUCAAUAUAUUUGUUUUAAAAUAAAUAAUGAAAACCGAAUAGAGAAACAAAGAGAAAACUAGAUGCCUCUACCUAAUUUUACAUCAAAUCAUAGUCAUUAUAUCUUGAGAUUUUCGAUUAUUUAUGUUUGAAGUUUGGAAUUUUCGUGUCGAUUUAUUUAAAAUUUAAUUUUUAUGAACAGUUUAAUUUCUAUAUAAUUUUACAUAUUAUUUAUGAGUUAACAAAAGUAUUGAAAUAAUUUUUUUAAAUUUAAAUUUAAAUAAUUUGUUUAAAAAGUUUUACAUGACAACUUUUUAAAAUCCGAACCCAAUUGUUUAGAUUUUUUAUAAAUGUUGUAUUUAUACAAGUCGAUUCAUAAAAUCACUCUCAAGUCAAUUCAGUUUCUUAUUUUUAUUAUAGCAUUAAAUGAUCUAUCCAAAAUAAUUGAUCCAAAAUAAUGGUGCGAUAGACAUCGGAGCUGUAUCCGGUAGAAGCUUAAUGUCGAACUCAACUUCUCGAUUCAGAGGUAAACCCGGUAACUCCUCAGAAAAACAUUCGAAAAUUCCCUCACUGUUCUCAUAUCCUCAACAGAAAGUCCCAAGAAAAACUAAAACACUAACAUAAGCCAAAUACACCUCACACCCUUUUUGAACCAAUUUCUCAACCACUAGAGCGGAGAUUACAUUAGACUAGUAAUCUCGACGCUCGACAAUUACGACAACCUCCUUAUCAUCCUCAGUCGUUAGAACGAAUUAGUCGCACAAUCCAAGCUAACUCGAUGCUCAACUAACCAGUCCAUACCUAGAAUUAAGUCGAACUCCCCAAACGGUAGCUCCAUCAAAUUUGCCGGAACACACAGCCCCUUGUACCCCUAUAUAGUCUACUAACCCGAACAGAUUGCCCUAACGGACUCAGUACAAUAAUCUCAGUAGAAGUACAAUCAACAGAAAUCCCCAAGUUCUCAAAAACAGAACUAGCUACAUAAGAGUGUGUAGAACCUACGUCUAUCAAAGUAGUAUAUGGAGCAUCAAAAUAAAGAACGUACCCGUGAUCACAUCAGGGGCAUCUCUGUCCUCUCAGUGUCGAGCAGCAUAAACCAGUGCAGGCUGCCUCGCCUCAAUCUGAUUAGCAUCUCUACCCGGUGCUCUGUCCUUAGCCCAUACCAUUACCAUCCCUAGCCAGUCCACGGCCUUUAGGUGGCUGCUGCAUUGCUCACUAAGGCUGAGUAGAACCCGGUCCCGAAGCUUGCAUCUGAUCCACACGAUGUGGACAUUCUCUGAUCCAGUGCUCUAAUGAUCCACAUUUUAGAAAAGCCCCUAAUCUCCUCCAACACUCGCUCGGAUGGCGCCUACCACAAUCACCACAAGGUUGAAUCCAAGUAGGAGCAACAGGAACUCCCACUCUAACAGGCCCAUCAGGUCUAGCUUGUUUCUUAGGCCUUUGAACAGAACUAGAGGGCUCCGAAUCCCUCUUAUUCUUGCCCCUCUCUCUGUCUUUGCUCUGGCGCUCCACGCACUUAACAUCUUCGGCAAUCUUUGUAUUAUCUACCAAAACAACAAACUCACGCUCCCUCUGCGAAGUAAUUAGACGCUCAGACUAUCCCUCAAACCAUCCUCAAAACGGACACAUUUGUCAUACUCGGAUGCCACCAUGCCUCGAGCGUAGCAGCUUAAUCUCAAAAAUUCAGCCUCAUACUCAACCACAGACUUAUUACCUUACGUGAGAUUCAUAAACUCAUGCCUAUGAGCAUCAACAUAGCUCGCGCCCACAUAUUUUCCCUGGAAGGCAGUCUUAAAGUAGUUUCAGUUCAGAUGAUCCAGUUGAGUACCCUCCUCUACCGGUAACCACCACUGAUACGCCUCAUUGUGACGUAAAGAAACUGCACCCUUCAAUUUCUUCUUAGGAGUGUUGUCAAUGUCAUUCAUAAUCCUCUCAGUAGCCACCAACCAAUACUCGGCCACAGUAGGGGCGACUCCAGUGACACUCCUAAACAACUCAGCUCCAUUGAACCGGGGUCGUUCAGUUACUGACCCACGGCCCUCAAAUCCAGAAUAGGGUCCAACGACCCUCUCCAACACCCUUAACAUGGCUUGGGACAAUGCGUCGUCCCCAACUGAGCGGCUUUGAGGCCCAGUCUCAGUAACAUGUGAAACUGAUAUCUUACUCGUAUCUAAAUUCGGUAUACUACCCAGAGAGGAAGACUCAGCUUGAGCCCCCUACGGCGCCUGCCGCACCCACGAAUAUUACGAUCGCGAGUUCCACGAGUGCUCAUCGUAUUUUUAGUUUUAUCUACAUUAUAAAAUUUUAUGCAUCAGUUCCAGUAUUUAUUAAUAGAUAUUUUAUGCUCAAGUUAUCAGAAGUUCCAAAGGAUUUCAGAGGUUUUAAUCUCUAACUAACUUAGUGCAGUUUCAGAAAGUACUAACCACAGUAUUUUCAGAAAAUUCUAUCUAAGUUUAGAAAUACUUACAGGAUCGGCGCCGAAGACUUGAUGUACCACAUACGUACUGAAAAUUAUUCAAAUCAAUUAAAAGCCAGUCCUUUGUCAAAACAUAAUUUUGGAACCCAAAAUUCACAGCCCGAGUUUUGUAACUUGGCUCUGAUACCACUAAAUGUAACACCCCAAACACGACCUAGACGUUAUGGCCGAAUUUGAUAGUGUUACGAAGAAGGGUUUUGAAAUUGAUGAUUUUUCAAUAAACCAUGUUUAACUAUUUGAUAAAACGUCCAAGUAUUAUAAAACAUAUUCAUUACUGAAACCGUUAUAAGUUGUUCCUUAAAAUUAAUCGUUUAUUUUGCAGCGGAAGUUUGGAAAUCGUUUAAAACAAAAACCAAGCUCAUGUUUUCGAAAACCCAUUUGUUGCGUAAAGUGUUUUUGUUGACGUUACGAAAAAAUAGCAAAACAAAAUCCAAAUGCAAAAGUUAAAACCAAAUUGUUUGAAGAGUCCCAAAAAUUACAAACUAUCAAGAAAAACCAAACUUUAAAAUUAAACCACUAAUUACUAAAUAAAAACAGUUCUUGGUCGAGUGGUCACCGCUAAGCCUCCGUCGCACCGACCCGCCUAAGUCUGUGGAUUAAUUGAACAGAACAGACAAACAAUUGUGUAUUUUCGUAAACUCAGUGUGUGACCCAAUAGAAAUAGCCAUGCAACAUGCACAGUGUUUCAUAUAAAGUCAGAUACAGAUUCGACCUUAAGUCCAUAACAAACACAAAUAUCAGAAUCAGAUAAACAAAACAAAUAUACAGAAUCCUACCCCCAUCCUCUACACACCGUCUUCGACCAUCCCAUCACACCACGUAGGGUUAAAAACACCCACCCAUCCCUACACAUUAUAUAAUGUCGAUGCGACACAUAAUAGAUAAUAUGCAGUCAAGCUGCCAAAAUAUAGGCGAAGAGUCGCUACACAGAUCACUUCCUCCACAUAUACAAUUUCCACUCCAUUCACAGAUACAAAGUACAGAUGCAGAAAUAUCAUAUUAAACAUGCUUAACAUGCUCGUAUACAGAUAGAUACAUAAUUAAAUAGUACAAUCAUACAUACAUAUCAGUAUCCUACUCAGAUCAGUCUAUCAAAAUAUCAAAUCACAUGAAAUAAGGUUUGGUUAGCCCUUACUGACCCUACGAUAGGCCCACAAUCGAUCGGAACGACUUGUGCAACUUUAGGGAAAGGUUCAGAAUUCUGGGCCCACAUGCCCGUGUGGCCCCACACGCCCGUGUGGCCUACUAGCUUAGCCCAAAACCCACACACCCGUGUAGUAUGCCCGUGUGGCCCAUACGCCUAACUUGGCCUAGCCCGUGUAGCCCAUACGGCCACACUCACACCGUCACAAUACCGUGUCUUGCGCAGGACCACUCCUUCAUCACUCACACGGCCGUGUCUCGCACAUGGCCAUCUACACGGUCAGCCACAUGCCCAUGUAGCGUCGACAGGCUUCAUUUUUAGCUUUUAUCGAAACUCGAUUUUUCGUGUUAGGAGUACACACCUGGUUCAAUUUUGAUGCGAAAUCACUCUUGAGACCACUAAAACCUAAAAUUUAUCAUUAAAAAGUCAAAUUUAGCUGCAUAAAAUGAUGUUAAACUGAAACUAUAUCGAAUUAACAAUCUCUUGUUCAACCAAAACCCUUACCUUCGAAUGAACAACAGUGAUUUCCUGCAGUUAUAACACUGAUGGAAAGCCUUGAGCCCCUUGAUCUUCUCCUAAACGACAAUAAUGAAACCCCAUCAACCAAAAAUUCACUAGCCAAAAACAAGAACCAAACUUACCAAACCGAAAUUGGGUACCAAGACCGAAAUACAAUGAAUUGCACCAACAAAUUUAAUUAUCGAAACAAAAGAGGAAAGGAGAGCAAAAAUUGACAGAAGUCGAAAAGAAGAAGAAAACAAAACGUCAAAACAAAAAAAAAGAUUUUGGGAAAAAAAUAAAAGAAGAUAAAAUAAAAAUAAAUUAAUCUCAAAAUAAAAGUCCCACUAUAUCCACUCCUAACCAACUGAUAACUACCCAUUUAAACAGACUUUCGAUUCCAUCCAAACUUAGUCAACCGAAGCAAAAAUUAUCACCCUCGCUCACGUAGAGAUUCAAACGUAAGACCUCCAGCAAGCUAACUCAUUACCACUCGAACCAACAGGCUCAUUUUGAUAUAGAUUAACAGACAAUUUAUAUAAACCCACCCAAUAGGGAUAAGGCCUGGAUAAAAAAUAACAAAAUUUUUCCAAAUGUAGGACUUGAACCCUAGACCUCACACACACACACUCAAAACACUUAACCACUAAAACAAACUUAAAUUAUUCAAGGCGUUACAAAGUGGAUUGAAUUUUAGCUUGAUUGGUAUAGGUAUUAUUGUCAAUGUAAGAGGAUCUAGUUUCGAGUGCACUUAAACGCUUUAUCCUCCUAUUUAUGGGUUGGAGAGGGGUUAUGGGUUGAUGAGGGGUUAUGGGUAGUUCUUGGCAUUGUGUUAAAAAAAAUAGAUAUCAUCAAAACUUAUAAUGAGAUUAUUAAAAAAAUGUAUAAACAUAAAACAAAUUUUUUUUCAUCAUUUUCAGAUUUAAAUAAGCUUUAGAUUAAAAUAAAUUUGUGUUGCUUGAGGUUUUCGGAUCUAUUUACUCUCAUUUAAGUUGUAAAGUUUUUAUGAGAGGUAAAAUGCCAUCUCACCAUUUUAAUAGCUUACAUCUUUAUAAUUAUUUAAGGACUAAAUCAAAAUUUUAUUAUUUUUAAAAGUCAAAGUAUAAUUUUUACCAUAUACUAAUUUAUAAAAUUUAUAAAAUUUAAAACGCUAAAACAUAAACUUGCCAUUUUAGGGUGCAGAGCCAACCCCUAUAUUUCGAAUUUGAAUCAAUUUAAGUUUGAAUUUUUAUAUGAUUAAAGAAAAAUAAAAUAAGCUUUAUUUUAAAUUCAUCAAGUUAAAUUUAUCAAGUCAAAUUUUUAGUUAGAAAUCAAAAUUGCAAGGUUUACCUAUAUUAAGAAAAAUUAGCUACUCAAAAAUUGUUAAUAUAUGAACCUGUGUAUUGGCCUGAUGGUUAGGAUAUUUAUCGCCCCAAGUGUGACCUGGGUUCAAGUCGCAUUGCUAUUAGGGCUUUGCCCUCCUCUUAUAAUUCACCAAAAAAUUUGUUGAUAUAUAUUAUAUAGAGAUAGUAAACUAUUCGAAAUUUUUGAGUUGAUUUAUUUAAAUUUGAAUUUCUAUGAAUUUUUAUGUAUUAAUAGUUUAACUUAUAUAUAAUUUUACAUAUUAUUUAUGAGUUAACAAAAUUUUUGAAAUAAUUUUUAUUUAAAUUUAAAUUUAAAUAAUUUAUUUUAAAAGGUCUACAUGACAACUUUUUAAAAUCCGAACCGAAUUGUUUAGAUUUUUUUAAAAUGUUAUAAUUAUACAAGUUGGUUCAUAAAAUCACUCUCAAGUCAAUUUAGUUUUUUUUAUAGCAUUAAAUGAUGUAUCCAAAAUAAUUGAUCAGAUUAACUUAUAUGUCAGUCUAAAAUCAGCACUAAAUGUUAAACAAUUAUGUUAAAUUUAAUUUUUAUGAUUAAAAAUAUAAAUAUCAAUAGUCAUAUUAUUAAAUUUUAGAAAUAAAAUUUUUAACAAAAAUAAUUACUUCAUCUUUAAAUUGUUUUUCACUAUCAAUUGACUAAAUUAUAAUAAAAUUUAUAGCAGCCUCAGUGAAAGGGGGUGCUCAUUCUAGUAAAAGGCAUAAUGUUUUCUUUUUCUUUUUUUAUCUUUUAAUGUUAUAAAAAAGUCAUUUUAGUUUUUCAUUUACUUUUUUAUCUUUUAAGUCUUUAAAUUUGUAUUUUUGUCAAAUCACUCCAAAAAUGAAUGGAAAAGUUAACAUUUUUAACUUUGUUGAUGUUGUAUACAUGUGGACUGCUAUAGGGAUGACAUGCCAACAUUUAAUUAAUUUUUUAAAAUUUAAAAAAUUUAAAAUAUUAUAAAUGUUGGCGCCAUUUUUUUUGAUGAAAACGGGGUCGACUUGGGUUUUGAAAAAUGAAACGGGAGUCGCCACCAAUCCUUUUUUAUGAGGUGUGAUUGGAUCACCUUGAAAAGUGGUUGUUUUUAAUAAACGGUUUAGUUUUAUUAAAACAACGAUUUUGGUCCACAAAAUUCAGAAAAAUGGGUUCGGGAGUCGGUUACGCACGAGGAAGGAUUAGCACCCUCGAUACGCCCAAAAUUGGUACCUAAUUGAUUACUUAAUGUCUUAAUGUCGAAAACUUUGAAGAACUUUAAAAAAUACGAUCCUUAUAUUAAAAUAAAAAUUUUUGGGAAAAGUAGCAUAUUUCACGUUAAUCGAGAAAGAGAAUCAUAUCCAGUAAGUUAGGAUACAAUGUCUCAAAUUCCCAACACGCAAAUGAAAAAUGCUUAUUUAAAAGAUAUUUUAGCCAUCUCGGAUUUAAAAAUGAGAUCACGACCCGUAAGUUAGGACGCAAUUUUUUAAUCCCGAGAUCAUUUAAAAUUUGAGUUUAAAAAGAUUCGUCAUUUAGAUUUAUCGUGAAAAUCGAAACCCAGUAAGUUAAGAUACGAUCCUCUCGAAUCUAAAGACGAAAUAUUAUUUAUUCAAAACAAAUUAUGUUAUGUCGAGUAAAAUAAAACACUAAAAUCGUAGUAAAAAAAUGUGAAAGCAAUUUGCAUUGUUGUUAUUCAUGGCAAAAUCAUAAUGAAUACAAAAGUAUAAAAUGAUAUGAGCAAUAGCAACAAUAAUAAAUAAACGUUAGUCCUACAAUCAUAUAAAAUAACAAUGUAUAUAAACAAAUAAAUCAAAACUUUCAUUCAAAAUAAUAAUAAAAUGAAAUAAAUAGUGAACACAAAUAAAACGUAAAGGAAUAUAUAUAUGUAUAGAAAUGUAAAUUAAAAUAUGUGUGUAUACGUAAGUUACAAAAUAUAUGAAAUAUAUAUAAAGUAUAUUUUAAAAUAUAAAGAAAAAAUAAAUAUGUAUGAAGUGUAUGUAAGUAUAUAAAUAUGUAUAUAUAAUAAAGGUGUAUGAAAAUAUAUUUUAUAUACAUGUAUUUAUAAAAAAAUGCAUAUAGAUAUAUAUAGAUGGUUUUAAGCUAUGAAGUAUGAAAAAUAUGUACAUGUAUGAAUUAUAAAAUAUAUAAAAUAUGUACAUAUAUAUAUGUAAAAAUAUGUAUUUAUAUAUUUAUAAAGGUUAGAAAUAUGUACGUGUAUUAUAAAUAUAUAUGCAUAUAUAAAUAAAUUAUAAAAUAGGUAUGUUUAUAUGUAUAUAUAUAUAUAUUACAAAAAAAUGUGUAUAAGUAUAUGUAAAAAUAUAUAAUAAUAUAUGUAUAUAUCUAUAAAAGCAAUUAUAAUAAUAAUAAUAAUGCAAUAACAAUAAUAAUAUAAAAUUUGUAAAGAAAAUAAACAAAAUCACUAAAGGAUUAGAUUAAACAUUAAACAAGAUUCGGGGGGUUCAAAGCGCAAAUAAACGAAAGGGGAGGGAUUGCUCUGAACACGCAUGUAACAUGGAGGGACCAUCAAAGAAAAUUACCCUUCCUUUAAAACGGCGUAGUUCGAGUAAGGACGAAGUUGAAAAUACGAAAAAAUUUUGGGUAAAUUUAAAAGAUCAAAAGAACCUAAUUUAAAAAGCAUUAAAAAAGCGGAAGGGCUAAAGGUGCAAUUAGCCCUUCCGUCAAAAACACGCGGAUCCCUAGAUCAGACGGGUCGGGUCGCGGGUCGGAUCUCGGUUUAGACGCAAAACGGCGUCGUUUGAGGCCGAAUGAAACAGGCCAAAACGACGCCGUUUCAUUUAGGUAUUUAAACCAAUUUUUGUUUAAAAAAAUCAUUCAGCCCCAUUCCCCUUUUUUAAAAAAACUAAAAACUUCUCAGUUCUCUCUCCCUCUUCCCCUUUCUUGAUCUCGGGUCCGGCCGAGGGCCACCUUGUCGGCCGUCGGAUCGCCGGUGCCAGUGACGCCGUACACGGUGGCCGGCGAGUGGAGAAAGGCGUGCCCUUAGAGAUGCCUAUCUCCUAAACCCGAAUCCGGCCUCAAAAUGACCAAAAACGAAUGGGAAAAGGCUGUUAGGCUUCUCUACAGUCGGUUUCCUCACCGGAGAAGGAGUUUCCGACGAGGAGGAAACAGCGACCCGCGGUGAGUCUCUUUUUUCUUUAUUUUAUGUUUUUUAUUUCGUUUAAAAAAUCAAAAUAAAAUAAAAUAAAUACAACGAAAAAAAGAAAAAGUAAAUAUUGCAAUCGAAAACCCAGGGAAUCACCUUGAAGCUUGAUAUUUUUUAUUAUUCUGUUGAAAUUUGUUUUCUUGGUUACAAAUCGAAAAAAGAAAAAGAAGCCCUUUUGAUUUUUUCAAUCGGCCUUAUAUAGCCAAACUACAAAAUAAAAAAUCUCCUUUUGCUAUCCGUAUUUGCUGUUGCUUGUUGGUGUUUGUUGCAGGUACUGGCGGAGCAGUUGGAGCAGGUGAGUCGGUGGCAAGUGGGCGUGGUGACGGCUGUGAACAGAGGGCAGGUGAGGAGGCCAGGAGCAGGUGCGGCACAACAAGGGGCUAGGGUUUCUGCUAGGUGUUUAUGUUUUGGGCUGAUUGGGUUAGGCUAGUUGGGCCUGGGUAGUUUUUAGGUUAAAAUUUGUUAUUGGGCCCUGGGUCAAAAAUUGGGCUUGUACAGCUGCCCCUCUUUGCUCGUUGUCGUGUAACGAUAACAGAGCAAAGACUAAGAAAGACCAAUUUUUGUCCAGUCUUUGCCGAGUAUUGACUUCUCUUGACGCUUCUUUUCAAGUAACUUUAUUCUAGUCCACUGUGUCUUGUUGCGUCGACCCACUCCACUGUAACUUCCAAAAGACAAAACUUGUAGCUUCAAUCCACUCUAUUGUAGCUUCAGGGGGUAAGGUCCAUCAUUUUGACCCGCUCCACUGCAACUUCAGGGAGAUCGGACUCAUAUCUUCAACUUGCCCCACUACAACUUCAGGGGGAUAAGAUUCGUGACUUCAACCUGCUUUACUGCAACUUCAGAGAGACAAGGUUUGUGACUUCGCUUCCAUCUAUUCUACUACAACUUUAGGGGAAUAAGAUUAGACAUGAUAAGAAUCACUAUCUUCUGUCCGCUCCGCUACAACUUUAGGGAGACACGCCUUAUUGUUUUCAGUCUGUUCCACUGCAUCUUCAGGGAAAUAAGACUUGAUGCGAUCUACUCUGCUGUAACCUCAGAGAGAUAAGAUCUUUUAUUUUAAUCCGCUCCACUGUAACUUCAGGGAGAUAGGAUAGUGUCUUCGAUCUGCUCCGCUGUAAUCUCAGGGGGAUAAGAUCUGAAAUUCUUUGGUCUAUUCCACUGUAAUCUCAGGGAGAUAAGACCUGAUGUGAUCUUCUCUACUGUAACUUCAGAGAGAUAAGAUCUUUUAAUCCGCUCCAUUGUAAUCUCAAGGAGAUAGGAUUACUAUCCUUGAUCUGCUCCGCUGUAAUCUCAGUGAGAUAAGAUCUGAAAUUCUUUGGUCUGUUCCACUGUAAUCUCAGGGAGAUAAGACCUGUAUAAUAAACCUAAUUAUGCCUAAUGAUUAGGAUGACAUGAUCAAAAUGAAACAAAUGCUCCUAACUAGACAUAUGUGAAUGGUGUUUGCAUGAAUGCAGAAUUUUAUUUUUCCGAGAAUGAUCUCGCUUAGGUUAUCACUACUCGAAGUUUAUCAAGGUUUUGUGACUGAUGUGCUACAACGCCUUCUCGCUUGGCUGAUUUUUCUGAAGAAACAUUUAGCCAGACUGUCCCCAUUGUAAACCUCAAAGUUAUAUCCACUGGGAUGCCAAAAUUUGUACCAUCAUUCUCUCACAGUAAUCUAAGGGUAGAAAUAUGUGGCUUUUCCUCUGUCCUCUUUUAUCACAAUUUGGGGAUAUAGGAUCUGAACCGUUCUGGUUUCCUACACCAUUCUCAAGGUGUCGUACCAAAGUCUUAUGCGCAAGUGAAGGCUCUCUUCUCCGAGGUAACCUCUUCCUAUUGCCUGAUGAUCAUUGCUUGCUUGUUCAUUUAAGCUUUGUAAUUAACACGACAGCUUGUCAUUUUGUUCAAUCAAUGUUUAGACGACAAAAUCUGAAAGGAUAGUCUUUAACUUAGACUCUUCCUUCCUAGCUAUUUCACCCUUUAAACUUGGUAUUUUCUAAACAAUAGUCAUGUUUCAGGUCCCUAUAUUAUUUAGAAAUUUUCCAGAGUAAUGUGCAAAACUUCUUUCCUGAAAGUUUUAUUAGUUCGUUAAUCAUUAUUCCUAUGCAACAUGUUUGCAAAAAGAUCAUAACAAUGGAUAAGAAUAAAGCUAGCUCUGAUCAUAACUCAAAUAAAACAUCAAAGAUGGCGAAAGAAAGGUAACAAAGAAGUGGAUUGAGAAUGUGCGUUUUCACAAAAGGAAAGGAAGAAAUAAAGAAAAUAAAAAAAUGUAUUUUCAAGAAUACACAUAAGAACUAGGUGCCCCAGUUAUCACCGAUUGAGUUUCUCUGUACAAACUUUCCGAAGACCCUUCUAAGUUUGACAUGUGUUCAGGAGAUCUGUAAUACUCUGUCAAUGUUCCAAGACGUUGCAUAUCCUUUCUCAUUGGUUCAAGUAAAGGAAGAUCAUCAUAUCCCCCCGAUCAAAAUUUGAUCCGCUCAAGUCCUGAUGUUCCAAUCCUGCCCAAUACUUGAGUCGCCCUUUUCGGGUUUUCGACUCAAGCCCUCUUUGGUCUCAAAGUGCCCUUUACGGGUUUUCACCUUAGCCUCUCCAAAGUCUCCCCCUUUUUUUUUUUUUUAGGAAGCAAAGCGCCCUUUACGGGUUUUCACUUUGGUUCCCCUUUCUUUCAAGUGAAGUACUUCUUGACGGAGUCUGCGUUUACAGGAUUUGGUAAAUUUUUGCCAUCCAUCUCGCAUAGGAUCAAAGCUCCACCGGAAAAGGUCUUCUUUACAACAUAAGGGCCUUCCCAAUUUGGCAUCCAUUUUCCUCUAAAAUCUUUUUGCAUAGGAAGAAUCUUUUUUAGUACCAAGUCCCCUUCACGAAAUUCUCGGGGGCGAACCUUUUUAUUAUAGGCUCGCAUCAUUCGUUUCUGGUACAUUUGCCCAUGGUGAAUAGCUCUUAGCCUCUUUUCUUCUAUUAGGUUCAACUGAUCGUACCGAGAUUGGAUCCAAUCGGCUUCAUCCAACUGUAGCUCAGAUAACACCCGUAGAGAAGGGAUUUCAAUUUCAAUGGGUAAUACUGCCUCCAUUCCAUAAACCAGAGAAAAAGGCGUUGCCCCAGUAGAAGUUCUAACAGAUGUUCGAUAGGCAAGGAGAGCAAAUGAUAAUUUCUCAUGCCAAUCCUUGUAGGUUUCAGUCAUUUUCCCCACAAUCUUUUUAAUGUUUUUAUUGGCCGCCUCCACUGCACCAUUCAUUUUGGGACGAUACGGCGAUGAGUUAUGAUGCUUAAUUUUAAAUUUGCUACAAACUUCAGCUAUUGUGCUAUUAUUCAAGUUCAUCGCAUUGUCGGAUAUGAUCCUCUCAGGCAUUCCAUAUCGACAAAUGAUCUCCUUCUUCAAGAAUUUGCUGACUACUGCUUUCGUGACAUUUGCAUAUGAAGCAGCCUCCACCCACUUGGUAAAGUAAUCAAUUACUACGAAGAUGAAGCGAUGCCCAUUAGAAGCCUUUGGUGAUAUUGGCCCAAUAACAUCUAUACCCCACAUGGAAAACAGCCAAGGAGAGGUCAUGACGUGAAGAGGUGAAGGAGGCGCGUGUAUUUUGUCUCCGUAAAUUUGGCAUUUGUGGCACUUCCUGGCAUAAUCAAUACAAUCUCCUUCCAUUGUGGGCCAAUAGUACCCAAAUCUCAUGAUCUGUCUGGCCAUCGUGAAACCACUGGCGUGCGUCCCACAAAUACCCUCAUGGACUUCUUCCAAAAUUUUCUUGGCUUCUACAGCAUCCACACAUCUUAACAGUACUUGAUCCUUCCUUCUUUUAUAUAACACUUCUCCAUCUAAGACAUAUUCAAUGGCUAUCUUUCUCAGAGUUCUUUUGUCAUUCUCUGUCGCUUGAUCAGGGUAUUCCCGAUUCUUCACAUAUUGUAGGAUACUCUGAUACCAAGGACAAUCAUCUUUUCCCUCCUCCUCAAUAUUGCAGCAAUUAGCCGGGGUCUCAGAGAUACUCAUCUGGACAGGCCUCAUUGCCUCAAGUCUAUUCACCUGAAUCAUCGAAGCUAGAGUAGCUAAUGCAUCAGCCAUUUGGUUUUCCUCCCGUGGGAGGUAAUAGAAGGUGAUAUCGUCAAACUCCUCAGCCAAUUCAAGAACUAGUUUUCUAUAACCGAUUAGCUUAGGAUCUCUAGUCUCCCACUCCCCUUUAAGUUGGUAUAUCACCAACGCUGAAUCCCCGUAUACUCUCAAUACUUUGAUGUUCCAUUCAAUGGCUGCACGAAUGCCCAUAAUACAUGCUUCAUAUUCUGCCAUGUUAUUUGUACAAUCGAAGUCCAACUUGCUAGCAACAGGAUAAUGAUCUCCACUUGGGGAUACCAAGACUGCCCCAACUCCAUUACCCGUAGCAUUUGAAGCUCCAUCAAAAUUUAACUUCCAUACGUGAUCCAUUUGAGGAUUUUCUUCAGUAUUCGCCACAUACAUCAAGUCCUCGUUUGGAAAAUCGAAAUUCAAAGAUUCAUAGUCCUCCAAGGCUCUACUAGCUAGGAAAUCGGCUAUUGCACUUCCCUUUAUGGCCUUCUGACUGACAUAUACUAUAUCAAAUUCUGAGAGCAAGAUCUGCCAUCUAGCCAUUCUCCCGUUCAAAGCAGUCGAUUCCAUCAUAUAUUUUAAAGGAUCUAACUAUGAAAUCAGCCAAGUCGUGUGAUACAACAUAUACUGCCUCAGUCUUCGGGUUGCCCAGAUUAGAGCACAACACAACUUCUCAAUUGAUGAGUACCUCAUUUCGCAAUCGGUAAAUUUCUUACUGAGAUAGUAUAUUGCCCUUUCUUUCUUUCCCGCCUCAUCAUGUUGGCCCAAUACGCAUCCCAUGGAAUUCUCCAACACUGUUAGAUACAAUAUCAAUGGCCUAUCUGGACUUGGAGGUGAUAAGACUAGAGUAUUAGCCAAGUACUGCUUUAUCUUAUCGAAAGCCCUCUGACACUCUUCAUCCCAUUCGCCCGGAUUAUGUUUCUUUAAGAGCCGGAAUACUGGAUCACAUUUCUCUGUCAGUUGUGAGAUGAACCGAGCAAUGUAAUUCAGCCUCCCUAGGAAACCUCGAACCUCCUUCUGAGUGCGCGGGGGAGGUAAAUCUCGUAUUGCCUUUACUUUGUCUGGGUCAACCUCGAUCCCCUUUUUGCUAACUAUGAAGCCUAAUAACUUCCCUGAUCUGGCUCCAAACGUGCAUUUGGCCGGGUUAAGCUUGAGCUGAAAUUUUUUUAAUCUCAAAAAUAACCUUUUCAAGACCUGAACAUGCUCUUCUUCCGUUCUAGACUUCGCGAUCAUAUCGUCAACAUAGACUUCGAUCUCCUUGUGCAUCAUGUCAUGAAACAAAGUCACCAUAGCUCUUUGAUACGUUGCUCCCGCAUUCUUCAAUCCGAAGGGCAUUAUAUUGUAACAGAAUGUUCCCCAUAAGGUAAUGAAUGUGGGUUUCCUCAUGUCUCCAGGAUGCAUCUUUAUUUGAUUGUAUCCAGAGAAACCGUCCAUGAAAGAAAACAAUGAAUAGCCGGCCGUGUUAUCUACCAAAGUAUCAAUGUGAGGCAGUGGAAAGUUUUCCUUUGGACUAGCCUUGUUUAAAUCCCUAUAAUCCACACACAUUCGUACCUUUCCAUCUUUUUUGGGAACCGGGACGAUGUUGGCUACCCAAUCCGAAUACUUGACCUCUUGUAAGAAACCAGCGUCGAAUUGUCUUUUAACUUCUUCUCUUAUUUUCAACACAAUGUCAGGUCUCAUUCUCCUAAGCUUCUGUUGAACGGGUUUACAAUCCUCCUUUAUGGGCAGACGAUGCACCACAAUGUUAGUACUUAGCCCAGGCAUAUCUUGGUACGACCACGCGAAAACAUCCUUGAACUCUCAGAGCAAAUUAAUAAGGUCUUGCCUUGUCUUUGCGGUGAUUUCAGUUCCAAUUUUCACCUCCUUUUCGUCCUCUAGGCUCACUAUUUCUAACGAUUCCCUAUGAGGUAGGAUAUGCUUAUCCUCUUGUUCCAUCAUUCUUAACAAGUCCGGAGAUGCAUCAUAAUCUUCGUCAUUUUCAAAGUCGUGGGAUCCCUCUGAACACACUUCUUGCUCAAAAAUAGGCUCCAUGUUUGAGGCUCAUAAGGGCAGAUCUCCAACAAAGCCCUCCUUUCCGUUGCUUCUAUGGCGUUGGUAUAAACGUUUUCCAACAUUCCUCCCAUGCCGCUACCGGACACUCCACAUUCAGAAUGAAUAAAUCCUCCCGACACAAAAGAUGUAGAUAUGUGGGGAAAGGUUAAAGGCUCACACUUAGCUUCAUGUCCAUUCAAACGCGCCCUUCUUCUCUCUUGUCUCUUCUCUACUUCUUUCUUCUUCUGCUUCAUGUCUGGCUUGUACCCUAAACCAAAUCUAUCAAACUUUUCCUUCGGCAUUGGUGCCUCAAUCUUUCCCUGAAGAUAUUUUCCCAAUCCUUUCCCGGGUAAGGCUCCUCUUCCUACCAUCAAUCGCAAUCCCAUCUCAGUGGUUCUGGAUAUUUUCGGUACUGGAAUUCUAUUUCCCUCCGCAAUAAACAUCGCGUUCACAAAUUCUAACGACCGAAAAGAACAUUCUAGUGCCUCAUCGUUGAUGUCCACAUAAGGUGCAUCGCUAGUCAUCAUUGCGAUAAUAUCCUCCUCUGCAUCUAUUGUUACCAACCGAUCCUCCGAUACCAACUUCACCUUCUGAUGUAAUAAUGAAGGUACUGCCCCUGCUGAGUGUAUCCACGGUCUCCCCAAUAGACAGUUGUAGGAGGGUUUAAUAUCCAUUACCAAGAAAUCCACCUCAUAAGUGACUGGGCCAAUCCUUAAUGGUACCUCAAUUCUCCCCAUAACCUCCUUUUUUGUUCCAUCAAAUGCCCUUACUAUGCUCUGGCAUGCUUUCAUGUGCGAACUGUCUAUUGGUAAUCGACUAAGAGUGGACAAAGGCAAUACAUUUAGUGCAGAUCCAUUAUCAACCAAGGCCCCCGGGAGUGUGUACCCUUUGCAUCGGACAGUAACAUGCAGGGCUUUAGUAGAACCUCUUCCUCCGGAUGGUAUUUCAUCAUCACUGAAGAAGAUAAAAUUGUCAGCACCAAUAUUGUUGAUCAGCCGAUCCAGCUUGUUUACCGAAAUAUCGUCAGCCACAUAUGUUUCGUUUAGCACCUUUAAUAGUGCAUUCCGAUGUACUUCUGAGUUUAAGAGUAAAGCUAAUACAGAAAUGCGGGCUGGCUGUUUGUGCAGUUGCUCCGCAACACUGUAUUCACUGUGUUUCAAAAACUUCAAAAACUCCUUUGCCUCCUCUUCUUUUAUUGGUUCAUUUACCAAUGGUUCAACUUCUACUGCUUUCCCUUUCCUCUGUUCUUUCUUCCAAUUCUCUUCCCUGGACGACUCUGCUUGAGCAUCAUAUCUUUUUCCAUUGCGCGUGUAAGAACCUAUUUCCUGAUUUCUUUCUGCUUCUUUUCCCAAAAUGGUCACAUUGCACCCGUAAUUCCACGGCACCAUUUUGUUAUCCCUAUAAGAGAAAUUUGAUGGUUUCUGGAUUACAAUUUUUGGUGUUACCUGAGCCCUAACCUCAUUACCCUUAGGGCGUGAGAUAAUGACCACAGGAUGAUUUAUUUUUGGAGCCUUUGUUCCCAACUCUGUCGCGCAUAUGCUCCUCAUUUCUUUCGCAUCUUCGUAAAACCUCAUCUCCUUGUUAUCCAUCAUGCUUUGAACCAAAGCCUUAAAUCCUUCACAUUCUUGGAUUUCGUGCCCUGUUUUAUGGUGAAAUUCACAAUAAUUUCCCAUCUCAUGCCCUUCCUCAGAAUCUGAAAUAACCAAACCUCUUUUCGCCAUUUCUUUCCAGACCCGUUUCAAUGGAGUUUUUACUUCAGCAAUGUCAGUCUUGACUUCUUCUCCCGUACCUUCGCUAACCAUAUUCACCCCCUUAUCUGCGUGAUUAGGUAACGGAUUCUUUGCGUUAGGUGAGUCGUCAAGUUUGACAACACCUAAAUUGAUAAGUCCUUCUACUACCUUCUUGAAGGCCGUACAAUUUUCUAUCGAGUGCCCAGAAAUUCCCGCAUGAUAAUCACAUUGCGCGUUCGUAUCAUACCAUUUUGGAUACGGGGGUUGUAGAGGACUCAAGUAACGAGGAGCAACAACAUGUGCAUCGAAUAAAGUCUGAUACAACUCCUUGUAUGACAUCGGGAUUGGCGUGAAUUGGGGCUUUUCAGUAGUUUGCCUAGCUCCCGACUCUUGUCUUGAUGAUCCCUGUUGAUUAGCAACCACUUUCUUUGGUUGAUUCACGGUAAUUGACCUACCAUAAGCAUUCACAUUAUUCACUUCAUUUUCUCUUUUCCUCAGGGGUGCCCUCCUAUUAUUUUCUCCUCCAUCUAUUUUUCCACUUUUAAUGGCAUGCUCAAUCAUUUCACCGUUCAUGAUUAUAUCCGAGAAAUUUUUUGAAGCGCUUCCCAACAUGUGAGUGAUGAACGGGGCUUUCAAAGUAUUAAUAAAAAGCGUCGUCAUCUCUUUUUCCAAAAGCAGUGGUUGCACCUGAACCGCCACCUCUCGCCACCUCUGCGCAUAUUUUCUGAAGCUUUCGUUCGAUUUCUUCUCUAAAUUUUGCAGAGUUAUCCUGUCAGGUAUCAUUUCUGAGACAUGAUUGUAUUGUCUCAGGAAAGCCUGUGCUAAAUCCCUCCAAGUAGCAAUUUUAGCUCGGCUCAGCUGAUUGUACCACUUUGACGCCGCUCCCGUAAGACUUUCCUGAAAGCAAUGUAUUAAUAAUUGAUCAUUAUUAAUAUGCCCCGUCAUUCUUCUACAAAACAUAGUAAUAUGGGAUCCUGGGCAACUAGUCCCGUUGUAUUUCUCAAAUUCCGGCAUCUUAAAUUUGUAAGGGAGCACCAAGUCCGGAACCAAGCUCAGAUCCUUUGCAUCUAUUCCAUAGCUUUCGAUGCUUUCUAUUGCCCUAAACUUCUCUUCUAUCCAUUUCCAUUUCUCCUCAAAUUGUUUUGAAAAUUCCUCCUUCGCCUUGUCCUUUUCAACCAUCUCGUAAAGAUCUGGGACAGCAAUAUUAUUCGGGCUAUCACCGGGAUUAAAGCCCGCUCCGGGUUGAAAAUUCAUUGGGAUUGAAGCAUCGCCUUGGAACUGCUGGGGCCUAACCGACACAGAGGGUCUCCGCGGAUGCAGCUCAGUCUGUACUUGCGCAUGCGGAUGCGUGAAACCUAGAGGAUAAAGUGGUUCACCAUUGUUUUCUUCUUCACUAACAAUCACAGGACCUUUACCCUUAUCUACUCCCUUCAAUAAUUGCGUCAUCUUAGCCACCAGAUCAUUUUGGGACUCCUCCAUCUUUUGCACCAUGUCACGCUGAAUCUUUUCUAUUUGCUCUUUCAUUUGCGCCUGCAACUGGUCUUGCAUUUCUUUUUGAAGUCGCUCUAGCUUCUCCAACCUUUGGUCCAUAAUUUUUGUCUUAGCUCGGGUGCCGUAACUUUGUUGGUUUUCCAGGUUAACUGAAAUGAUUUUAUUCGAUUAGGUUUUUAAUGGUCAUUAAUGCAUAUGAUGUGAUGCAAUGCAUGAAAAGAAUGCAAAGAAAAAGAGGCACUGAUUCUAAUUCAACUUCAUUAGAAAACUUUACUAGAUAAAGAGUUUCUUUACAUAAAAUAGACUACAUAUAUGGCUUUGCCCUUACACUCAAAGCCUUAACCUUUCUAAGAAGCCAAGCUAACUCUCGGCCCCUGUUCGACACUAACUCAUACUUCAAACUUAAUAGAUCAGCCUGAACCGCUAGAGUUUACAGAUGAUCAGCUACUUCGCGCACUUGAGUCACCGCCUCUCCCAUAAUAUAAUCUCUUUCUCCAAUCUGCUCUUGAGACCGACGGAAUUGUCUUUGCCACUGCUCAUUACUUUCUUCCAGAAGCUCUAUCUGGAUUUCACUAUUUUGCAAUGCAUUCUCUAGCCCUCCUAUUUGUCUUUUUAAUUCUUCAAUUUUGUCUAAGCUCGCCCUUAAUUCAACCGUAGCAUUACGAUUACAGUACUGGUGAAGCGACCUUUCUAGUUCAGUUAUCCGGACCUUCAACUCCGUCUUCUCGUCUUGGCAAACUAGUAGACUCUUUCCCAAGGCGACUUCUCGAGCCCGAGUAUCCUGAAAUUUCUUUUCCCAUUGAUUAGCUUUCAUCUUUUCCUCCUGAAUUUCUUGUCGCCAUUGUUCUGGCGUUUUACCCAAGCCAGCAGCUCUUACCGACCUACGCAACUUCUUGUAAUCUGUCUUCAGGCUGUCCAAAUCUUCUUCUGCUUUGUUCUUUCCUUUUCUCAAUUUAUCGGCCUCUAACCUUUGAAUGUCCACAUCCAGUCCUAACUGCAUUUUUUCUUCCUCUAGUUGUUCUAUUUUCUUCCCCAAUUCUAAACUCCUUUUUUCAAAUUCUUGUUUGAUGAUUUCUAUCUCAGAAGGCAAAACUUGUAAAUGUUCCUCCAAAGAUCGAGCAGUUUCUGGAUUUGACGCCGGGAUGUUGUCGUUGAUCCUUUGAUCACGCCACCGACCAUACUCGGGGGUAAUUGUCGGACCCACGGCUAAGAUCUUCAUUCGACGAGUCUGGUUCCAGGCACUAGAUAUUUCCCGAACCUUCUUCUUGUAAUUGUCCUCCCUAUAGGAAAAAUCAUAAUAGGCCAACCCCUGCGUUGCUGGUAUGAAUUAUCGUGAUCUAUACUGUCUUGAUACGAAUAGAGGAGCAUAUCCGAUAGCUCCCCAUAUCCCGAGCAGCGGAACCCAGUCAAAAUCUCCACAUUGGUACAAUAUCUCAUCAGGAAUUAACCAAGGAGCCCUCCAUUCAAUAUCUUCAUCCUGGAGAUUCUGGAGUAUCUCUAUCCAUUUUUCUUCUGAAAUAUCAUCCCGUCUUGGCGUGGCCACCAAUUCUCCUAGAGGGGAGUAGCUAUCAGAGAAUACCCGAUAAGAGACCUUUUCGACUUUCCAGAAGUGGCUAUGGAACCAUGCCAAUAAAAGCUGCGCGCAUCCAAUAAACCUUCUCUCCCCUGCUUUUCGACACGCAUUCAAGGAUCUAAAAGUUUCAGCGAGUAUUGCCGGAACCGGCGUAACCCCUUUACUAAGCCGAUCAAACAAAUCAGAUACAGCCUCGUCUAUGUGUCCUAAAGCUUUGGGGAAAACCACUAGUCCAUAGAUACCUAAAGCGAAGACAUCGACCCUUUUCUUUAAGUCAGGAUGUACAAGCACCAAAUCUCGCAAACUUUUCCAAGGAACACAAUUACUGUUGCCCUUCUGUUGGAUCCGGGCAGCGACCCACUGCUCGCUCAUCCCAGUGAUGUUCAUUAAUUUCUUUAACAACGGAGGGACACAAGCAGCUCUGGAAUAAGCCUUGUCGACUUGAAUCUUUGGGCACCGAAGCAAGGUCGUAUACUCCUCCACAGUAGGCGUCAAAUCUACCUUCCCAAAAGUGAAACAACUGUAGGCAGGAUUCCAAAACUGAGCAAGGGCUCGGAAUAAAUACUUGUCCACUUUGACACUAAGCAGAUAAGGUAGGUCACCGUAGUUACAAUAGAACAGCUGCUUGGCCUCGACAUCCCAUUGAUCCCAGACUUCUUUCAUUUCUCGAAGGUCAUUCUGGAUUACACUGAUACGGGUAAAAUCCCACAAUUCUGACACGUACCCUUCGGUAAGACUAUCGCCUUUCUCCCGUUGUGUCGUUUCAGCCCAUAUUCGCACAGCCGCAUUAUCCUCUACUUUAUCAACAAACCCCUUUUCCAUGAUAAGCUUUCUACCAAGAAACUGAACGUAAAUCGACACCUCUUUUAGAAUGAAGAUGCCAUGCAAUCACAAACAAAGUAAAUUAGCAUUAAACACAGAAUAAGAUUUAAAAUAAGCGACAAAUAAAUACAACAUUCAUUUAGGUAAGCACUAAAAAUUUGGAGUAGCUCUACCUAGGUCAGUUCCUAUGGCUCAUUACAUGUGGUUUGGUUCUAAAGUAGGGUACCUGAACCAGCAAAUUCCUCGAUCCUCACCCAUUAUAGGCUCAUACGGACCAAGUUCGAUUCAGGGGGAUACAUUUCCCUAUGGCCAUGCGGAGAUGAAAAUCUCACGAAGACAUAGGUACGGAUAUAUCCCGAAAGCGAUUCACUAUCCCAUGCGGAGGUGAAAACCUCACGAAGGCGUAGCUUCUCACUCCCACCUAAAAAGGUGUGACCAACGGUCAUGCAAUGCAAUGCGGAAAGAUACCAAAAUUUAAACAAAUAGAGCAAUUAUAAACCCCAAUGAUGAUGAUUAUGAUAAAGACAGAUAAAAUGCGAUGAAAGGAUCGUAAUUUUAAACCGAAUUUUCAAUUUUUGACAAAAGACAAAAAGUAAUCACCACGUGGCUUGACCCUCUUAUCGGUGUCCCCAGUGGAGUCGCCAAGCUGUUGGCGCCAUUUUUUUUGAUGAAAACGGGGUCGACUUGGGUUUUGAAAAAUGAAACGGGAGUCGCCACCAAUCCUUUUUUAUGAGGUGUGAUUGGAUCACCUUGAAAAGUGGUUGUUUUUAAUAAACGGUUUAGUUUUAUUAAAACAACGAUUUUGGUCCACAAAAUUCAAAAAAAUGGGUUCGGGAGUCGGUUACGCACGAGGAAGGAUUAGCACCCUCGAUACGCCCAAAAUUGGUACCUAAUUGAUUACUUAAUGUCUUAAUGUCGAAAACUUUGAAGAACUUUAAAAAAUACGAUCCUUAUAUUAAAAUAAAAAUUUUUGGGAAAAGUAGCAUAUUUCACGUUAAUCGAGAAAGAGAAUCAUAUCCAGUAAGUUAGGAUACAAUGUCUCAAAUUCCCAACACGCAAAUGAAAAAUGCUUAUUUAAAAGAUAUUUUAGCCAUCUCGGAUUUAAAAAUGAGAUCACGACCCGUAAGUUAGGACGCAAUUUUUUAAUCCCGAGAUCAUUUAAAAUUUGAGUUUAAAAAGAUUCGUCAUUUAGAUUUAUCGUGAAAAUCGAAACCCAGUAAGUUAAGAUACGAUCCUCUCGAAUCUAAAGACGAAAUAUUAUUUAUUCAAAACAAAUUAUGUUAUGUCGAGUAAAAUAAAACACUAAAAUCGUAGUAAAAAAAUGUGAAAGCAAUUUGCAUUGUUGUUAUUCAUGGCAAAAUCAUAAUGAAUACAAAAGUAUAAAAUGAUAUGAGCAAUAGCAACAAUAAUAAAUAAACGUUAGUCCUACAAUCAUAUAAAAUAACAAUGUAUAUAAACAAAUAAAUCAAAACUUUCAUUCAAAAUAAUAAUAAAAUGAAAUAAAUAGUGAACACAAAUAAAACGUAAAGGAAUAUAUAUAUGUAUAGAAAUGUAAAUUAAAAUAUGUGUGUAUACGUAAGUUACAAAAUAUAUGAAAUAUAUAUAAAGUAUAUUUUAAAAUAUAAAGAAAAAAUAAAUAUGUAUGAAGUGUAUGUAAGUAUAUAAAUAUGUAUAUAUAAUAAAGGUGUAUGAAAAUAUAUUUUAUAUACAUGUAUUUAUAAAAAAAUGCAUAUAGAUAUAUAUAGAUGGUUUUAAGCUAUGAAGUAUGAAAAAUAUGUACAUGUAUGAAUUAUAAAAUAUAUAAAAUAUGUACAUAUAUAUAUGUAAAAAUAUGUAUUUAUAUAUUUAUAAAGGUUAGAAAUAUGUACGUGUAUUAUAAAUAUAUAUGCAUAUAUAAAUAAAUUAUAAAAUAGGUAUGUUUAUAUGUAUAUAUAUAUAUAUUACAAAAAAAUGUGUAUAAGUAUAUGUAAAAAUAUAUAAUAAUAUAUGUAUAUAUCUAUAAAAGCAAUUAUAAUAAUAAUAAUAAUGCAAUAACAAUAAUAAUAUAAAAUUUGUAAAGAAAAUAAACAAAAUCACUAAAGGAUUAGAUUAAACAUUAAACAAGAUUCGGGGGGUUCAAAGCGCAAAUAAACGAAAGGGGAGGGAUUGCUCUGAACACGCAUGUAACAUGGAGGGACCAUCAAAGAAAAUUACCCUUCCUUUAAAACGGCGUAGUUCGAGUAAGGACGAAGUUGAAAAUACGAAAAAAUUUUGGGUAAAUUUAAAAGAUCAAAAGAACCUAAUUUAAAAAGCAUUAAAAAAGCGGAAGGGCUAAAGGUGCAAUUAGCCCUUCCGUCAAAAACACGCGGAUCCCUAGAUCAGACGGGUCGGGUCGCGGGUCGGAUCUCGGUUUAGACGCAAAACGGCGUCGUUUGAGGCCGAAUGAAACAGGCCAAAACGACGCCGUUUCAUUUAGGUAUUUAAACCAAUUUUUGUUUAAAAAAAUCAUUCAGCCCCAUUCCCCUUUUUAAAAAAACUAAAAACUUCUCAGUUCUCUCUCCCUCUUCCCCUUUCUUGAUCUCGGGUCCGGCCGAGGGCCACCUUGUCGGCCGUCGGAUCGCCGGUGCCAGUGACGCCGUACACGGUGGCCGGCGAGUGGAGAAAGGCGUGCCCUUAGAGAUGCCUAUCUCCUAAACCCGAAUCCGGCCUCAAAAUGACCAAAAACGAAUGGGAAAAGGCUGUUAGGCUUCUCUACAGUCGGUUUCCUCACCGGAGAAGGAGUUUCCGACGAGGAGGAAACAGCGACCCGCGGUGAGUCUCUUUUUUCUUUAUUUUAUGUUUUUUAUUUCGUUUAAAAAAUCAAAAUAAAAUAAAAUAAAUACAACGAAAAAAAGAAAAAGUAAAUAUUGCAAUCGAAAACCCAGGGAAUCACCUUGAAGCUUGAUAUUUUUUAUUAUUCUGUUGAAAUUUGUUUUCUUGGUUACAAAUCGAAAAAAGAAAAAGAAGCCCUUUUGAUUUUUUCAAUCGGCCUUAUAUAGCCAAACUACAAAAUAAAAAAUCUCCUUUUGCUAUCCGUAUUUGCUGUUGCUUGUUGGUGUUUGUUGCAGGUACUGGCGGAGCAGUUGGAGCAGGUGAGUCGGUGGCAAGUGGGCGUGGUGACGGCUGUGAACAGAGGGCAGGUGAGGAGGCCAGGAGCAGGUGCGGCACAACAGGGGGCUAGGGUUUCUGCUAGGUGUUUAUGUUUUGGGCUGAUUGGGUUAGGCUAGUUGGGCCUGGGUAGUUUUUAGGUUAAAAUUUGUUAUUGGGCCCUGGGUCAAAAAUUGGGCUUGUACAAUAAAAUUAUUUUUAAAAAAUAAAAAUUAUUAAAAAAUACAAAAACAAUAUUUUUAAUAGUUUAGAGAUGAAUUAAAUGCUAACAUGUCAUCUACUCAGCAAUCCACAUGUAUAACACGUCAUGAAAGUUAAUAAACAUUUAUUUUUUCAUCCACUCUGGAGUGGCUUGACAGAAAAUGUAAAUUCAAGUGUUAAAAGAAGCGAAAAUUUUAAUGGAGGGCUAAAAUGACUUGUUUUGUGAAGUUGGAGGGCCAAAAAAUAAUUAUGCCAAAACUAAAUGAUUAAUAGAAAACAAGGGGAAAUUUGCAUGCAUCUAUAUAAUUUUAUUUCAAACCAUUGUCAUUAUCUUGAGAUAUACAUUGGCAAACAUUCAUUGAAUAUACCUUGGGAAAAAAAAAUACUACAAGACAACGAAAUUAAAUAUCAUAAUCAAAUGUUGAAAAUGAAUGAUAAGAAAUUUAAAUUAAAAAUCAAACAUAGUAGGCUUGAUGUGCAAGCUAUCUGCAAUCUUUUUUUUUAAUUGUUUUAUUAUAUAGAUUUUAAUAUUUCUUACGUCUUUUAUCAGUCAAUUUGAACUGAUGCAUUCAUUUGUUUCAUUCAUAUGGUGUUGGAUCACAUUAAAAAAUAUAUACAAUUAAUUAAUCAUUUUUAGCUUAAUAAAAAAUAUAUAAUCUUGAUUGGUAUGAGUAUUAUUAUUAAUGUAAGAGGAUCUAGUUUUAAGUGUGCUUAAGCGCAUUAUCCUCCUAUUUAUGGGUUGAGGAGGGGUUAUGGGUAAUUUUAGGCAUUAUGUCAAAAAGAGCAUAUAUGAUCAGAACUUGUAAUGAAAUUAUUAAAAAAAAUGUAUAAACAUAAACAAUUUUGUUUACAUAAUUUUUAGAUAUAAAUGAGCUUUGGAUUCAAAUAAUUUUGUGUUGCUUGAGGUUUUCGGAUCUAUUUACUCUCAUUUAAGUUGUAAAGUUUUUACGAGAGGUAAAAUGUAAUUUCAUUAUUUUAAUAGCUUACGUCUUUAUAAUUAAUUAAAGGUUAAAUCAAAAUUUUAUUAUUUUUGAAAGCUAAUGUGUGAUUUUUACCAUGUAGUAAUUUUUAUAAUUUAUAAAAUUUAAAACACUAAAACAUAAACUUACCAUUUUAGGGUGCAGAGCCAGCCCCUAUAUUUUGAAUUUGAAGCAAUUUAAGUUUAAAUUUGUAAUUUUUUAUGAUUAAAUAAAAAUAAAAUAAGCUUUAUUUUAAAUUGAUCAAGUAAAAUUUAUCAAGUCAAAUUUUGAGUUAGAAAUCAAAAUUGUGAGGUUUACCUAUAUUAAGAAAAAUUAGCUACUAAAAAAUUGUUAAUAUAUAAAUUUGUGUGUUGGCUUGUUGGUCAGGGUAUUCAUCGCCCCAAAUGUGAUUUGGGUUCGAGUCGCGUUACUGUUAACGUUUUGUCAUCCUCUUGUAAUUUACUAAAAAAUUGUUAAUAUAUAUUAUAUAAAGAUAGUAAACUGUUGACUAACAUAAUGUCAUCAUUCAUAGAGGAAAAAAAAAGGCACAUUGAUCAUAUUUUCAGCCAUCCAUAAAAUAGCAGUAAAAUAAUUGACUUGAGAAAUAACACAUAAAAUCAUAUGAUAUAUUUGAUACACUGAGAGCAUUGAAGAGUCAUUUGAAUCAUCGUAAAAGACAAAGUAGACAAUUCAGUGACGAAAUUCUCAAUAUAUAUAACUACGAAAUUCCACACAAAAUUGUGAAAACAACGAAAAAUAUCUAAUAAAAAUAAACCAUUCAAACAAGACCGCUUGACUCUUUGAGUAAUGAAUUUUUUUUCACAAUUAAUUUAACAUGUUUUUCCAAUUUGAAUAGUAAACACUAUAGUUGCAAUUCAGUCAAUACUAGAAAUUUAUAUUUUAAACCCAUCGUUUAGAAUAUUCCAUUUUUUACAUUGGAAAUAACACAAAAGAUUCAAAGGAAAAAUAAGCAAAUUUCAUCAAAGGCGUCUAUUUGUAAUGGAAAAUUUAUAAUGUGGAUCCUUGUAUUAUAAACUAAAGAACAAAUUAACUCCUUAAGUAUAAAAGUGAGCAAUUUAGUCCUUUAGGUCUUUUCUCUUUUUUCUCCAAGCCGUUUGUUUCUUCUUUUUUGUUUUGCGUAGCAACGGUGGCAAUCUCCGGGCUGGCUACUGCCCACCUUUUGCUCCCUCCAUUCCAUAUGUUUUCUCUCUUUUCAAUUGAUACAUCUAUUUUGUAGGUAUCUUUGUUGCCUUCACAUGUUGUGAUGGACAGAUGAUGAUGCCUAUCGUCGCUGAAAUUACCCUGGCCAUCAACAGUUUCUCUAAGAAAGUGGGUGACUUUUAAUUGGCUCUUGAUCUAUUUUUGUUUGGAGAGUAUUUUAGAAUAAUAAAUAAUUUUACGAAUCAGUUUGGACCUCUAGUAUUUUAAGUCGUCACCAUUCAUUCCAUGAAUGGAAUCAUAUCAUUUAUGUAAAAGAUAAAACUUAAACAUGUCUUUAUAUUUGUAAAAACUUAACAAUAAGAAGGCUUGACUAUUUGAAUAAGUUAUUUUUCACAAUAUUUUCAAUUUGAAUUGUAAGUACUCCAUAGUUGUAUGAUUCAGUGAAUACUAGAAAUUUAUAUUCAAAACCCAUCAUUUAAAAUUUUCUGAUACAUUAGAAUUGAGAAGAAAAAUAUUUAGAGUAAGCAAAUUUCAGCAAUGGCGUCUAUAUUUAUAAUUGAAAGUUAUCAAUAAAAUUAAUAUCUUAUUUCUUUUUAAUAUUUUAUUGUGCAUGCGUAGUUUUACUAAUGGCAUUGAUAUCCCAGAAUUAAAAUAUUUCCAACAAGCAUGUGCUCUAUUGAUUGACUUUAAAGUCUCUAGAUUUUUAAAAUGAAUUUACUAAAAAAAUGAAAAAAAAUUAUUAGAAUUAAUUUUUAUUAAUUGAUAAUAAACUUAUGAAUAAUUAAGUAUUACAUUUUUAUUAAUUCCAAAUCAAACUUCUUUUUUUAUAUAAUACCUAAAACUACUUAUAAUCCCUUCCUAAUCCUUAAAUAAGAAAAUAAUGUGUUUCAACAUAUUCAAACCCACAUCUUCCUGCACUGACAGAUUAUAUAAAUUUAAAUAUUCAAUAUAUAUAUUUCUCUAAAACUGACAUGUUGAAAAAGGAAAUCACAACUAUAAAACAAUCAUCUUCAAAGUUUCAAUAAUAAAAUAAGUAUAAUACAAAUUUAAUGAUAAAUUCAUGAUGUGUUAGGAUAUAAAACUAAUAUUUUAAAAAAACGAUAUGAAAUUAUAAAUUCUAUUGUGAUUAUAGUAUAUUUAUAAAUGAAUGUUGGGAUAAUUAUAAAAUGGAAUUAAAUUAAUAUAAAAUACAUUAAAAAUUAAAAUAAUUAAAACUAAAAUUGAUUCAUUGGACAAAAAUAUACACUUAACAACGACGCAUUAUAAAAGUAAAGAUCUAGAUAUGAUAAUUGCAUAUAAUAAAAUUUAAAUAUAAAUAUAAAAUACUUAAAAAUUUCAACCAACAAUAUCUUCGUUAAAAUUAUAAAUUCGCUUGAUUAUUUUCCUUUGAUUUAACACAUCUUCUUUUGGUAGCCGUCUGUACCUGACUCGACCAGUUAACCCACAAAACAUUUUACAUGUACAAUAAUGACACAAUUUCGCUCAGGCCUAAUUUACAUAUAAAUACAAAAUUACAAAUCCAAAUAAAAAUAUUACAAGCCCAAAUGUAAAAAGGAAGCCCAGUGGCCCAAAAAACUUAAACAUUUUCAGAAGGACAGAAACCUUAGCCAGCGCGCCGCCCUCUCUGCUUUGCCAGCGGUUUCGUUGCCUGAGGUUUGACGCCUCAUCUGCCAGUUGUCGCCAUCGACUAGGGACACUUGCAAAAAAGGAAGAACAAGGACAGAAGCACAACACCCAAGAAAAAACAGUAGAAACAGUAGAAAAACAGUAAAAAAGAGAGUGUAAUUCGACUAUAAAAGCCAUGACUUUUAUGUAUUUCUUUACAAGAAAAAAAGGAAUAAAAAACAGAACACAAAGAAAACAUUUUUAAAGGUGAUUUUCUUCAUUUUUUUAUCUGUUAUUUUUAGAAAAAAAACAUAAAACAUAAAAUCAAAAAAACUUACUGAGCCGUUUCAUGUUCCACCGCCGCGAGUAGACGAGGACACCGUCCGCGAUGACGGACGGCUCCCUUCGGUGAGACCUCCGAGUCACUUCUGUUUUGUCUAAGGACCACGGCGGAGAAAACCAAGGGGUUGUUCAGAUUUUUUUUAAUUUUUUGUUGGGUUUUGGAAAGUACUGACCCCGGAUUCGGGCUCAAGAAGCCGUAACGGCCAAAAAAUGGUUGCUUGUAGAUUCUAGCCACCGGGAACAGUGAAAUCAUCGCCGGCGCCAGGGGCAAACGUGGAAAACCGAGAGAGAAAAAAAGACUCAGUUUUUUUAAGAAAAACUAAACAUAAUGAUUUUUUUUUUUAAUUUGGCUUAUAUAGGCGAGGCUAAACGACGUCGUUUAAAGCUGGCUUCAAUAGCCCCAAAACGACGUCAUUUUGAAACAUGACCCGAAUACAAACAGGAUCCGCAUGUUUUCUUAAGAAAGGGUCUAAUUUUUACUUCAGUCCUUCUGCUUUUUAAUUGAUUUUCAAUCUAGUCCUAUUUCUUUUUUUUUAAUUUUUGCCCAGUGAUUUUGUUUCUUUUUAGUCCCUCAUGGAACGGUGUGUUUGCGGGCCUGGGAAUAAUUUCCUAGUUGGUCCGUCCUUGUAAUACCCCAAAAAUUACUACAGGAAUAAAGUAAUAUAGUAUCCUUGAUAUAGUAAAAUCAGGAAAUAAAGUGACAAAAAGGGAAAUUUUGAGUUAUGUCAACAUUGGGAAGUAUAUUAUGACAUAUUAAUGCAAAAAAAGAUUAAAUCGCAAAAGUGAGAAAAGUUUUGUUGCCCAAGAGUAAAUACUCAAAAAUUGAGGGGUUAAAGUGUAAAUAUAAAAAAGUUCAAAGACCAAUAGUGAAAAUAUUUUAAGGGUGGAAUGAUAUAGAAAAUAAGGAAAAUGGAUGAAUUAUGACCAAAUUGAAUAGGUGAAGAAUUAUGAUGGACUAAAUCAUAAUUUUACCAAAUUAAGUGAUGACUCAAUGAUGGAAUUUUAAAAGAUCAUGAAGGGCAAAAUGGUCAAUUAGAAAGAGAGAGAACUCUAAAAGGUAAUGAUGAUGUUGGUGAUAUUUUUAAUUAAUUAAUUAGAUAAAUGUUAUUUAAUUAAUAUUUUAUUUAGAUUUUUAGUAUUAUUUUCUUUAUAAUUUGGUUAUUUUACCAAAAAUUCACCAUUUUCACUUAGAAAUCAAAAGAAUUUCUAUAGCUACCAAGANNNNNNNNNNNNNNNNNNNNNNNNNNNNNNNNNNNNNNNNNNNNNNNNNNNNNNNNNNNNNNNNNNNNNNNNNNNNNNNNNNNNNNNNNNNNNNNNNNNNNNNNNNNNNNNNNNNNNNNNNNNNNNNNNNNNNNNNNNNNNNNNNNNNNNNNNNNNNNNNNNNNNNNNNNNNNNNNNNNNNNNNNNNNNNNNNNNNNNNNNNNNNNNNNNNNNNNNNNNNNNNNNNNNNNNNNNNNNNNNNNNNNNNNNNNNNNNNNNNNNNNNNNNNNNNNNNNNNNNNNNNNNNNNNNNNNNNNNNNNNNNNNNNNNNNNNNNNNNNNNNNNNNNNNNNNNNNNNNNNNNNNNNNNNNNNNNNNNNNNNNNNNNNNNNNNNNNNNNNNNNNNNNNNNNNNNNNNNNNNNNNNNNNNNNNNNNNNNNNNNNNNNNNNNNNNNNNNNNNNNNNNNNNNNNNNNNNNNNNNNNNNNNNNNNNNNNNNNNNNNNNNNNNNNNNNNNNNNNNNGGCUUUAGUAGAACCUCUUCCUCCGGAUGGUAUUUCAUCAUCACUGAAGAAGAUAAAAUUGUCAGCACCAAUAUUGUUGAUCAGCCGAUCCAGCUUGUUUACCGAAAUAUCGUCAGCCACAUAUGUUUCGUUUAGCACCUUUAAUAGUGCAUUCCGAUGUACUUCUGAGUUUAAGAGUAAAGCUAAUACAGAAAUGCGGGCUGGCUGUUUGUGCAGUUGCUCCGCAACACUGUAUUCACUGUGUUUCAAAACUUCAAAAACUCCUUUGCCUCCUCUUCUUUUAUUGGUUCAUUUACCAAUGGUUCAACUUCUACUGCUUUCCCUUUCCUCUGUUCUUUCUUCCAAUUCUCUUCCCUGGACGACUCUGCUUGAGCAUCAUAUCUUUUUCCAUUGCGCGUGUAAGAACCUAUUUCCUGAUUUCUUUCUGCUUCUUUUCCCAAAAUGGUCACAUUGCACCGUAAUUCCACGGCACCAUUUUGUUAUCCCUAUAAGAGAAAUUUGAUGGUUUCUGGAUUACAAUUUUUGGUGUUACCUGAGCCCUAACCUCAUUACCCUUAGGGCGUGAGAUAAUGACCACAGGAUGAUUUAUUUUUGGAGCCUUUGUUCCCAACUCUGUCGCGCAUAUGCUCCUCAUUUCUUUCGCAUCUUCGUAAAACCUCAUCUCCUUGUUAUCCAUCAUGCUUUGAACCAAAGCCUUAAAUCCUUCACAUUCUUGGAUUUCGUGCCCUGUUUUAUGGUGAAAUUCACAAUAAUUUCCCAUCUCAUGCCCUUCCUCAGAAUCUGAAAUAACCAAACCUCUUUUCGCCAUUUCUUUCCAGACCCGUUUCAAUGGAGUUUUUACUUCAGCAAUGUCAGUCUUGACUUCUUCUCCCGUACCUUCGCUAACCAUAUUCACCCCCUUAUCUGCGUGAUUAGGUAACGGAUUCUUUGCGUUAGGUGAGUCGUCAAGUUUGACAACACCUAAAUUGAUAAGUCCUUCUACUACCUUCUUGAAGGCCGUACAAUUUUCUAUCGAGUGCCCAGAAAUUCCCGCAUGAUAAUCACAUUGCGCGUUCGUAUCAUACCAUUUUGGAUACGACUCAAGUAACGCAACAACAUGUGCAUCGAAUAAAGUCUGAUACAACUCCUUGUAUGACAUCGGGAUUGGCGUGAAUUGGGGCUUUUCAGUAGUUUGCCUAGCUCCCGACUCUUGUCUUGAUGAUCCCUGUUGAUUAGCAACCACUUUCUUUGGUUGAUUCACGGUAAUUGACCUACCAUAAGCAUUCACAUUAUUCACUUCAUUUUCUCUUUUCCUCAGGGGUGCCCUCCUAUUAUUUCUCUCCAUCUUAUUUUUCCACUUUUAAUGGCCUAUGCUCAAUCCUUUCAACGUUCAUGAUUAUAUCCGAGAAAUUUUUUGAAGCGCUUCCCAACAUGUGAGUGAUGAACGGGGCUUUCAAAGUAUUAAUAAAAAGCGUCGUCAUCUCUUUUUCCAAAAGCAGUGGUUGCACCUGAACCGCCACCCUCUCGCCACCUCUGCGCAUAUUUCUGAAGCUUUCGUUCGAUUUCUUCUCUAAAUUUUGCAGAGUUAUCCUGUCAGGUAUCAUUCUGAGGACAUGAUUGUAUUGUCUCAGGAAAGCCUGUGCUAAAUCCCUCCAAGUAGCAAUUUUAGCUCGGCUCAGCUGAUUGUACCACUUUGACGCCGCUCCCGUAAGACUUUCCUGAAAGCAAUGUAUUAAUAAUUGAUCAUUAUUAAUAUGCCCCGUCAUUCUUCUACAAAACAUAGUAAUAUGGGAUCCUGGGCAACUAGUCCCGUUGUAUUUCUCAAAUUCCGGCAUCUUAAAUUUGUAAGGGAGCACCAAGUCCGGAACCAAGCUCAGAUCCUUUGCAUCUAUUCCAUAGCUUCGAUGCUUUCUAUUGCCCUAAACUUCUCUUCUAUCCAUUUCCAUUUCUCCUCAAAUUGUUUUGAAAAUUCCUCCUUCGCCUUGUCCUUUUCAACCAUCUCGUAAAGAUCUGGGACAGCAAUAUUAUUCGGGCUAUCACCGGGAUUAAAGCCCGCUCCGGGUUGAAAAUUCAUUGGGAUUGAAGCAUCGCCUUGGAACUGCUGGGGCCUAACCGACACAGAGGGUCUCCGCGGAUGCAGCUCAGUCUGUACUUGCGCAUGCGGAUGCGUGAAACCUAGAGGAUAAAGUGGUUCACCAUUGUUUUCUUCUUCACUAACAAUCACAGGACCUUUACCCUUAUCUACUCCCUUCAAUAAUUGCGUCAUCUUAGCCACCAGAUCAUUUUGGGACUCCUCCAUCUUUUGCACCAUGUCACGCUGAAUCUUUUCUAUUUGCUCUUUCAUUUGCGCCUGCAACUGGUCUUGCAUUUCUUUUUGAAGUCGCUCUAGCUUCUCCAACCUUUGGUCCAUAAUUUUUGUCUUAGCUCGGGUGCCGUAACUUUGUUGGUUUUCCAGGUUAACUGAAAUGAUUUUAUUCGAUUAGGUUUUUAAUGGUCAUUAAUGCAUAUGAUGUGAUGCAAUGCAUGAAAAGAAUGCAAAGAAAAAGAGGCACUGAUUCUAAUUCAACUUCAUUAGAAAACUUUACUAGAUAAAGAGUUUCUUUACAUAAAAUAGACUACAUAUAUGGCUUUGCCCUUACACUCAAAGCCUUAACCUUUCUAAGAAGCCAAGCUAACUCUCGGCCCCUGUUCGACACUAACUCAUACUUCAAACUUAAUAGAUCAGCCUGAACCGCUAGAGUUUACAGAUGAUCAGCUACUUCGCGCACUUGAGUCACCGCCUCUCCCAUAAUAUAAUCUCUUUCUCCAAUCUGCUCUUGAGACCGACGGAAUUGUCUUUGCCACUGCUCAUUACUUUCUUCCAGAAGCUCUAUCUGGAUUUCACUAUUUUGCAAUGCAUUCUCUAGCCCUCCUAUUUGUCUUUUUAAUCUUCAAUUUUGUCUAAGCUCGCCCUUAAUUCAACCGUAGCAUUACGAUUACAGUACUGGUGAAGCGACCUUUCUAGUUCAGUUAUCCGGACCUUCAACUCCGUCUUCUCGUCUUGGCAAACUAGUAGACUCUUUCCCAAGGCGACUUCUCGAGCCCGAGUAUCCUGAAAUUUCUUUUCCCAUUGAUUAGCUUUCAUCUUUUCCUCCUGAAUUUCUUGUCGCCAUUGUUCUGGCGUUUUACCCAAGCCAGCAGCUCUUACCGACCUACGCAACUUCUUGUAAUCUGUCUUCAGGCUGUCCAAAUCUUCUUCUGCUUUGUUCUUUCCUUUUCUCAAUUUAUCGGCCUCUAACCUUUGAAUGUCCACAUCCAGUCCUAACUGCAUUUUUUCUUCCUCUAGUUGUUCUAUUUUCUUCCCCAAUUCUAAACUCCUUUUUUCAAAUUCUUGUUUGAUGAUUUCUAUCUCAGAAGGCAAAACUUGUAAAUGUUCCUCCAAAGAUCGAGCAGUUUCUGGAUUUGACGCCGGGAUGUUGUCGUUGAUCCUUUGAUCACGCCACCGACCAUACUCGGGGGUAAUUGUCGGACCCACGGCUAAGAUCUUCAUUCGACGAGUCUGGUUCCAGGCACUAGAUAUUUCCCGAACCUUCUUCUUGUAAUUGUCCUCCCUAUAGGAAAAAUCAUAAUAGGCCAACCCCUGCGUUGCUGGUAUGAAUUAUCGUGAUCUAUACUGUCUUGAUACGAAUAGAGGAGCAUAUCCGAUAGCUCCCCAUAUCCCGAGCAGCGGAACCCAGUCAAAAUCUCCACAUUGGUACAAUAUCUCAUCAGGAAUUAACCAAGGAGCCCUCCAUUCAAUAUCUUCAUCCUGGAGAUUCUGGAGUAUCUCUAUCCAUUUUUCUUCUGAAAUAUCAUCCCGUCUUGGCGUGGCCACCAAUUCUCCUAGAGGGGAGUAGCUAUCAGAGAAUACCCGAUAAGAGACCUUUUCGACUUUCCAGAAGUGGCUAUGGAACCAUGCCAAUAAAAGCUGCGCGCAUCCAAUAAACCUUCUCUCCCCUGCUUUUCGACACGCAUUCAAGGAUCUAAAAGUUUCAGCGAGUAUUGCCGGAACCGGCGUAACCCCUUUACUAAGCCGAUCAAACAAAUCAGAUACAGCCUCGUCUAUGUGUCCUAAAGCUUUGGGGAAAACCACUAGUCCAUAGAUACCUAAAGCGAAGACAUCGACCCUUUUCUUUAAGUCAGGAUGUACAAGCACCAAAUCUCGCAAACUUUUCCAAGGAACACAAUUACUGUUGCCCUUCUGUUGGAUCCGGGCAGCGACCCACUGCUCGCUCAUCCCAGUGAUGUUCAUUAAUUUCUUUAACAACGGAGGGACACAAGCAGCUCUGGAAUAAGCCUUGUCGACUUGAAUCUUUGGGCACCGAAGCAAGGUCGUAUACUCCUCCACAGUAGGCGUCAAAUCUACCUUCCCAAAAGUGAAACAACUGUAGGCAGGAUUCCAAAACUGAGCAAGGGCUCGGAAUAAAUACUUGUCCACUUUGACACUAAGCAGAUAAGGUAGGUCACCGUAGUUACAAUAGAACAGCUGCUUGGCCUCGACAUCCCAUUGAUCCCAGACUUCUUUCAUUUCUCGAAGGUCAUUCUGGAUUACACUGAUACGGGUAAAAUCCCACAAUUCUGACACGUACCCUUCGGUAAGACUAUCGCCUUUCUCCCGUUGUGUCGUUUCAGCCCAUAUUCGCACAGCCGCAUUAUCCUCUACUUUAUCAACAAACCCCUUUUCCAUGAUAAGCUUUCUACCAAGAAACUGAACGUAAAUCGACACCUCUUUUAGAAUGAAGAUGCCAUGCAAUCACAAACAAAGUAAAUUAGCAUUAAACACAGAAUAAGAUUUAAAAUAAGCGACAAAUAAAUACAACAUUCAUUUAGGUAAGCACUAAAAAUUUGGAGUAGCUCUACCUAGGUCAGUUCCUAUGGCUCAUUACAUGUGGUUUGGUUCUAAAGUAGGGUACCUGAACCAGCAAAUUCCUCGAUCCUCACCCAUUAUAGGCUCAUACGGACCAAGUUCGAUUCAGGGGGAUACAUUUCCCUAUGGCCAUGCGGAGAUGAAAAUCUCACGAAGACAUAGGUACGGAUAUAUCCCGAAAGCGAUUCACUAUCCCAUGCGGAGGUGAAAACCUCACGAAGGCGUAGCUUCUCACUCCCACCUAAAAAGGUGUGACCAACGGUCAUGCAAUGCAAUGCGGAAAGAUACCAAAAUUUAAACAAAUAGAGCAAUUAUAAACCCCAAUGAUGAUGAUUAUGAUAAAGACAGAUAAAAUGCGAUGAAAGGAUCGUAAUUUUAAACCGAAUUUUCAAUUUUUGACAAAAGACAAAAAGUAAUCACCACGUGGCUUGACCCUCUUAUCGGUGUCCCCAGUGGAGUCGCCAAGCUGUUGGCGCCAUUUUUUUUGAUGAAAACGGGGUCGACUUGGGUUUUGAAAAAUGAAACGGGAGUCGCCACCAAUCCUUUUUUAUGAGGUGUGAUUGGAUCACCUUGAAAAGUGGUUGUUUUUAAUAAACGGUUUAGUUUUAUUAAAACAACGAUUUUGGUCCACAAAAUUCAAAAAAAUGGGUUCGGGAGUCGGUUACGCACGAGGAAGGAUUAGCACCCUCGAUACGCCCAAAAUUGGUACCUAAUUGAUUACUUAAUGUCUUAAUGUCGAAAACUUUGAAGAACUUUAAAAAAUACGAUCCUUAUAUUAAAAUAAAAAUUUUUGGGAAAAGUAGCAUAUUUCACGUUAAUCGAGAAAGAGAAUCAUAUCCAGUAAGUUAGGAUACAAUGUCUCAAAUUCCCAACACGCAAAUGAAAAAUGCUUAUUUAAAAGAUAUUUUAGCCAUCUCGGAUUUAAAAAUGAGAUCACGACCCGUAAGUUAGGACGCAAUUUUUUAAUCCCGAGAUCAUUUAAAAUUUGAGUUUAAAAAGAUUCGUCAUUUAGAUUUAUCGUGAAAAUCGAAACCCAGUAAGUUAAGAUACGAUCCUCUCGAAUCUAAAGACGAAAUAUUAUUUAUUCAAAACAAAUUAUGUUAUGUCGAGUAAAAUAAAACACUAAAAUCGUAGUAAAAAAAUGUGAAAGCAAUUUGCAUUGUUGUUAUUCAUGGCAAAAUCAUAAUGAAUACAAAAGUAUAAAAUGAUAUGAGCAAUAGCAACAAUAAUAAAUAAACGUUAGUCCUACAAUCAUAUAAAAUAACAAUGUAUAUAAACAAAUAAAUCAAAACUUUCAUUCAAAAUAAUAAUAAAAUGAAAUAAAUAGUGAACACAAAUAAAACGUAAAGGAAUAUAUAUAUGUAUAGAAAUGUAAAUUAAAAUAUGUGUGUAUACGUAAGUUACAAAAUAUAUGAAAUAUAUAUAAAGUAUAUUUUAAAAUAUAAAGAAAAAAUAAAUAUGUAUGAAGUGUAUGUAAGUAUAUAAAUAUGUAUAUAUAAUAAAGGUGUAUGAAAAUAUAUUUUAUAUACAUGUAUUUAUAAAAAAAUGCAUAUAGAUAUAUAUAGAUGGUUUUAAGCUAUGAAGUAUGAAAAAUAUGUACAUGUAUGAAUUAUAAAAUAUAUAAAUAUGUACAUAUAUAUAUGUAAAAAUAUGUAUUUAUAUAUUUAUAAAGGUUAGAAAUAUGUACGUGUAUUAUAAAUAUAUAUGCAUAUAUAAAUAAAUUAUAAAAUAGGUAUGUUUAUAUGUAUAUAUAUAUAUAUUACAAAAAAAUGUGUAUAAGUAUAUGUAAAAAUAUAUAAUAAUAUAUGUAUAUAUCUAUAAAAGCAAUUAUAAUAAUAAUAAUAAUGCAAUAACAAUAAUAAUAUAAAAUUUGUAAAGAAAAUAAACAAAUCACUAAAGGAUUAGAUUAAACAUUAAACAAGAUUCGGGGGGUUCAAAGCGCAAAUAAACGAAAGGGGAGGGAUUGCUCUGAACACGCAUGUAACAUGGAGGGACCAUCAAAGAAAUUACCCUUCCUUUAAAACGGCGUAGUUCGAGUAAGGACGAAGUUGAAAAUACGAAAAAAUUUUGGGUAAAUUUAAAAGAUCAAAAGAACCUAAUUUAAAAAGCAUUAAAAAAGCGGAAGGGCUAAAGGUGCAAUUAGCCCUUCCGUCAAAAACACGCGGAUCCCUAGAUCAGACGGGUCGGGUCGCGGGUCGGAUCUCGGUUUAGACGCAAAACGGCGUCGUUUGAGGCCGAAUGAAACAGGCCAAAACGACGCCGUUUCAUUUAGGUAUUUAAACCAAUUUUUGUUUAAAAAAAUCAUUCAGCCCCAUUCCCCUUUUUUAAAAAAACUAAAAACUUCUCAGUUCUCUCUCCCUCUUCCCCUUUCUUGAUCUCGGGUCCGGCCGAGGGCCACCUUGUCGGCCGUCGGAUCGCCGGUGCCAGUGACGCCGUACACGGUGGCCGGCGAGUGGAGAAAGGCGUUGCCCUUAGAGAUGCCUAUCUCCUAAACCCGAAUCCGGCCUCAAAAUGACCAAAAACGAAUGGGAAAAGGCUGUUAGGCUUCUCUACAGUCGGUUUCCUCACCGGAGAAGGAGUUUCCGACGAGGAGGAAACAGCGACCCGCGGUGAGUCUCUUUUUUCUUUAUUUUAUGUUUUUUAUUUCGUUUAAAAAAUCAAAAUAAAAUAAAAUAAAUACAACGAAAAAAAGAAAAAGUAAAUAUUGCAAUCGAAAACCCAGGGAAUCACCUUGAAGCUUGAUAUUUUUUAUUAUUCUGUUGAAAUUUGUUUUCUUGGUUACAAAUCGAAAAAAGAAAAAGAAGCCCUUUUGAUUUUUUCAAUCGGCCUUAUAUAGCCAAACUACAAAAUAAAAAAUCUCCUUUUGCUAUCCGUAUUUGCUGUUGCUUGUUGGUGUUUGUUGCAGGUACUGGCGGAGCAGUUGGAGCAGGUGAGUCGGUGGCAAGUGGGCGUGGUGACGGCUGUGAACAGAGGGCAGGUGAGGAGGCCAGGAGCAGGUGCGGCACAACAGGGGGCUAGGGUUUCUGCUAGGUGUUUAUGUUUUGGGCUGAUUGGGUUAGGCUAGUUGGGCCUGGGUAGUUUUUAGGUUAAAAUUUGUUAUUGGGCCCUGGGUCAAAAAUUGGGCUUGUACAAUAAAAUUAUUUUUAAAAAAUAAAAAUUAUUAAAAAAUACAAAAACAAUAUUUUUAAUAGUUUAGAGAUGAAUUAAAUGCUAACAUGUCAUCUACUCAGCAAUCCACAUGUAUAACACGUCAUGAAAGUUAAUAAACAUUUAUUUUUUCAUCCACUCUGGAGUGGCUUGACAGAAAAUGUAAAUUCAAGUGUUAAAAGAAGCGAAAAUUUUAAUGGAGGGCUAAAAUGACUUGUUUUGUGAAGUUGGAGGGCCAAAAAAUAAUUAUGCCAAAACUAAAUGAUUAAUAGAAAACAAGGGGAAAUUUGCAUGCAUCUAUAUAAUUUUAUUUCAAACCAUUGUCAUUAUCUUGAGAUAUACAUUGGCAAACAUUCAUUGAAUAUACCUUGGGAAAAAAAAAUACUACAAGACAACGAAAUUAAAUAUCAUAAUCAAAUGUUGAAAAUGAAUGAUAAGAAAUUUAAAUUAAAAAUCAAACAUAGUAGGCUUGAUGUGCAAGCUAUCUGCAAUCUUUUUUUUUAAUUGUUUUAUUAUAUAGAUUUUAAUAUUUCUUACGUCUUUUAUCAGUCAAUUUGAACUGAUGCAUUCAUUUGUUUCAUUCAUAUGGUGUUGGAUCACAUUAAAAAAUAUAUACAAUUAAUUAAUCAUUUUUAGCUUAAUAAAAAAUAUAUAAUCUUGAUUGGUAUGAGUAUUAUUAUUAAUGUAAGAGGAUCUAGUUUUAAGUGUGCUUAAGCGCAUUAUCCUCCUAUUUAUGGGUUGAGGAGGGGUUAUGGGUAAUUUUAGGCAUUAUGUCAAAAAGAGCAUAUAUGAUCAGAACUUGUAAUGAAAUUAUUAAAAAAAAUGUAUAAACAUAAACAAUUUUGUUUACAUAAUUUUUAGAUAUAAAUGAGCUUUGGAUUCAAAUAAUUUUGUGUUGCUUGAGGUUUUCGGAUCUAUUUACUCUCAUUUAAGUUGUAAAGUUUUUACGAGAGGUAAAAUGUAAUUUCAUUAUUUUAAUAGCUUACGUCUUUAUAAUUAAUUAAAGGUUAAAUCAAAAUUUUAUUAUUUUUGAAAGCUAAUGUGUGAUUUUUACCAUGUAGUAAUUUUUAUAAUUUAUAAAAUUUAAAACACUAAAACAUAAACUUACCAUUUUAGGGUGCAGAGCCAGCCCCUAUAUUUUGAAUUUGAAGCAAUUUAAGUUUAAAUUUGUAAUUUUUUAUGAUUAAAUAAAAAUAAAAUAAGCUUUAUUUUAAAUUGAUCAAGUAAAAUUUAUCAAGUCAAAUUUUGAGUUAGAAAUCAAAAUUGUGAGGUUUACCUAUAUUAAGAAAAAUUAGCUACUAAAAAAUUGUUAAUAUAUAAAUUUGUGUGUUGGCUUGUUGGUCAGGGUAUUCAUCGCCCCAAAUGUGAUUUGGGUUCGAGUCGCGUUACUGUUAACGUUUUGUCAUCCUCUUGUAAUUUACUAAAAAAUUGUUAAUAUAUAUUAUAUAAAGAUAGUAAACUGUUGACUAACAUAAUGUCAUCAUUCAUAGAGGAAAAAAAAAGGCACAUUGAUCAUAUUUUCAGCCAUCCAUAAAAUAGCAGUAAAAUAAUUGACUUGAGAAAUAACACAUAAAAUCAUAUGAUAUAUUUGAUACACUGAGAGCAUUGAAGAGUCAUUUGAAUCAUCGUAAAAGACAAAGUAGACAAUUCAGUGACGAAAUUCUCAAUAUAUAUAACUACGAAAUUCCACACAAAAUUGUGAAAACAACGAAAAAUAUCUAAUAAAAAUAAACCAUUCAAACAAGACCGCUUGACUCUUUGAGUAAUGAAUUUUUUUUCACAAUUAAUUUAACAUGUUUUUCCAAUUUGAAUAGUAAACACUAUAGUUGCAAUUCAGUCAAUACUAGAAAUUUAUAUUUUAAACCCAUCGUUUAGAAUAUUCCAUUUUUUACAUUGGAAAUAACACAAAAGAUUCAAAGGAAAAAUAAGCAAAUUUCAUCAAAGGCGUCUAUUUGUAAUGGAAAAUUUAUAAUGUGGAUCCUUGUAUUAUAAACUAAAGAACAAAUUAACUCCUUAAGUAUAAAAGUGAGCAAUUUAGUCCUUUAGGUCUUUUCUCUUUUUUCUCCAAGCCGUUUGUUUCUUCUUUUUUGUUUUGCGUAGCAACGGUGGCAAUCUCCGGGCUGGCUACUGCCCACCUUUUGCUCCCUCCAUUCCAUAUGUUUUCUCUCUUUUCAAUUGAUACAUCUAUUUUGUAGGUAUCUUUGUUGCCUUCACAUGUUGUGAUGGACAGAUGAUGAUGCCUAUCGUCGCUGAAAUUACCCUGGCCAUCAACAGUUUCUCUAAGAAAGUGGGUGACUUUUAAUUGGCUCUUGAUCUAUUUUUGUUUGGAGAGUAUUUUAGAAUAAUAAAUAAUUUUACGAAUCAGUUUGGACCUCUAGUAUUUUAAGUCGUCACCAUUCAUUCCAUGAAUGGAAUCAUAUCAUUUAUGUAAAAGAUAAAACUUAAACAUGUCUUUAUAUUUGUAAAAACUUAACAAUAAGAAGGCUUGACUAUUUGAAUAAGUUAUUUUUCACAAUAUUUUCAAUUUGAAUUGUAAGUACUCCAUAGUUGUAUGAUUCAGUGAAUACUAGAAAUUUAUAUUCAAAACCCAUCAUUUAAAAUUUUCUGAUACAUUAGAAUUGAGAAGAAAAAUAUUUAGAGUAAGCAAAUUUCAGCAAUGGCGUCUAUAUUUAUAAUUGAAAGUUAUCAAUAAAAUUAAUAUCUUAUUUCUUUUUAAUAUUUUAUUGUGCAUGCGUAGUUUUACUAAUGGCAUUGAUAUCCCAGAAUUAAAAUAUUUCCAACAAGCAUGUGCUCUAUUGAUUGACUUUAAAGUCUCUAGAUUUUUAAAAUGAAUUUACUAAAAAAAUGAAAAAAAAUUAUUAGAAUUAAUUUUUAUUAAUUGAUAAUAAACUUAUGAAUAAUUAAGUAUUACAUUUUUAUUAAUUCCAAAUCAAACUUCUUUUUUUUAUAUAAUACCUAAAACUACUUAUAAUCCCUUCCUAAUCCUUAAAUAAGAAAAUAAUGUGUUUCAACAUAUUCAAACCCACAUCUUCCUGCACUGACAGAUUAUAUAAAUUUAAAUAUUCAAUAUAUAUAUUUCUCUAAAACUGACAUGUUGAAAAAGGAAAUCACAACUAUAAAACAAUCAUCUUCAAAGUUUCAAUAAUAAAAUAAGUAUAAUACAAAUUUAAUGAUAAAUUCAUGAUGUGUUAGGAUAUAAAACUAAUAUUUUAAAAAAACGAUAUGAAAUUAUAAAUUCUAUUGUGAUUAUAGUAUAUUUAUAAAUGAAUGUUGGGAUAAUUAUAAAAUGGAAUUAAAUUAAUAUAAAAUACAUUAAAAAUUAAAAUAAUUAAAACUAAAAUUGAUUCAUUGGACAAAAAUAUACACUUAACAACGACGCAUUAUAAAAGUAAAGAUCUAGAUAUGAUAAUUGCAUAUAAUAAAAUUUAAAUAUAAAUAUAAAAUACUUAAAAAUUUCAACCAACAAUAUCUUCGUUAAAAUUAUAAAUUCGCUUGAUUAUUUUCCUUUGAUUUAACACAUCUUCUUUUGGUAGCCGUCUGUACCUGACUCGACCAGUUAACCCACAAAACAUUUUACAUGUACAAUAAUGACACAAUUUCGCUCAGGCCUAAUUUACAUAUAAAUACAAAAUUACAAAUCCAAAUAAAAAUAUUACAAGCCCAAAUGUAAAAAGGAAGCCCAGUGGCCCAAAAAACUUAAACAUUUUCAGAAGGACAGAAACCUUAGCCAGCGCGCCGCCCUCUCUGCUUUGCCAGCGGUUUCGUUGCCUGAGGUUUGACGCCUCAUCUGCCAGUUGUCGCCAUCGACUAGGGACACUUGCAAAAAAGGAAGAACAAGGACAGAAGCACAACACCCAAGAAAAAACAGUAGAAACAGUAGAAAAACAGUAAAAAAGAGAGUGUAAUUCGACUAUAAAAGCCAUGACUUUUAUGUAUUUCUUUACAAGAAAAAAAGGAAUAAAAAACAGAACACAAAGAAAACAUUUUUAAAGGUGAUUUUCUUCAUUUUUUUAUCUGUUAUUUUUAGAAAAAAAACAUAAAACAUAAAAUCAAAAAAACUUACUGAGCCGUUUCAUGUUCCACCGCCGCGAGUAGACGAGGACACCGUCCGCGAUGACGGACGGCUCCCUUCGGUGAGACCUCCGAGUCACUUCUGUUUUGUCUAAGGACCACGGCGGAGAAAACCAAGGGGUUGUUCAGAUUUUUUUUAAUUUUUUGUUGGGUUUUGGAAAGUACUGACCCCGGAUUCGGGCUCAAGAAGCCGUAACGGCCAAAAAAUGGUUGCUUGUAGAUUCUAGCCACCGGGAACAGUGAAAUCAUCGCCGGCGCCAGGGGCAAACGUGGAAAACCGAGAGAGAAAAAAAGACUCAGUUUUUUUAAGAAAAACUAAACAUAAUGAUUUUUUUUUUUUAAUUUGGCUUAUAUAGGCGAGGCUAAACGACGUCGUUUAAAGCUGGCUUCAAUAGCCCCAAAACGACGUCAUUUUGAAACAUGACCCGAAUACAAACAGGAUCCGCAUGUUUUCUUAAGAAAGGGUCUAAUUUUUACUUCAGUCCUUCUGCUUUUUAAUUGAUUUUCAAUCUAGUCCUAUUUCUUUUUUUUUAAUUUUUGCCCAGUGAUUUUGUUUCUUUUUAGUCCCUCAUGGAACGGUGUGUUUGCGGGCCUGGGAAUAAUUUCCUAGUUGGUCCGUCCUUGUAAUACCCCAAAAAUUACUACAGGAAUAAAGUAAUAUAGUAUCCUUGAUAUAGUAAAAUCAGGAAAUAAAGUGACAAAAAGGGAAAUUUUGAGUUAUGUCAACAUUGGGAAGUAUAUUAUGACAUAUUAAUGCAAAAAAAGAUUAAAUCGCAAAAGUGAGAAAAGUUUUGUUGCCCAAGAGUAAAUACUCAAAAAUUGAGGGGUUAAAGUGUAAAUAUAAAAAAGUUCAAAGACCAAUAGUGAAAAUAUUUUAAGGGUGGAAUGAUAUAGAAAAUAAGGAAAAUGGAUGAAUUAUGACCAAAUUGAAUAGGUGAAGAAUUAUGAUGGACUAAAUCAUAAUUUUACCAAAUUAAGUGAUGACUCAAUGAUGGAAUUUUAAAAGAUCAUGAAGGGCAAAAUGGUCAAUUAGAAAGAGAGAGAACUCUAAAAGGUAAUGAUGAUGUUGGUGAUAUUUUUAAUUAAUUAAUUAGAUAAAUGUUAUUUAAUUAAUAUUUUAUUUAGAUUUUUAGUAUUAUUUUCUUUAUAAUUUGGUUAUUUUACCAAAAAUUCACCAUUUUCACUUAGAAAUCAAAAGAAUUUCUAUAGCUACCAAGAGAGAAAAAUAAUAAGGAGACAAUGGGGAACUAGAAUAUCAAGUUAGAUUCAAGAAAUAGAAGCUGGAGGAGAGAGAAAAUUAAGUUAAAGAUUGAAAUCAAUAGGACAAGGUAAGAACCUCAAAUUUCAAUAUAUUUUUUAGUUUGAUAUUAUUGAAAAAGUAUGAAAUUGAUGGCAAAGUAGAGUUUUAUUAUAUAAGAUUCUAUGUUCUUGAUAUUCUAGUGAAGGGAAAUAAGAGGAAGUGAUGGGAAAUAUUGUAGAGAAAGGAAAGAAGGGUGUUAUAAAUUUGGUUAUCAACAUUUUACACUAAAACAGUUUUGGACAACAGCAGUAGUCUGACUUUGAAAAUUCACCAAAAAACGUAGAAAUUGAAUUAGAGGUUAAUUAAAGUAUUAAAAUAAAUCCUAUUAAGUCUAGUUUUACAUGGAAGAAAUGAUGUAAGCAAAAGAAUUUCAUAUUAAGAGAUAUAUGAAUUUUUGUGAGACAGGGUCAGAUUGAUUUCGGGUUCCCCUGUUCUGACUUUGGAAAAUCAUCAAAAAAUUUUAAAAAAUAAUUAGGGGUUUAAAUUUAUUUUUUUAAAUUCUUGAUGAGUCUAUUUUCAAGAGAAACAAACAGAAACAUCAUCCAGACACCGUACUAAAAGAUAAUUAAUUUUUAGCAAGAAAAGGUCAAAGCUAUCAAACAGCAGAAUAUGGAUAAAUUUGAAGCAUUUACUGUACUUAUAGACUAAACUGUAAAUUCUAAAAAUUUUAUGGUGGAAAGAUAUUUGAGUCUAGUUUCAAAAACAUCAAUCAAAUCUUAAUUUAGAAUUCUGUAGCUCGAGAUAUAAAUAAAUUAUUGACCGUGAUUCAAGUGGACAGCUUUGAUAUGAACAUAAGUAAAUAGUAGAAUUAUAGAUAAUAUUACAUAUAAGCAUAAUAUAUACAUUAAGGAUGUGGAAUGGAGAGGAGGAGGAGGAGGAGGAGGAGGAGGAAAAUAUAUGAAUAUUCAACUAGCAUGAGUUUUCAUUAAAAAUGGCUAAUUUGCAUGUUUUAGGUUCAGAGACUAAAUUGAAUAAAAGUAAAAUUUUAAGGGUAAUUUUGUAAAAAUGUCAAAAAUGACCAAAUUGUAUGAAAUAAAUUUUUUUAUUAUUUAAAUUAAUAAAUUGAAUGAAAUAUUAAUUUAGAUCAAGAUUGAGUGGAAAAUCGAGGGAAAUGGAAAAUUACUAAAAUGCCUCUGUAUAUUGGUAUUUAUGCAAUUUGGGCUGGUAAGUUCGUAUGAACUAUAUUCUGUAUAAUUUUGAUUAAAGUGAAUGAUAUUUGGUGAUGGAUAUUAUAUAUAUGUGUGUUCAAUUGUUGGAAUUGAAUUUAAUACUCAGUUUGGAUUGAAUGCGGGAUUGACUACAAUCGUUCUGUGGCAAAGGAUGAAUUGACGGAUAAGACCAUAACUAGGUUAUGACACUAUGAACGUAAGACCAUGGUUGGACCAUGGCAGUGUUUUUAUGUAAGACCAUAGCUGGGCUAUAGCUUUCUAAUGAGACCAUAACUGGGUUAUGGCACCUUGAACGUAAGACCAUGGUUGGACCAUGGCAGUAUAGAUACAUGUGUAAGACCAUAGCUGGGUUAUGGCAUUCUAAUGAUAAGACCAUAAAUGGGUUAUGGCACUACAAAUGUAAGACCAUGGUAGGGCCAUGGCAAUGCAUGUGUAAGACCAUAGUUGGACUAUGGCACAAAAAGUAUAGCUAGACAAAAGAUUUUUUUUUUUUUUUUGCAUUUAAACUUCUGAAGUAUCUUUGAUGAAAGAGGUGGUGGAAAUAACGAUAGCUCCAAUGAAGAAGAAGACAAUGUCUUAUAUGACUCAAAAAUGGAAGUACCUAGGGAUGUUAAUACUAAAGUACUGAGAGCCAUUAAAGGAGAUUGGGUUUACAGUGAGUGUAAUUCACACCAACAUGCUAAGAACCACUAGAGGAAGUAAAUAGGUUUGGAGAUAUCUAGAGUUAUGAAUGAACUUAGACAAGGCUAUUAUGGAAAAUGAAUAUACCUCUUCUUAGAGAAAAAGGUAACUUUAUAUAGAGAUUUGUGUACAUCUUAUUGUGAUGGUGGUCUACCUCAGGCUCAGUUGUAAGGCCAAAAAAGCCCUGUUAGGCAAUGACAUGUGAUAGUGUAUGGAGUUUGUACUAAAGUUAUGGAGGGUCCUACUAGGAUGUGGUAGAAAGGACCUCUGAGUAGGCCCUAAUGAGACUCAGCACUGGGACUUGAUUUGACAAUGGCGCAUGUAAGGAGAUAAUUGAAAGCUUGAAUUUGGCAAGCCCUUUCAUGGGCGAGCCCUUCUAGAUAAAAUUGGUUGACUUAGGGCCAGAUUUUCAUUGCUUUUGAGAAGUGCUUCUGAGAAGUGCUUUUGAGAAGUGCUUUUUAGAAGUGCUUUUGAAAAAUUUGAGUGUUUGGCAUUGCUGUCAAAAAGUGCUUUUGAAGAAUAAAAUGUCCAUUUUAGACAUAAGAUUAUAAAGUAAUAAAUAUGUAUUUAAAUAAUGUUCAAAUUAGUUAAUAUUAUGGUAUUUUAGCAAAAAUAUAAAAAAAUAAUUUAUUAUAACUUAUUGUUAAUAUUUUAAUAUAUAAUAUCAAUUUUAAAUAUUUCUAAGUAAUUAAUAUUAAUUAUUUAGAAAUAUUUAAUUAGAAUAUAUAAACUAUAUUUAAAUAUUUAAAUAUAAAAAUUAAAUAUUUGUAAUUAGAUAUUUGAUGGGCUACUUUAACACUAAAAUUAAUCAAACAUAAUACUAUCUAACUAAAAUCUAAAAUCUAAUCACUAAAACCCAAUAUUAAACUUAGUAAUUCACUUAAAAAGAGCCUAAAACUAAGUGUGAAUUUAACUCUAAAACAUAUAUUAAUUAAACACCUAUCAAUUUCGUUCCAACUGUCAUUGUAAUGUAAUGUUAUAAUGUUUUUGUUCUAAUAUAUGACAAUGCACAUUGUUUAUCAUAUUUUUGUUCCGAUUUAAUGCACACUACCAUUUUAGUGUAAUGUUUGCCAAUAAUUGUUUCAAAAUGGUAUGAACUUUGGACCAAAAGAAUAAAAAAAGUUAUAUAAACAACAAUUCAAUAGAAAGCCGACAAAAUUAAUUGAAGUUGGUUCGAUUCGGUUAAUUAUUUUAACAGAAAAAAGGUCAAUUCAACUAACGGUUUAGUUAAUUAUAAUUCAAUUAACAAUGGAUCGAACUAACUAUUUCAUCACCCUUUAGAUUAAAUGUUUGAGAAUAUAAAACAAAAUACUUAGAAUUAUAAAAGAAAACAUAGUUUCAAUUGAACAAUUUAGCGUGCAAUGGAUACUAAGAUUCUAAUUUGAGGGUAAAAUAUGGAAUGCCCAUAUUGUAAUCUGUGGUGCUUUAUUAACUGCUGAUAUCUUUAACAACAUAAAGCUACAAUCCAGGGUCAAGGCGAGGCUUUCAAGGCAGCUUCUCCUAGUUUACCUCUGAGCAAGUGAUGGAUUGUAGGGUGCUCCCCAAACUGAGCUACGGACAGUUUGACUACCGGUUGCAACAAUAAACGUGAGGGAAGGUUAGAGCACAACUAGAUGGUUCUACUUUGGUUCUUAGUAUGAAUUUUCUGACAAAACUGCAAAUAAGCGGGAAAGGUUGCAUUAUUUCACAGGACAAGCUAGCCCAGCCUGAUGAUAAUACGUAAGUCGUGAAGAAGGUAGCCUGCAGACAAGAACAAUUUCAGUUAGAUGUAAUCCUGAAGAUACACAAUCACAUGCCAUAAAAAAGUGAGAAAAGCAAUCUGUCCUAUGUGAGUGCCUACAAAAGAGAGCGCUUAAUAGUGUAUUUCAUGCAUCUCAAUAGACCAAGGUAAAAUCUAAAUCUAAAUGCAUAUAACAACUUGCCAUGAAUGGAGGUGUUGAGGUUUUAUUAAACCAACAAUUGAGGACGCAUGGAAAGGUUACGUGGGUUGGCACUGCUCUGGCAAGUUGUUUAGGUGCAUCUUUAAAACUUGAGAAAACAGUCAAUUGCCUGAUGAUGGAUCCAGAAAGGACAUUAACAAAGAAAACAUUCCAAAUUGUGAAGUACAGAACUUUGAUGCAAGCACCCCAUUUCCUCUGACUACGUGAAAUAUUCCCCUCCAUUGUAGAAAACAACAUCAUGGUUGGUGGAACAGCAUACAGAAAUAAGAUUAGAAUCACACUUGGUAAGUAACCUGUUACCACCCGGUGUAUGAACUCCCUACAUAGCAGAAUAAACAAGAUAGAUUCACAAUGAGUGCCUGGUUCCUUCUCUUUUAAUUCCUUCAAGUUUCCACUUAAAAACAAUGAUAUUUGUCCUAUCUACAUGUAUUAAUACACACCAAGAGCUUGGGUGAGUUUAAUGCAGUUAAAUAGCAAUGACAUCACUAUAAUAAGUUGUAUCUGGCUAUUUAUGUACUCUAGAUUGUCUUUCAGAGCCUUCAAUCUAGACCUGUUCUCAGUAUGCGCCACAAGCAAUAGCAGAUAUAGGAGUAUUAACAGGGUUCACGAUUAUGGAUCUUUUCAUGCAGGUUUCUAUAUAGAGUUUGUUGCAUCAGGCAUCAGUCAUGACUGCAAUGUGAUAUGAAAGCAGCAUAAUUGAAAAAAAAAUAACAAGCUUAUACUGGUUUUGCAAUAGAGUUUGGGGAAUGAUACUCACUGUUUUUAAAUUCCUUUAAGAAAUGGAACUCUACGUGAUAGCUGGUCUAAGUGCUCUAGUUGAGUCAAGCCUUGCACAAAUGUAACAGGAAGAAGAAACAGGAAUUGAAAUGUUGAACCACUUCAAGAUGUUUUGAACUUAAAUUUGAGACUUAAUUACCUGAAAACAACUAUUCUCAUGAAAGCUACAGCAUCGUAACAUAAAUAGACUUAAUUACUCGGUUACUAACAUGAAAUUAAUUAAACAAAACAGCAACAGCAACAGACCCUUUAUGCUAACCGCAUUUCUUAAGAAAAAAGAAAUACCAAACAUAAAUAGAAAAAAGAAAGAAAAAAGAAGAAGAAGCAACAAAACAGCAACAACAACAGACAAGCUUUUUCUCUUAUCAGGGUACACAACAAACAUUCCCACAUUUCUUAAGAAAAAAGAAGAAGCAACAAAUGGAAUUGAUUGGGGAAGUUCAACAAACAGAAGGAGAGCAAAAUAAGACAAUGAGCAAAAUACCAAACAUAAAUAGAGUGUGUGCUUGGCUGCAUCUCUUUGAUCCCAGCUACUGUAAGCCUUUAUAUGUAACCAAAGCAAAGCACCGCCCCCACUUAUCUGACUCACCCACCCACCAGAACCUUCAGACCAUUUUGCAGACUUAUGAUAACACAGAUAAAAUAAAUCCUAAAGCCAAACAUGUGUAUGCCUUGUGAAAGUUACGGCACAAAAGAACAGAGUAUUUUAUAACAAUGAAGCAUGGCAAUCAAAUUCCAGCGAAAGAAAAUAUUAAACAGAAGAGGAACUAAUUAAACAGAAGAAGAAUUAUAAAAGAAACUCUCACCAGCGGAAGAGGAACAAAGAACAGAAAAUAGCUUUGAAAGCCGAAAAUGGGGAAAAGAAAUUGGGUAUAAAGCUCCAAUUUCACCAGCAGAGGGGAAAGAAAAUUUGGGGAACCAGCAGAGGGGAAAAAAACGUUUGGGGGAGAAUUUGGUCAAUAAUCAUCCAAAAGCAGUUAACGCUGAAGAAAAGGAGAAAAUUUUAGCUUCUCCAUCUAGAGAGAAGCACUUUUCUGAUGGAGAAUUUGUAAGAGAAAAGGAGGUUGUUCUUGGUUCCUUUUAAGAGAAAAGUGCUUUUUAGUGAAAAAGUGCUUUUCAAACGGGAAAAAGAACGGGCCCUUAGCGAGGUGUUUAAGUAUAAUAAUUUUCCUUUAAAAGUUGAGGAAGAGGUUAUAAAGUGGCUUUUCCCGAGAACUUUUUUUGGCGAGGUGCUCUCCUUUCGAUGAUGAUGUGAUGUGUUGUCUUUGGCAUGCCUAAAAAGGAGAUGUUGGACGGGUAGGUAUUUUGUUGGUGUACCUUUUUCAUGAUCUUAACAAGAUUAAAAAGGUGAGCUUAAGAGUCAAUUCUAAAGGGUGGGCUAGUAAUGGAAAGGCUUGAAUAGACAAAGGUAUGCUUGGCUAGGUGAGCUCGUUGAGGCAAGGCCUGAAAGUCUAUUUGAAAGGUGAACCUUUAUUGUAUGCAAUCUCGAAAGAUAAAGUUACGUUAAAGAAGAAAACAUCGUUGAAAGUGGAAACAACGGUGGUAGAUAGGCCAACAAAGAGGAAGAGCACGACAAGAUCACACUCCAAAGUUAUAGCGACAAAUUAGAGUAGAUUAUAUUUUCUAUUGCUAUAUAGUUAUUUCCUUUUGGGGGUUAAUAUUUUUCACAAAUAUUAUCUUUUUUUUCUUUUUAUUUUUUAUGGUUACUUCAUGUCGGGGAUAUAAUGUUUGAACGAGAAAUUUAUUACUUUCUUCAUUAUGUUAAUUAAUUUAUGAGUGGGGAAUUAAACGAAACGAUUUUUUCAAUUGAGUAUUUGAUUUCACAUUCUUCUCCAAUAAUAUCAUUCAAACAACUACUACAUUGAAAUAGACUAUUUAUUCUUUACAAUUACCUACAAAUUAGAUGAGUGUUAAUUCAUGUGGGCAUUUCAUAUUUGAUAUUAGUAAAUUGUAAAUUUGAAUAAAGGAAAACCUAUCUCUUAAGUGGUAAUUUUACUGGAUUCUUUUUACUAUUUUGAUCCCAUUUAUGAUAUUUGUUACUCUUCCUAUUCUCAUACUCUAUAUAUAUUCAUGAAUGCCAUUAAAUAAAUAAACAAUUAAAAGAAAAGAAAAUAUGAAACAGAAGAAAGCUUUUCUUGAAAAAAGAGCAGGACUUUGAUGGUAAAAAGGUAGAAAAAACUUCAUUGGAUUAAUAUAAGGUAGUGAGUACAAAUCUAAUCAAUUUGGACUUUUUCUUUAUAUGAUAUGUAUGAAUAUUAUAAAACAUUAUUACUUAAAAUUUAAUAUUUAUUCCUUAAGGAAAAAGCUUGAAGAGGAAAUUUUAAUAUAAUUUCAAACUGCGAUUGGUUCAAUCAGCAAUGAAGUAAUCCCACCCUUAGCUGCUUUUCCAACAUAUGUAUAGCCAUCUCCUUCACUGUAAAGCACAUCCAUCACCCUUGCAAGGUUUAGACUACGAUUUAAAACUUCUGUUGGCAUUUCUGUUGGUUUCAAAAACUCUUGAUUUACAUCCUUCCACGCACUCUCAACAUGCUUGUUGAAUACAUCAUAUGCCUCUUCUGCUGUUACGCCAUAUUCUUCC